GAUCCAGGAGAGGAGUGUGCCUUUUACAGCUGCAGGUACUGCAAUCAUCAUAAUAUUAUAGUAAACCACAUACAAAGACCUGCGAAAAAACCACCAACGCCACUCACAUUAAUUUAAACUUUUGACUUUAUUUUAUCGCAGUUUUCUUUCUUGAGUCGGAAUCGAUUUAAUCUAUUGAAUGUAUGUUGUAUAGCUGUAUAAAUAUAGGUUACAUGUGGCGUUCUUUUAACUCUUCUGCAAACUUAUACUAAAUUAAAAAAAAAAAAAGAGUUCGUACCGUUGAUAGGCCACCGCAGUAGGUGGGAAGUUAAAAAAAUAUAGUAAAUAAGGUAAUUUAAUUUAUAUACUAAAAGUAAAGAUAAAUCAUUGUAAUCAAAAAAAUAAUUCUGAUUAAAGCUUGGUAAACUAUUGAGAUUUAGUUUUAAUCGAGUUUUGUUUCGAUUAUAGCUAAGAUGACCCAAAACUUACUAAAAAUAAAUGCUUAUGUACCAAAAUUAUCUGCUAGUUUUUUACAUUUCAUAGAAAAACAAUUUGAAAUCCAGACAUGUUUUUAAAAGUAAUGUAAGGAAUUUCUUCAUUUUUUCAGACAUAUCAAAAAAGUUGUAGUAUCUUAACUAAUCGAAAACAGUAUUUUUUAAAAAGAAAAAAAUAUAUAUUCGUAUAUAGUAAAACCAGUGAUCGAUCCAGGGAGGAAAUAAAUUAAUUUGCCCCCCCACCUUUUAUAUCAUAAUAUAUUCAUAGAUAAUAAAGACGUGAAUAUCUAUAAUAACCUUCUCAGGAGGGCUACAAUGCAUUUAUAAAGCCCAGAGCCUUAUGUAAUGGGUGGUUCAAGAGAGUUAUACUCCCCCGGUAUAUAUUAGGAGGUGCUAAAUUUUCACGGUGACUAAAAACAAGUUAUCGGAAAAAUUAGAAAUUAUAUGAACAAUUCAUACAUUUUAUAAACGGGGUGAUCAAUCUAUCAUAAAACACUCAUUAUGUCAGAAAGUAUUAACUUUUUUCAGAAUUUGUUUUCUAGAAUAUUUAAGAAAUAAGCUACUAUAAAAUUUUAUAUAUAUAUAUAUAUGUUAUUUUUUGUCAUCAUAACUUUUUGGGGUAAACAACUAUCUCCUUUUGAUUUUCAAAUGAUUAUCUUUUAAAAUCCCAUAAAUAGAUGGAGUUUAGUUCAAAUAAAUUUUGGUGUUUAAGUUUUUGAUUUCCGUCAAUUCGUUGACGAGAUAUUCUACAUUUAAGUUUGAUUUGGAAGAGAGUAGUGGAGUAUCAUUUGUGUGGCAGUACGGCGGGUGGCGUAUUAAUAAUGCAUCACUACACUCCUCCAAUCCAAACUUCUAAAAGGAAAUCUGACUGAGAAGGUACUUUAGAGAGGUUAUUUUUCGACUUUCCCAGGAGUUUUUUUCAACAAAUGUGAAAAAUCGGGGGAAAAACUUGGGAAAACCAAAAAAAACGUAGAAAAAACGAGAAUAUCGGUACAAUAUUAAACAAAUACUAUUAAAGAAAAUGUAUUAUAAUACCUAUUUAUUUUACCAUAACAUGACAUAUAUAUUUUUGACAAAGCACCAAUAUCACUAUUAACUGAAUUUCGCUCAGUAUCAUUUUUAUUAAGCAAUGGUUUAUUGUUGCUUACAGACACAAAUUAAUUUUUUCACUAUAUUCUACAUUUCCAACUUCUCACCAACAACAAUAGCUGCAACCCAUCGUAUAAAGUAUGUCCGUCUUUUUUCCAUAUGCUGAUGUAGCUUUUAUAGCAUUGUAAAGUUUAGGAGCAUCCGAGCAUUAUCCAAAUUACACAUAGUUCCUGUGUAAGGUUAGGUGUAUGGUCUUUUUCUACACUUCACCGGAUAAAAAAUUAUUUAAGAUCAUUUAUGUCUUCAGAAAAUCUUAAUAAGCAGUUCAAAACAUAGAAGCUAUUCUCACUUAGGCUAACUUAUACAGAUAUGAUAAAAAAAUUGUCAGCAAAACAAGUAAGAAAUAAUUUGAAAUAAAAGUUAAACAUAAUAUAACUAUUUGUAUCUUAAUAUAUUAUAAUAGACUGUUCUUUGUUAUUAUAAUAUUAGUUACCCUUCACUGCAUUUGCCUAUUUUUUUAGCUUCUGAAUGGAGCAAAUAAUGUAUUGGUUUUACAAAAAUGUUUUUUUUUUUUUUUAUGUGAACACUUUUUCUACCAUUAAGCUUACUUUGGUGUGUAUGAUAUAGCACUUUUUCUGAAAAGAAAUUUUCUUGGGAUGAUACUUUAAGAAGGUCAUUUUUUGAUUUUUCCGUUAGUUAUCUCAAUAAAAAAGUAAAAAAACAGAGGAAAAAUGGGAGUAUUUACUAAAUAUAUUAGUAAAACCGGAAAAACGGGAAAAUCAAUGCAAUAUUCAACAAAGAUUAUUUAAGAAAACACAUAAUGCUUAUUUAAUUAUUUUAUCAUAAUAUUACAUACCUAUAUAUUGUUGUUAUAUGUUGUUGUAGCAACACUAUCAACUAAACCCUGCUCAAAAACGUUUUUUCGUUAACAAUGAUUUAUCGAUGCUUACAAAUAUACAUUAAAUUUACGUCUAUAUCUUACAUUCCCACCCUCCCACCUACAACAGUGGCUGGACCCACGUGCGAAGUAUGUCCGACUUUUUUUAAAUUUUUUAAAUGAUUUUUUUUUAUCUAAACAUUAAAUUACAUAACACAAAUCCCUAUAAUUAGUAUAACUACUUAAAGUAGUUUUAAAAUUAAUCAUAAGCAAAGUUAGAAGUGCCAAAAUGUUGUUGCCCAUUGGGGCCAAAAUCAUAAAUACGAUCCUGAGAAGGCCUAUACAGCCAUUAGUAAACAAAAACAAAACCGUUAGAGUGGUAUAAAAGUCCUAUUCUCUCAACUAAAACUUAUACAAUUGCAUUUUUUAACAUAAAUAUGAUUAACACAAAAUAAUAAUUUUUAUACGAUUUUGAAUUACUUUGUGUAAAUCAUUUGUGUAGUGUUAGAAAAUUUUAUUAAAUUAGUUAGAACACUUUGAGGGGGACUUAACACCUCUUUAUCGUUUUUGAUUUUUAUAAAUAUUUUUGAAGUUUUAAGAGCUUUUUCAUGGAUUUUAAAUGUAAAAGUCCCCAGCUUUGUUUGUGUUCUCACUUUUUUAGGUUAAUUCAUAAAGUGAGUAUUUCUCCUUUUUUAUUCUAGACUGUGGACACGUUUUUUACUAGUAAACUUUCUCCGAUGUAUAAGUGUAGCACUUUUUCUGAAAGCUCAAGUUGUCUAGAUGGUACUUUAAAAAAAUCAUUUUUUGAUUUUCCAUGCCAUUUAUUAAAUAAAUGAUUUGAUUGAAAAAUCACAAAACACCUUUUUUGUGAUGAACAGCUUUUACAGAAUUUAAAUUUUUAGAAGUUUUUUGGCUGUAUUUUGGUUAUGAAUUCACGUAGAGACUUGAAACUUGGUAAGAAUACUUGUAUUGGACUUACCUAGACGUGGUAAAAUUUCCAAAACCAUCGGACGAAUUUUAUUCCUUUUUUAAAUUUGUUUGCAAUGGUACUUUAUUAUUUUUUUUUUUUUUCUGUAGACCAUUUUUAUCCUAGAAAACUUACUCCGAUGUAUAAAUGUAGCACCUUUUCUGAAAAUCAAUUUUAUCUAAUUGGUGAAUAUAUAGGUCAUUUUUUGAUUUUUGAAACAAUUUUUUAAAAGAAAAACGAUUAACCGGGAAAAAAAUACGAUUUUUUCAUGAUUUCGUUAUUUUAAAUAAGUACCACAACUUUUUCUAGCGGCUCCGAUUGAAAAAUGACAAGGGAUCUUUCUUGUUGAUUUAUUAAUCUUGUUUUUAAUAAUGCAGUUCGUUUUUUUUGAUUUUCGAAUUAGUUUUCAUAAUAAUCAGGAAAAAACGUAGGAAGGUUAGGUUAAAAAAAAAUACGGCACUUCAAAUUAUAUAAUACUGAACUACGCUCGGAAUCGUCUUUCAUCAACAAUGGUUUAUCGUUACUUACAGAUAUUAAUGAGAUAACCUUAUGUAUCCUAUCUUUCCAACUUCUCAUCUACAACAGUGGCCGUACCCAUCCCCAGUAUCAGCUCUUUUUUUUUUUUAUCUAUGGUUGUAAUGUAAACAAAUGGCAGUUUUCACAUACAAUAGAAAUUGUAGUGGCUUAUCUUUUUCUUUACUAUCUAUGAAUAUUGUAUGGUUUUUUUCUUGUAUUGUGUUAAGAUAUAUGCUAUGCUUCAUAGUUCAUUGUAGAUUAUUCGCUUCACUUAGAAUAUAAAUUAUAAUAUUUGAAUGGCCCUAGAUUUAUACGAUUAAUAUGGUUUUAUUCGAAUGAUGAAUAUUACCGCAAAAAUAUUUUAUGGUCAUCUAAUUUAAUAUUCGAAAUAGUUUUGACGGAUCUUUAAUAUUAGGUACCUCUAUAUACACGCGCGGUGGGAGGUGUAGUAAUAAUAUUAGGAAAUUACAAUAUCCGUCUCGUUCGGUUAAUACGAUUAAAUUAUAUACAUAUUGUUUAAGUAUAUAGGUAUAUAAUAUGUUUAUCCGUUACGGUAUUAUAUUAUAAUCUAAUAAGAUUAUAUUAUUAUUGUAUUCUAUACGCCCGCUGAAAACGUGUGAAUAAGUACAUAUUAUAAUAUCGUACACUGACACUAAGUAUUAUAUUGUGUACGACAGGUGUCUCGUUGGGUUCACCGCGAUAUUGUUUUCGUUCCAUUAUCUGAAGCAACUCGUUCCUACCUGUAUUAUUGUCGACCAUAAAACGUCGCAGUUCCGCCAACCGUGGUACAUAAUAAACUUUCAUCCGUGACGACAGCACGCCCGACCGCCGGCCAAUCAUGAAGGGGUGUUAAGGGGUGGGUAAGUUCUGAACUGUGCAGACAUAAAAUUAUUGUUUAGUAAUUCAACAAGUUAAAUCUUAAUCUCACAAAAUAUUAAUGUAUCUUCUGGAGUGCCAUAAUGCGGUUAUCUUAUGUCCUUGCUAUUUAUAAUUUUUGUCAAUUAUAUAUAAUAGGUCGAUUUUGUAAAUCCGUUUUGUUUACGGACGGUUUAAAGCUAUUUAUGUGGAUUUCUUCAAUAGAUGAUUGUAAGCUACAAUAUGACCUCAAUCAAUUCUGUUUAUAGUGCAAACAACGGUCUAAACUUAAAUACGAACGAAUAUGCAUUCGCAAAUCUCAUUCACUAGAAAUCAGCAAAAUUAUAUAUUUAACUGCCAUAAAAAUAAUAAAAAACUCAGUAUCGCAUUUUAAGUUAAAGACUUAGGAAGGUAUUAUUUUGUCUUGCGAUCUUACAUAUACUGAACAUAUAUUAAUGAAACACAUAAUAAAGCUAUACGUGUAUUUGGGUUUUUAAAUACAAUUGCUGGAAGUUUCAUGAUCCAAAUUUGUUGAGUGUUUUUAUACUUCUCUUUUACGAUCAAUUAACACGUUUUAACACAUUGUCCAAUGUAACUGUAAAUGACGUAUUGUGUGGAUCCUAUAGAUGAAAAAAAUUGUUAGUUCUAUUCUAUAAUAUAGGUUAGGUUUUAUCGUUUAUUAUAGGAUAGAACUAAACAUUUUUAUAAUUUAUAUUUAAUUAUAUUUAACAUAAUAUUGGGCACAACAAAUUGUGUUUAUACGAAAUUGCAUUUAAUUUUUAACUGUCAAAAUCAUAUUUUGAAUAAGAGAAAUAACAACGAUUAUAUAAAAAAAUAAUAAUAAUAAAAAAUAUAGGCCAGCAUAUUAUUAUAUUUUAAAAGAACAAAGUUUGGUUUAUGUGACGGUUCUGUAUUUUUUUUUUUAAAAAAAACAACGAUUUCUCUAAAAAGCACCACCUGUAGUUUUCAAUUUCCAAUCUAUAUUGUUUGGACUACGGAAAACUAUUUUCUCUUUUUUCAAACACUUUACUGCCUUAAAAAAGUUGUAUUUAUUUUUGAAAGAACGUAGGCGGAAAAUACAAUUAUCGGAAAACACCGGUAGAAAACCAUCAAGUAUAGCUCUCUAAAAUAGCUUAAAAUAAUAAUAAAACAAAUUAUAACAUUGCCAUCUUAGGUUAUGUAGGUUUUUUACUUCACUAUUUCAUAGAAAUUGUAUUCGAAAGUUUUGUGUUUGCUAUUUGAUGACAUUUACAUUCGUCUAAUAAGUAUAACAACUAAAUUAAUGUUCUUAACCUUAGGAAUUUCCAAAUCUCUGUGUCCUGAGGCUAUUAAUCCAGUUAAGUUGGUACCAGUACCUAAAUUAUCACGUACUUGUCAUAAUAUAAUAUAAUAUUCAUUAAAUAUUGUAAUAACGUCGUAGGCGUAGGGUUAGGUUAGGUUAUUAGGCGUAUAUAUCUAUAUUUAGACGUAUUUACUUAAACAUAGAUUGAUUAUUCGAAGCGGAAAAUGUGUAGGGCCUCGUUAGUUAAUUCAUUUCUAAUUAUAAGUAUGUUUCGUGAAAUCUGAUUAUCCGGGUAAUAACAAAUUAUAAUAAAACCAAAGCCGAAUUAAGCGAAGUUACUCUAAAGAAACUUUUGACGUAUAUCAGUCCACUUUGAGUCACUCCCUAGUUCUAGAAAAGAGCUCUACUGACGGGGCUACUGGCUACUAUCCGAUUAGUAACGCGUGUUAGUGAUAAGUUUCAAGUUACACAACUUUCAAAUAACUUCGAAUUGCGUUAACAAUAACUCAGUUGUUUGCUUUCGUAACUUUCCGCCCGUUUAUGCAUAAACAAAAUAUUUUGGGGCUCAAUAUUUCCGAAAAAACAUUUUUCGUAAAAUUGAGAAAAAUCGGAUAUAUUUUAAAUUAUUUAAUAAAAUUGUUUUUUUUUUUUUGAAAAAAACUGGUGUUUCCUGGAAAAGUUAUAAAAUUUGUUGAAAAAAUGAUUGUUUUUUGUUGUGAUUUAGUUAAAAAUAUUUGUAGAGACUUGACAUUUUGGCAGAAAAUUUAUAUUUGCCCUUUUAUAGAAAUGGUAACAUUUUCAAAACAUUUGGGCCAUUUUGAGCUAUUUAUAGUCAUUUAAAUUAUGUGAGUUUUUUUAUGUAAUUUUUAUUUGGUAAGUACUCUGUGGGUAAUAUUGAUAGUCUAAAUAAAAUGCUUGAAAAUUUGACAGGAGGUUCAUUAUAAUAGUAGUAGUAAGUCAAAAAAAAAAAAAAAAAUUGAGUGUAAUCUAGUAUUUUUUUUUUUUUUUAAAGAGUUUUAAAAUUCAAUCUUUACGAAAAUCGUAAAUAUUACGGCCUUUCAAAACAUUUAUAAUCGAAAUUCUCCGAAUCGUUUUUUUUUUUUUUUUUUUUUGUAAUGAUUUAUUGUUGUUUACGAGUAUAAAUCAAAUAACUAUGUAUAUUUCCCGACUACCCUCCUACAACAUUGACCGUCCCGAUUCUCAGUUUUUUUUUUUAUUUAAACCCACGGUAGCUUUUCGCCGAUUACAUCUCACGUAGCCGGGGUGACAUAUGGCACACUAACUUCCUUGCAGUAGUUUCGGAUUGGAAAUUUAGGUUAGGUAAAUGGCUAUUCCGGCUCCUCGCCCCCCCCCCCGUCGAGUUAGCGAGCGAUCGGUGUCCCGCGCCAGCAUUCUGAACCCUUUUUUAUCGGGCAUUCGAUCGUAGACGUUUACACGGACGAAGAGAUAAUUGUUAGUGAUAAUUAUAGGAUAACUCUAGGAGGCUUUCACCCGCGGGAACACGAUUCGAAAUCCCGUAUUCAGGAGUACUAAAUUGGAAUGAAUUUAAUAUUAUGAUCCUAUAUCAUUAUUAUUGACGCAUAAUAUAUAUAUAUAUAUAUAUACGUAUUAUUAUUUUAAUAUUACCGGUAUUAUCGCCUACGAGCCGCCGCGGGGUCGUAUAAUAAAUCAACGCGGCUAAAUUAACUUUUUAUCGUCCGACACCAUCUCGGAGGUUUUUACGCGCGCGCUCGCUCAACACGUAGUUCGGACGUUAUCCCUCCGUAUACCUGAAUAUUGUAAUAUAAUUAUUAUUUCGGUGAUAAUAUCCAUUCAUUGAAUUAAUAUUAAUAAUAAUAAUAAUAAUAAUAUAGACGGUCCGCGGGCUGAAUACGAUUACAACGUUGUACGGCGGGUGAAAUUUUCGUUUUCGUAAAGUUUACGCGUUGUUGCAAGAGGCGGGUGUACGCAUAUACCUACGUCGUAAUAAUAUAAUAAUAUAAUAUUAUACGAUAUUAUUAUCAAAAGUUUAUAAAUUCGACUUUCGGCGCGUUUCGGUACGGAUACAUAUAUAUAUAAAGGCGGGCACGGGUAGGUAGGUGUAUACAGUAUAAAUUAUAUAAUACAGUUAUCUCGACUACCUCUACCUAUAGCCGGUGCCUAAUAAUAUAUAAUAAUAAUAAUAAUAAUAAUAGUACAUAAUAAUAAUAUUAUUAUUAUAUACUCUCGGAAUAAUAAUAAUAAUAAUAUACAAAGGAACCCGCGCGCUGCAAAAACCGCAGGAAUCCGCAGCCGUAGCACGGAGAAUAUCUCGGUCGGGUACAUAAUAUAAUAUUACGCGCGGUACCCAAAGCCCGGUGCCGUUCUCUAUACCGUGGUCGCGGCAAAUGGCAAUUAUUAUUAUUUUCCGGAAUCCGAAACAAUCGCGCAAAGUUUACGUACCCGCGAUACGGGACGCGCACGCCCAUACGCGCGACACGCGGCCGCGUCGUUUGUCCCGUCGGCGACGGCUUAUGACCGGGGAACGUUCGUUUUGAUAUUUGUGCACGGGACUCCCCGGACUCGGCGUUUUUAUCGCGUCAGAUUAUCGAACGGCGGGGCCGAAAGUCGCCGCGCCGCGCACCCGGUAUACUGUAUUCAGUGCGUACACUGUGCGCACGCGGAUACCUGCUGCACACGUGUUUUUCGCGUUAUCGAGAACCGCGGCCGCGGUGCCGUCAAAACGACUGCACGCGAAUCGGGCGAUUCACUAUUCCGCCGCAACAAAUCUCCGAUUGUAUACUUCGGUAACCCCUUGACGCGAACAAAUAUUUUUGCUCUUGUACUCGCAUGUUCAACAGCAUUAAAUUCGUCGUUUACAUGGUGUAUUUACACUUAUUGUUUCUCCAUUGCUUGGCUGGAAUAUGUUUCGUGAUUGUGUUGUCGCGUAUUUCUGUUGUUUUUAGAAAUUGUAUAAUUUUCAUCUGUGCACACUUUUGCCGUACAGAUUUUAGUCGGGCACUGUCGAAACGUACAAGUCUUUUAUUACACGAACCAAUUUGAAACUUUUACAAUUUUUUAAAAUCAACUGUUAUCACGUUUACUUUCCAUAUAUUUUCCGUAUAUUUUCCAUUGUGACAAAUGUAUUUGUUUCUCGAAAGCUUCAAUAUAAGCUAAAAUGCAAAAUCCUACAAUCGAUAAAACAUAAAACCUCUACAACACUUUACCUAAUCUUAACAGCAUUGUCGAAUAUCACAUGAGCUCCGGACAUGAUCCGGACAGUGAAAACUUUUUCUAACGUAACUCUUUUUAACUAAAAACUCUAUGUAUCGUAAAAAUUACUUAAUAGUGGUCGGUGUGAUUUAUAACCCAUGCAUUAGUAUUCUACUCCUUCUACUCUAUUCAACGAAAGAAGUCUCUUGGUACCUUAAGAUUUGUUAUAAGGUGUUUUCACUGUAUAAUAUUUCGUAUUUUCCAAUCCAUAAUAUAAUAUUUCAAUCCUUACAUUAAGGGGUUACCAAAUUAUAAAAACUGAAAUUUGUUGUGGCGGAAAAUGGAAUUACAAAUUAAUAUACUGGCGGUAAAAGGACUUGGCGAUAAACAGAUAGGUCGAUUUUGGUGGAAACCGGUGACGCCCUGCGAAACGCGUCUCGCAUCAAUGGUCCUUUCCGAGUUACGUUUCGGUUAAUUUUUUUGGGUGAUAUAAGUUGCGUCCUGAAUUUUUUUCGUGUGCAUACUGUAGUUACGUACUACUAUUUUUUUUUUUUUUUUUUAUAAAUGAUAAUCCCCUUACCGUUUUUACACAGACUUAGGAUCUACUUAGGUUCAAAAUAUCAUUUUUCUGGUGACAUUUAUUAUUCCGCCGGUAUUUUAUAAUUUCGUAACUACCAUAUGUAACAAAAAAACAAAAAUGUUAAAUAAAAACAUAUUUUGGUAUCAGUAAAUAAUCGGCCGAGUCACCGUCAACACUGCGAUGUGACAUUAAUACGGUGUUUGUACACGUCAUAACGCUGCACACAAAAUAAUUAGAAAAGUUAAAACGUAAUUGUUUAUACUAAUCGAUAAUAAUUACCUACUCGAUAAAACCUACUCGAUAAGGCCGUAUUAAAAUAUUAUUAUAGACAUGUUCACUAUCUGAGACGGUUGGGACGCAAUUAUUAUAAUAUUAUCUUUUUAUUCGGGAUGCAACUAGUGAGUAACGGUCAAAUAAAUGACGAUAAAUACAAUAUCACAUAGCAAUAUUUUUACAUGUCAAUAUAUUAUUAACACGUAUACGUCUUUUGGAAACUACCGCCGCCGCCGCCGUUCGACCUUAACCCGCGCUCGUUAAAUUUAUAAUAUUAUUAAUAUUAUAUUUUCCGCCGAUCGUUAGGAUAGCGAAAACCCGGAAAUACUGAUAAUAAAAUAUUGCGCAAUGCGGAUACGUUGGGCCGUUCUCGCCAACGUAAAAAAAGGCGUUUAUCGGAUUCUUAAACUCAGUUUAAAAUUCAACGUUUACGUUGGUGAGUGUUGGAUUCUAAACGCAUGGGUUUUCACUAUUAUAGUAUAAUAAUAUGAGGUGUGCGAUUUUAUUUUCUGUCUACAGUAAUUUUUGCUGUAGUAAUUUGUGUCUGUUUUUUUGUAAUUUUUGUUUAAUAAUUGAGAAAAAUCGGUAAAAACCGUAUAAGAAAAACGGACAAAUUUACGGAAAUAACGACUUCGUUGUUUUUUUUUUUAUUAUUUUUAGUAAUAAGUGGCUGCAAAUAAUCUUAUAAACCGAAAACGUUCACAAAACCCUUCUAUUAUCCGUUUCUAAACGGGUUACAUUCAAGCAAUUUUCGAUAUAUUUAUAGGCGUUUGACAUUUUCGAGUUUUUAAUAUUUUACUGCGUGAGGACAAGGCUUUACCCGAAUUCGGUUUCUAUUUAGCCUCUUAUUAUCAACAUGAUAAACCGUGUACGGGUCGUAAAUCUCUGUACCGUAAUAAACUCGUAUUAUCUUUGUAGUAAAACGGGGUGAGGUUGGAUGCGCAAAACGUAUCAUUGUAUAAUGAUUUAAAUAUAAAAUUAGUUAAAUCUAAACGGGGUGUUUAUUUCCGUUUUAUUGUUGUUGUUGUUGAAUAACGUAAUGAAAUAACGUCGUUAAUUGCAAAAAAAUAAAAAUAAAAACCUAGUAUGAAUUUUUAUUAUGCACGGAUCGUUUUAAAAACGAUGAUCGUGUAUUAUACUAUAGAUAAGUACUUAUUAAUUUGUUAAUUAGCCAAGUAACUUUACGGUGAUCGAGUUUGCGCAUUAUACAUUUUAUAAAAAAUAAUUAUUAAAUACCCGAUGGUCGUGUGUAAUGGUUUAUUUGUCAUAUACAGUUCAUAUAUGACACUUGAGAGAUUUAAGUGUAUACAUUGGGUGUUCUUAGAGUUUAUUACGAUCCGACGGUUAUCUACGAAAAUGCUGAGUAAAAUGUUUAUUUUAUCAUGUUACUCUCAUUCUAUACAGUAUGCGCAAUAAACACAAAUAAACUUUUUAACUUCCAUAAAUGGCAAUCCCGGACUGUUUUCGAACCUGAAAAUUCGAAAAAUUAAUGUUUUUCUAAAUAAAAUUUGAUAUAAUGGACAUCGCAACACUAAUAAUACAAUAAUAAUUGAAUUUACCUUUUAUGAGUUAUACCCAUGGCAGUUAUAAUAUUUAAAAAUUAGCAAAAUAAGCAACAUUGCAAUAUAUUUAGAGAAACAUUUGCUCUUUAUGUUUGUAUUGAAAUCGUGUCGCACCAGUUGGCAGAUACCUCGAUUUGUCAACACAUUAAAUGAAUAAAACAAAAUAAUGUUUAGUAUAAUAAUAUAUUAAUUAAAAUUAUUUGUAAAAACCGCGAAUAUUUUUCAAAUUAUCUAUCUAUAUAAAAACUAUAUAAUAAUAAUAAUCUCAUUAAUCUCAUUUUUUGACAUUUUAGCAUUUGAUUCUUUCCGAGUACUACAUCGACUUCAACAAUUAUCAAUACAUUUAUAAUAGUGGUUAUGACCUAUAUUUCUAUCUUGUUUGUGUAAAUAAUUAUGCAAUACUAAUAGUUAGCUAUCACAAUCAGAAUUUAUUAAAAAAACACGAUAUAUUAUUAAAUAACAAACUGACUAAGUACUAACGAUGCAAUGACUACUGGGUAACUGUAACUGACAUUAAUAACACCUACAUAUUCUUUAUUUCUUUCGUGAUAGCAUUGGUAUUUAAGAUAACAUUAUCGUCAUUAUCAAUCACUUUGUUCACGAGCCGGUAGAUGAGAUGUGGUUGUUAUCAGUGAUGUCAUCGCUGAUGUCAUCAUAUAUUAAUUAAUAAGGAAUAUAAGGAUCGUAGUAUAGUUUUAUCAAUAUUUUGAUUGUAGAUAGCAAUAUUCUUGAUUUCCACUAAACAUUUAUUUUUGUUUUAUAGAAAACUUUAAUUUGUCAGUGAAUUAGAAAUGUUUCUAUAACUACCGAAUACUGGUUUACACGUCAGCGAAACGAGCACUCGGCGAAUCGGGCUUAAAUCUUUGAAAUGUGGUGAGAGCCACGGAGAAAAAGGGUGGUGACCAUUUAAAAAUCAAAAGCCAAUAGAAGUAGUAGUAACAACUUGAAAACAGUGUUCAAAUAAAGCUUUAAAAAAUCGUCAAUGAUUUCGAACUAUACGGAAAUAAAAUGCAUUCAAAACAACCCGAAAAAAAAUCUUUGAAUGAUGAUUAACAAAAAAAAAAAAAACAUUGUCCUGUAUAGAUAAUAUAAACAUAUUCGUAUUAGUAGGGAUAUGUUUAUUUUUUCUUUCUAAGAAUAACGCUGGUUUUAGAAAAGUGAAUGAUGACGUUUUUCGAGAUAACACACCGUCGUACAAUCAUGUGCUCCUCUUAAAGAAAUCGUCGGGCGUUUAUGUUUGGUAGAAAAAUAUAAAAACUCAUCUCGGAUUCGGAACUCAAACAUACCCUAGUACCAGUGAAUAAAAAUACGGUUUUUGUGGGCCAAAAUGGGCUGGCAAAUUCUGAAUUACUAGUAAGUAAUUAACUUAAGGUUAAUACAUAAGGUUAUUUCAUUUAUAUCAGUAAGCAACGAUAAACCAUUGUUUGACGAAAGACGAUUACAAGCGCAGUUCGGUAAUAUAUAAUUUGAAUUAUUUUAACACACGUAAUUUUUUUUGCGAUUUUCGUUUAAAUUUGAUUUCAAAACUUAUUAAAAAAAAAUUGUUGAUUUUGAAAAUUUCACCACGUCUAGGUAAGUCCAAUAUAAGUAUUAUUACCAAAUUUCAAGUUUCUACGUUUAUUUAUAACCGAAUUACAGCAAAAAACUUCCAAAAAUUAAAACUACUUAAAAGCUCAAAAUUUUUGGCAAUGAUACCGUAAGAAAGUAAAUCAAAAAGGCAACAAAAAAGGUAUUUUGUGAUUUUUCGAUUUAAUAAAGUAUUCUGGUAGAAAACGCCGUCCGUGUUUUUAUAAAUUAAUGAAAUCGUGAAAUUUAUUGUACAUUUUCCUAUCUUUUUUUCCAUUUAAGCUCUUUUAUUUAAGAAAUGGUGUUAAAAAUAAAAAAAACGACUUCUUUAAAGUACAAUCUAGAUAACUCGAGCUUUCAGAAAAGAUGAUAUCCGUCAAAAUUGGAAUAAGUUUACUAGGAUUUGUCCACAGAUUAGAAAAAAUAAAUAAACAUCAUUGUAAAACCAAUAGCUCCCUGCUACGCUUAGAUUCUAAAAAUCAUUAAAAAUAUAGAUACACUUUAUCUAAAUUUAAUACUGAUUUUAUAUUAUGUAAGUUUUUAAAAUAUUUCGACAAUUUAAUAAAAUAUUUUGGUCAUAAUUAUAUAAAAAAAAAAAACUUAAAAUUCAAUUUGUUUGUAAAACCGUUUUUUUUCUUCAAAAAGACACUUUUUUCUAGAAAUUGUAAUCCUUUAAUUAAACGUCCGGGAGAAAAACUAUGUGCCAUAAAUUAUUGAUAACUUUAAACAAUUUAUUCAAACAAUUUAAUUCCGUUAGUAAAAAUUAUUUUUUACAUUAUCUCUCCCAAAUGGAUGAUAUUAUUUUAACAUAAUCAUAGAUGCCUCGUCUCCUCUCAAAUAGUUUCUAAAAAUACUAAUUAUAAUUGUAAACCACUAAUUUAAUCAAACAAUAUUUUACUUGUAAUAUAUGAAAAAUUAUUUAACCUAUUUAAAUUAAAUAUCCACAAAUAAGUAAAAGUUUUUAUUUGUAAUUUGUUUAAUAUUGAAAUCUGUUGAAGCGUAUCAAAUGUAAAAUGGUACCUAGUUUAAAUAUUUCCAACAAAUAUUUAUAAUAUAAAUUAUGUAUUAUAUAUUAUAUAUGUUUAAAUACUUUUAAAAUAAUUAUAAAUAUGAUUUAGACAGUUAUUAAAAAAUACAUUCUGAAUACAUUUAAAAAAGUAACAACAAGACUGUUUCUGGUGUAAUAAUUUUAUAGUGCACAUCUUUAUUAAUAUGUUGUCACUAGUUAUCAAACAAAAAAUUAAAAGGGGGGAUAUUCCACCCUAACUCCCCCCCCCCUCUAUCCGUGAACACGCCCGUGUAUAUCCGUGUCAAGGAUGCGUUCGUAUUUUUCCGGACUUGAUUUACCCGCAUGACCCAGAGACCUCCCGACGAGUACCUACUUAUUGUAGUGUAGUAUACCGUGUAUAGCCUUAGUUUUUUUCUCGUAUCUACGGAUGAUGAAUACCGAUUCAAUAUGGAUAAAAGAAAUAACAAAUUUAAUCAAAUGAAACUGAUAACCAAUACGUAUUUUUGUUUUUUUUUUUUUUUUAUGAGUUAUUAUUUUAAUUUUCUUUUUUCUUUUUCCAAAUAUAUAACAAUAGUAAUUGGUUUCAGUUGUGAUUCGCCACGAGCGGUACCGUAGGCUGAGGACGUUCGAGAUGGGGAAGGGGGAUUCGCCGUUAUGAACUCCUGUCCAAAAAAAAUCUCAUCACUGACGACAUCGUCGUCGUGACAUUGUUAAAUUAUUUUAGGUGUAGAUACAAAAAUUAUAAUUAUUUUUAAGAAUUUUUUGUUUUAUUAUUAUUUCAAUAACAUAAUAAUAAUAUCAUUAAAAUUAUCUCGUGUACAAAUAUAAUUAACGAAAACAGUUUUUUUCUCUAACAAAUUGAAUUUAUUAGAUUGUUAUUUAUAGCGCGUUACACGUCAAUUCGUGUUACUUUAAAGACAGAGAAAAAGAAACGUUCAUCAUUGUCUAAGAUCACAGAAUUGAAUGUUAUUGUUUUAAGUAUUUGUAGUACAAUACUUAUUUUUAAUUAGUAAUUAUUUAUAUUUACAAUCUGUUAUUACGUUAUCGCAGAAAACGGUUUGAAGAAAGCUUAAAUAGCUUAAGAAUUUAAAUUGUUAAUAACUCAUUUGUCCUAUCAGCAGCUUGCUUAAACGGAUAAAUACAUUGUAUUGCAUUGUAUUUUUGUUUUUAAUGUACAAAAGUCUGUAAGUAAAAAAAAUAAUUGUUCCCAUAAAUAUAUAUUUUCUUUUGAACAUUUUGAAUUCUAUGUGAUAAAAAUGUUUUAGAUUAUAUAGUAAUAGUAAUAAUUGAUAUGCAAUUACUAGGUACAGAAUUGUUUAUUAUUUUCUAAAUCUGUAACCGAUUUCUCAUAUGAAAACCCGCGAUAGUUCGUGAGAUAGCUUAUGAGACAAUCUCAUAUUAAGACUCCUUUUUGAAAUGAAACUUUCCUUUUUAUUUCUACUCAUUUUUGGCUCGUCUCUGUCGUGCAUUAUUCGAAGACCCGUGUAUUGUAAAGGUAGUUGUAUACGAUUUCAUUAUUAUUUUAAGUUGACACAAAAAAUAAGCGAUUUAUUUUGUUUUUCUCUUAUUUUUAUACUAUUUCGACUAUUCUUUCUCCCUUCGAAAGUAUAUUUUAUUUCCCUUUUCUAAAAAAACAUAUUUUGAAUAUCUAUACAUCCCUGAAAAAAAUCAUAGAAAUACUUCAGCGUUCUCUAUACCUAAAGAACGACCUUAUUGUUUAAAUACGAACAUAUAAUAUGAUACAAAAAAAAAAUUACCCAGAGUAAAAUUUAUUUUUCCCUUCCAUCCUUACGGGAGUAAAAAAAAAAUACACUGGUAUUAUACUUAUUAGUUGUAUUUCUUGGAAGGUCUAUAAACUGCAUUAUUAUAGGCUAGUAAUAUUUAAUAUACAUAAUAUUAUAAACUGCCAAGGGCCACAUGAAAAUAAUUCUGGGAUUAUAAUGAAUCUCUGACCUAUAAUAAUAUUAUUGAACGAAAAUAAAUAAAAACGUAAUAAUAUUUAAUGUCGAAAAUAUAAUCUGUAUUAAUGAUGUCACUAAAUAAUAUUUUUUUACAGAUAGUUAUGUGUUCUUUUGUUGAAUUUCCCUUGAAAAUAGAGACUAUUGAUCGUAGUAAAAUGGAUUCUCAAAAUAUUUUAGCUGUAGUAUUAGAUAUAGUAAAUAAUGAUGUUGAAAAUUUAGGUAACACAAAAUGUUUGUGACAGUUUGUCAUUUUGCAAUAAAUAAUAAAAUAAUUAAUAAGCAAUUUAAAUUUUUGUUUGGAAAAUAUAAUCAUAAUUUAAAUUAAUAGUACAAAUAUAACAUUGUUUAAUAAUAGUAAUAGUUAGUUUAAUAUGUACCUAUUUGUUAUAUUCUAUAAUAAUACUAUUGUAGUUUAUAGUCUAUACUUUAUGUGCAAAUACGUAUAUCAACAUUACUAAAACUGUGUUGUGAGUGUUAACAUUCACGAGUAAAUAUUUACAUUUUUUUUCAUUUUUCAACAUUCACUAAUUUAGGAGGUGUAUAUCGACAUUAACCAGUGACUGUCAGCAUUCAUCAAUUGCGGACAUUCACAGUAGGUAACUUAUAUAUAUACAUAUAUCAUACAUUUUAUAUUUAUUUAGCGACGAGAUGAAAAUUUAAAACAUUUGAAUUUUGAGGCGAGAUUUCUGGUAGUAAAUAAAAUAGAAAAUAUUAAAAACACUGAAAUCGGUAACGCCAUAAUUGUUGGUUUUUUCUCCAGGUUUAUCCUAUUAUUAUGAAAACCACUUGGAAAAUCGAAAAACUGAUCUGCCGAUGUACCAACUAGAUCUAAAAUGCGGCAAAAAAUGUCUUGUGUCAUUUUUCAGUUGGAGCAAAAUUGUUGGUAGAAAAGUCGUUCGUGUAGAGAAAAGAAAAAUAACCAUUCACAAUUAAUAAUCAUAGUUUAACAUUGGUUUUACUAGCUAUGCUCAAAAUCUAAAAUAAGCACAAAUAUUAAAAUAAAUAAAUUCCUCACCAUACCCUCAGAAUCUAAAACUAAUAAAGCUGUAUUGUGCGUCUGCUUUAGUUAUAAUAAUCAUACAACAUCACUAUAUUAAUACUAUUUUAACGCGUACGAUAAUAUAAGUUUAUAUAGCACUUUGGUUGUGUUCAGAACACUCGGCAUUAUAUUUAUAUACGUUAUGCGUAUAGUAGUAUAAUAAACAUAAAAUAUUAUCGUUAUGACACUCACGGCUUAAUAAUAUUCUCGUUCUCUAUUUUACACGCGGUUUAACGGUCUGAAAUUGUUCGGAUAUACAUAAAGAUGAUAUGAUAGUAAGAGAGAGGUAAAAAAAUAAAAAUAAAAAAAUACCUACGCUUUAUCUUAUUAUAAUACAGACAGUGGUGUAUUUAAAGGUAUAAUAAAGAGAGCAACUAAAGCUUUAAUAAAUAUUUCGUACCGUAAAUAAUUAAAAGAUGAUUUUAAAAAAAAAAAAUGGUUUAAGAAAGAUAGGUACUAGGAUAUACUUGUAUAUUUAAAUAGAUAAAUUAGCGUUGAUAUAGUGCUGACGGAUGUGCCACUGGUAUAUAGGUAUGUAUAGUACGAAUGGUACGAUAUGUAGCAGCAGUGCCCUUUAGAUUUUAAACAGGAGCGCAAACAUUUAAGGGGGACUAGUUAAAUUUCUUCAAUAAACUACUUCAACUACAGUGAUACUCACUGUCAUCGAAUGAAUUUUAGCCAAAGCACAGUUCCAGAUUAAUUUUUAUCAGACAAUACUAUUUCCUUAUCAGACGAAACGAGUAGGCAAGAUUCAUAUCAGUGAACACCUAUUUCAAAAUAAUCGUUUCUGGUUUAAGGUUUGAUUAUUUAAGUUAAUAAAGUGUCUUUAAGUUUCCAUCCUAAUUUACAAUAAUCAGUUUGGUUUACAAUUAUCAAGUCUAAUGGCUUAAAGUCAAUAAAAUUAUAUGUCCAUUUGUAAGUUUGGCUUAUUUCCAACAGUGAUUGAAAAGUCAUAAUAACGAGUUGUAAAUUGUGACUAAUAUUUUUAUACCAAUCAAAUACUGAAUUCAAAAUGUUAUAUUUAAAUUAAAUCCAUUAAAAUCAGCAUAAAUUAUUACAAUGGAUUCCGUUUAAUAUGAGCACGUUGGGACCAGUUACAUUUGCCCACAUUAAGCGGUUUCCCAUUUCAACUUAAAUGAGUGUCUUUAUACAUUAGAGUCGGGACCAUUAUGCCCGUAUUAGGUGAUUGGCCAAAUUAAGCGAAAUCCAUUGUAUUUACACAGUAUAUCAUGACAAAAUUACAGAAAAUAAUAUAAUCAGGUGUUCACUGAUAAAAAAAACUCUCUUAUUUAUCUAUCUGAUAAUAAUUUGUGUGGAAAUAUACUAUGGUGAAUUUUAAUUAGUUGACUUCUGGCUUGCUCAUAUUUAUUGUUCAUAUUUAGACGAGCUCUGCUGAAUAUUGGCUUACAAAUCGGACUUCCGUGGUUAUGGGACGAGAUAACUUACAUGUUCCGGAAUGUAGGAAUUUGUUCCCAAACCUAAAAGGGUUUCACUAAUUAUAUAAAUUAUAUACUUACAAAAACUAUUAUUUACAUUAGAACUAACGAUGAUUUUAUUUCGGUUCAUUCACUUACUUAUUGGAACUAAUUUCAUGAUAUAGAAAAAAAAAAGGUCUUGCAAGUGCACUUCACGUCCCCUUUCAACAGUGCCCCUUAUAGAGUAAUUCAGUUGUUUAAUGUUAUAUAUAUAUAUACAAUAAAAGUUUUUUAUAAACCGUUUUUGUGUCAAAAAAUUUCAUCCAAAGUUCAUAUCGGAUUAACAUAUUUUAUUAUACGAACAUCACGUGUAAAAUAUUUUGUCUUCAAAUUAUUGAAUAUUUAAUCAUUCACAUAUAUGUAUAAAAUAUACACGUAGGUAUUUUUACGAAAAAUACGUUGACGACUGCGUUACAUAUUAUUUCCGUAAGACCUGUUUCGCGUCGAUUAUUCAAUCGAGUGAUAUUCAUUUUUGGUAGUUCUAAUCAAAAUGUCUGACAAAAAUAACGGUACUUACAGUAACUCGAAUUUAAAAAGAAAAUAUAAUUGGAAUUUAAUAAAUUUGUUAAUACUCAACAGUAUAAAAGACGUCAUAGGAUAGUGAGGACAGGUGCAGUCAUUGUUGUUGGUAAUUUAAUGUAAAUCUGUAAGCAAUAAUAAACCAUUUCUUACGAAAAAAAGAUUCUGAGUGGAGUUCAGUUGCUAGUGAUGUUUUGUCAACAAUAUAUAUGCCAUAUUAUAUUAAAAUAAUUAAAUGGGCUAUACAAAUUUUCUUUAUUAUAUAUAUUUAAUGUUGUACCGAUUUCUCCGGUUUCCUACUUUUUCCUAUGUUUUUCCCAGUUUUUUGUAUAAAGUGCCUCCCUACACCGAUUUGCUUUCAGAAAAGUUGCUGCACGUAAAUAUUAGAGCAAGUUCUCUGGUAAAAAAGCCGUCCACAGAACAAAAAAAUAUAUAUCUUUGUAAAACCAUAAGCUUCUUCGCUCCGCUCAGAAUCUAAAAAACACUGUAUACGAAAAACAUUCUACCACCAAAAUCGAGUAAACUUAUUUAAGAAUACAUAGAUCUUUAUAUAUAUAUAUGUAUUUUAAAUCGAGCCAUAGUAAAUGCCUCAAUAUUUGUGUCAGCUGUUUAAGACUUUUAUGAGGAAAAUUGCACAGAGAGUGCAAUCCCCUCAAGGUAGACAUAUAUACUCGCAGAGGACUCGCGCGGGUUGGUUACUGUAUAUUAUAUCGACGAAAAAUUCGGAAAGAUCGAAAAUUCGAUUUCAUAAACUUUUUCGGUCCGCCGUUUCCAUAUACGCUCGUAUAGUAGAAGUGUAAUUGGUAGUUAUAAUAAUAAUACCAUCCGGAAAGUUUUCGUUCCUACAAAUUUGGUCGUAAAACUUGCACGGUGACAGCAGCGCCGUUGAUCACACCUGUAUACGAGGCAUUUUUUUUUUUUUGUUUUUUAUAUUUCUUUUGCUUUUUUCAUACCACCAUAAACACUAUAAUCUUUCACGGUGCACCGUUAAAUAUUUAUAACAGAAAACGCUCGGGAUAAAGAUAGUAUACGUCAGCAAAAUUACGAGAGAAAACUCCUCUGCUUCUUCUUCUUCUUCGUAUACUAUUAUUAUUAUUUUGAAAUUUUUAUUUCGGUUUCUCUCGCUGCCUUAGAUAAUAAUAUAUAUAUACGCGUAUAAAUGUCAUAUAUUAUUAUAUUAUAUAUAUAUAUAUAUAUAUAUAUAACUUCCCCAUAUUAUAGGACAGUCUGUUUUUUCGCACCUCGAAACCACGUGUUUUUAUUCGGUCCGUUAUGAAUUUCUUGAGAACGCAAUAAUUUGACGCACUGAAACGUGGUCGAAUGGUUACUGCAGUAUUAUGUGUUCCAUAUAACUUCGUACCUACAUAAUCCCUAAAUAUAUGUAUACAAGUAACGAGGGAGGGGGGAGGGGCUAACAGAAUCGGAAAAUUCAAAAUCAGGAAUAAAUAUUAAAUUCAGAAACGCUAUUUUCGAGGAAUAUAAUUAACCAAGAAUGAUUUUUCUUGGGAAUAUAGAAAUUUGAGAAUGAAAAAUUAUUGGGACAAUUAAAAUUAGAAAAAUAUUUAACGCGUGGAAAAUUUAUAAAAAAGAUAAAAAUUAGGAUAUUCAGAUCAGUUUUAUACAUAACUGGUAGGCUCCAUGAUCUUAUCGAACAUUUAUGGAAAAAGAAAUUUUGUAUCUAUAUUUUAGAUUUCGUUUAGGUUGGGUUACCUAAAUUAACCUAAUUUAAGCUCAAAUGUAUUAUUUAAUUAUUUUCAAAAGGCCCUACCCAUUAAUUAUUACAAACAUAAAAUUAACAAAUAACAAUAGUCUAAAAUAUAGAUAAACAUUUUUUUUCCCGAAAAAUCUUUGAUAAGAUAAUGGAGCCUACCAGUUACGUAUAAAACUGAUUUGAAUAUCCUCCUAAUUUUUAUCUUUUCUAUAAUUUUUCCACGCGAUAAAUAUUUUUCAACCCUGUCAACUAACCUAACGUAUGGUUAGUUGACAGAGUUAGGUUAGACAAAUUAUUGUCACUUCUAUUAUUUCUAAUACGAAACGAAUGAAAAUAAACUAUUUUUAAUUUCUUAAUUUUUAUCGUUCCUGUAAUUUUUUAUUCCUAAAAUUAUAUAUUCCUAAGAGAAACCCUUCCUAGUCAUUUAAAUUCACGUGAAAUAUCAUUCCUGUAAUUGUCUUUUUCAUAAUUCCCAGACCCUUGUACUUUGAUUCCUUUAUUUAUAUUUUCAUACAUUUUUUUAAAAAAUUAAUAAUUAAAUAUUUAAAAAAAAAUAAUUUUUACAAAAUCCAAGAUUAUCAUUAUAUAAAUAUAUUUCGAACACAAAUUUUGUAUUUUAUAAUUAUUUAUUUUCUCACUUUUAGGAUAAGUAUAUUAAAAGGUUUUCAUUGUUAUUAAAUCAUUUUUAUCGAUUUACCACUUUUUCAAUAGAAACAAAUAUUUUUUAAGAUUUUUGUAAACCUCAAAAAAUUAUAAAAACUUAACGAUUCAUCAUUAAUAAAUAUUUCCAACAGUAAACUAUUUUUUCAAAAUAUUUUUUAUAUAAUGAUUAUCUUGGAUUUUUUAAAAAUUUGUAAUUUUAGUUUUGCAAAAAAUAUAAUACCUAAGUAGAAAAUAGAUGAUCCAUAGUAUCUAUAGUAAUACUCUAGAUAUUGUAACAAACAAUUUUUUUAUGAAAACUACAAUGUCAAUCAAAAUAUUAUUUUCUCAUCAGCUGUACAAAAUUUACUUCCGGAAACUGACCCCCGAUUUUGAUGAUUGGAUCAAUAUUCCGGAUAUUACUUGAUGGUACAACGUUACUAAUUUUUGUAACAAUUGUUGUCACUGUACAGCUUUAAAUUCGAAUACUUUUAAGAGUAUUAUAAUGUUUUUACUCGAAUUACAUUAUUUUUCUGUUUUGACCGGCAACUAUUGUUAUAAAUAUAUAAACUGCACCUAUCUAUAGUUUAAAAAAAAAAAAUCAUUCCAGUAUUUCCGGAUAAUAUAUUUUUUCGCGUUGGUGUUUUUGUUUACGACAACGCAUGCGGCCAAUCCGAGUUUCGUAAUAACUUUCCAAUUUCACAUCUGCAGCUAGUAUAUAUAAUAUAAACUUGUCUCGCCCUUUGUAUUAUAUCGUUUACGUUUCGACGACGGUCAUAUUGAAAGUUCAGUCGUCCAUCAUCAGUGUUUAGUGAUUAGACCCAAGACAAAGUCUGUUAUAUUUUUUGUUCUGUUAACUUCACACUCUGUCAUAUUCCACACGUAAUCACUAAACAUAUUUAACGGCACCACGGAUGAAAUAACACGUAUAUAAAUUUAAUUUUUUAUCGUUUCUGCAUUAAAAUUAUUAUUAUUAUUAUUUUUUUUUUUUGAUAUCGAAUGUAGCAAAAAAGUUAUUUCUUUCUCUUAAAUUAUAUUUUUUUAGGAAAAACUUUUUAUGAUUAGUAAAAAUAUUCAGAUUUUUACGUAGUAUUUUAAAAGAUGCAGAUAUUUUCCUUGAUGUUACUUUAUUAUUUAAAACAGUUGUUUUUUGAGAUUCCUAAAACUUUUUUUUAAAACAUCGUACUUUAUAUUUAUUUGAAUAAAAUACUUUUGAUGUUUAAAAUUUUCCGAUUUUUUUUAUGCAGAUUCUUAAAAAAAUGUAAAAUUUCAACCUAUUUCAAAAAAUUUUUUAUAUAAUAUAUUAAUAAACUUUCAACAAAAAUAUAUAUUUAUAAAUUGGUUUUAUUUUUUUUUUUUAAUUGCAAUGAUUUAUUGCUGAUUUAAAUUUAAAAGUUAAAUUACCUGCCUAUAUUCUAUUGGUUUUUAACUCCACAAAAAGGUUACAAGUGUUAAUUUAGGGGGGUCACCAAAAACCAUAAGUAUCAUGUAUACUGUGUAUCCCAUUAUUCUAUUUCUAUUAAACAAUUGCUGAAGAGCGCUUUACAUGAAAAAAAUAUUAGAGGGUUACAAUUUGUAAAAGGUUGAAAAUCACUGCUAUAUCCUACGCCUUUCGAUCUUCCCAUCUACUAUAACAGGUGUUGUGAAAUAUGUCCUGUCUUUUUCAUAAUAAUACUAUCCAAUGAGUACGAGAGUUCAUAAAUAUUAUCAAAUUUAAAUCAAAUAUAAUUUUAUUUUUAUUUACUUUUUUUUAUAUAAUAAUUACAUCUGUUGACGUCAAACGUUCUUUACUGUCCUACUCAUUCGACUCUAUCCCGCGUGUUUCAUUUUUAUAUAAAGAAAACCUUGACAGUUCAUGGUCUUUAUAUUUGCCACAUAGUUGUUAUUAUUAUUAUUGUAUCUAAAAAUGACAAUAACAGCUUGUGUGGUUUUUUCCUAAAUAUCCAGUCAUUUCUGACACAAUGUCUGAGCCAAAGUCGUUUUUUAUUCAUUUUCGUGAACAUUUUUUUACUAGUUCUUUGAACCAAAAUUGAAUUUCAUUCGUGACAUGCACAGUAAGUACAUACACUGUUUAUAGAAUAUUAGCACUAAGAUUCUCCGUUAGGAAAUUCAAUUUUUUAUAUACUUCUCAAUAAUUUGUGAUACCCUUAUUAUUAUUACUUUUUUUAUCAUCGAAAAAUAUAAUAUGCUUAACACAAAAUAUUAAAUAUAAUCUGGUUAAUUUAUCUCAAAAAGAGUUGCUUUUAGUGGGACAAAUGAGUUAAAAAACCAUAAAUGGUUUAAGCUUUACAUACACAAAUGAGAAUACAGCUUUUAAACAAUACAAAGAUUCACAAAUAUACACUAUUAUAAUUUACAGCAAUUAAUUUAUUAAUUUUUUUAUUGAAUAUAAUAUUAUAUUUAAUGUUAGUACUAAGGAAAAUACUUUUCUUUAUUUUUAAAGGAAGUGAGUUGAAAUUAACUGAACCCAGGUAAUCAACGAACCUCUAUCCAAAUUUUAGAUUCUGAGAAGAAGGAGGAAUGUAUUAGUUUUAAAUUAUUUUUAACAAUUUUUCUAUUAGAAAAUUUGCUCUGAUUUUCAAGUUUAGUGCAUUUUUUAAAAGAAACUUUGACUGGAUUUAAAAACGUAAUUUUUAAUUUUCUCAGGUCUUUUCAUAAUAAAUGAAAAUAAACGUAGAAAAAAAGUGAAAAAUUAAGAAAUGUAUUAUUUUCAAAUUGUAAAUAUUACGGUUUUUCAAAACAUUUAUAGCCGAAUUCCAAUCAGAAUCGUUUUUUCGUUUGCAAUAAUUUAUCUUUGCGUACAGACUUUUGUUGAGUUAUUAAUCUUGUUUUUAAUAUAGCAGUUCGAUUUUUUGAUUUUCAAAUAGUUUUCAUAGUAAUUAUGUAAAAACGUACAAUUUCACGACAUCAUUAUUUUACAUUAAUACGGAAAACGUUUUAUUAAAAACGGAAAAGUGCUUUAAUCAAAAAAUGACAUGAAACCUUUUUUUUUUUCAUUGUACAUCUUGUUUUUUAUGACACAAGUCGUUUUUUGAUUUCAUAUUGAUUUGGAAAAACCAGAAGAGGACGAAGUUGUUGUAAUUCAGUUAAAAAUAUUUGUAGUGACUUUAAAAUUUUACAGAAUGGUUACAUUUCAUAGUUUAAAUUGCACCAGUGCAUACUACAUAUCAAAAAUUGGACAAAAUGUUGAUAAUUUCAGCUAUAAUUGCCGGCAAUUUAAAAUCCGGGAAAUUUUCUAUCCGCUUAAUGAUUAUACUGUUUUUAAUAUUAAUGAUAACAGCACUUAUUUAAAUAGUAAAGUUGUUUUUUGGUGAUUAAGUAAAAAAUUACUGCACUUUAAAUUAUAUACAUCACUAAACUGCGCUUAAAAUCGUCUUUCGCCAGCAAUGGUUUAUCGUUGCUUAUAGAUAAAAAUGAAAUAACCUUAGGUAUCCUACUUUCCCAACUUUCCACCUUCAACAGUGGCUGCACCCCUCCCCAUUAAUAGCUUUUUUUUUUAUUUGUGUACUUUAUACAAACGUCAUAAUAUGACGUUUGAGCAUAUUAUGCUCUAAGACAAUGUUUUAUAUGUUUGGAAACAUAUAAAAUAUCUAUUUUAUAUAAAUGAAUACGUGUGUUUGUCCUUUAUGCAUUUAUACACCCAAUCAUCAUGUAAUUUUGAGAAGUAAUUGAUUACAUUCUCACGAAGGUUUAUAGCUAUUGAAUGUUUUUCUCUAAAAUUAGGUUUUUUUUUUAUAUAAGUAUAAAAAUCAAAUUAUUUUUGUUGAUAAAUGAGUGAAAAAUGGACGAAAAAUAAAUUAUUCUUAUUAAUUUUUGUAGCGCGAUUUGUUUGCUAUGCGGGUAUCUAUAAUAAUAGCAUAAUAUAAUGAUGCUAUUUUAUUUAUUAACUUUAUUUAGAAACUUUUGUAUUGCAUGGACAAUGUCGAGCGGGAUAGAUUGUAACUUAUAAAGAUCUCUAAUUGACAGUACUUUAAAUUUAAAUUAUUUUUAUAUUAUUAUAUAUUUAAUAAAUAAUUUAAAUUUGAUGACCCUUGUAUUUUAUUUUUGUUCAAACAUAUUCUAACAGCUAAAUUGUAUUACAUUAUUGAGAGUCUCAUUACAUUUUCCGCACACCCAUUUCAGAUAAUUAUACUAUACUGCGUAAUAGACUUGUAUAAAAAUUUACAUACAGUAUACAUGAAUUUAGUAGGUAAAAUUUUUUUUUGUUUUGUACAAUUUUAAGAUUACUGAUCUCAGGUGCAUUCCAAUAUUCUGAAUAUGUCAAAUCCUUCUCAAAUUCUAGUUAAUUUUUUUUUCUAUUUAGAGUUGGUAUUUACUCGCUGUAAGUUAUCGAAUUAAUACCAAACAUAUUUUUGUUUUAGUUUUAGUCUCAGUUUUAUGUCAUUAGUUUCAUUAGUUCUUGUAAUCUUAUAUUAUUGGUUUUUUACAUAUCAAAAAUAUCAAUUUUUAGAAUUUGGUAUCCCGGAAUUUUGUUUUUUUUUUUAUAUUGGCGUGAUCUAUAUUCUAUAUCAGCGGUUCUCAACCAUUUCAUAUCUGCGUGCCAUUAACACAUUUUGAAAUUUUUACACGUACCACUUGAUGCGAUUAUUAACUUGUUUUUUUACUUAUCAAAAAAUAAAAUGUGUGCAGUAUUUUACAUGCUUACAUAAAGCUUUUUAUUAUUAAAUCUACCCUAUUAUAUAACUAUUUAUUACUAAAAGUAAAAUUAAAUAUGUAUGGUAUAGAUAUUAUUUUUAUUUAUAUGUAUGGAUUGAUAAACUGCAUUUUAACAAAUAACUCUUUUUUUCAAUUAUAUUGAAACAGAUAUUUAUAGCUACCAUGAUAAAACCGUAAAAUGAAAUCCGGCCUUCUUAUUCUUGCACCAGAUAAUUAUGAAUAUUUUUCGAUAACGUAAAUUACGUUAUUAAUUAUUUAUGAACAUAACGAAAUAUGACUUUCUUGUGUUAAAGCAUUAACGAAUGUGCAGUAUUAUUGCAAUAAUACUAAAUAGUCAGAAAAUGGUUUUCCAAAAUUGUUUACAGUUUUUGAUAUACGUUUAAGGUUAGUGGCCCGGCCACCAUGCACCGACGGUGCGGUGUAUCAUACAGAAAAAAUGAAAUGUUUAUUUUUGCUCCUUUUCUAUAGUAAAAUGUUUUUUUUUCCAGUUCACUUUUCAAAAUUGUCAACAUUCAAUAGCGUGCUUUUGUAAUAGAUAUGUUGAUUUAAAAAUAUUAACAUAUUAUAUACGAGUAAAUACGUAUGCGAUAAAUAGUUUCUUAAUAAUAUAUAACUGUUUAAGUCCCUGGAUACCUCUAAAUAUAAUCUUUCAUCGGCGGAUAUUUUCCCCACCCGUAAAUUAUAUUUUACCUCCGAAGGUUUUGCUCCGGAAUUGUUUUUUUUUUUUUACGUUUUCCUGUUUUCAAUUGGCAUUUUGUGAAGUUAUUAUGCCGUGAAAUUAUUACACGGAUAUGAUCAUCAAAGUGAUGCGAUAACGAUUCGCUCACUCAGCAAUAAUAAUUUUCACGAAAAAUCAGUAUUACCUACUUUAUAUAUUUAUUUAUUUUCUGAUUUGAUUUCAGAUUUGCCGGAGAAAAAAAUUGCACCUAUAAUACCCAAGCUCAUUCGCGUGAAAAUUCUCACACCGAGUUUCGCAGGAAAUCCCCAUCGAUAUCCCCAGACUCGCCGAACACUACUCGGUAAUACCUAAUUUUAUUAUUAUUAUUAUUAUUAUUAUUAUUAUUUUAAUUAAAAAUUGUUUCUACUCUUUUCGUGAUAUAAUAAUGUAUAGAAAAUCGAUUUUUUCUGCGCACGGGUCGCCGCCGCUUUAUGUUUUUACAUUUUUAUUUCUACAGUGCCGUGUACUAUACGUACUAUACGUACGAAACGGUUUUCCGGGAAAUUACGACGGUUUAUGAAUAUUCAUGUCGUCAAGUAAAUAUUUUAUUAGCAGCGUAUAAAACGUUUUCGCGGUUUAUAUACACGGGAGAAUCAUCGGCGGUGGCGGGCGGAGACGCCGGGAAAUGAACGACAAAUGACUUUUUCAUCGUCGCGCGUUCUCGUCGUUUGAAACCUUUUAUAUUAUAUUAAAAUAUGUAGCGAUCGAAAUAUUUUUCAUACUCUCCGUCAGACUAUCACGCGACAGAGUUCAUUUCCCAUCUAACGGCGUUUGUUUCAGAGCAUUCGGUGUCCUAAAGUAGUGGUUUUCAACCUUUUUACAAGUCAUGAUCCCAUAAUUUUGUAGAUUCGGAGCAUAGCGAGAGACCUAUUGGUUUUACUAUGAUGUGUGUUUUACAUUCAGAGAAAAGUGAAGGAUCUACUGGUUUUACUAUCACGAGUGAUUUUAUUAUUUUCAAUUUUGUUUUUUGUUAUAAUCAAAAAGUUAAAAAUAUUCAUAAACAUGAUAUUUUGACAGAAAAUGUGUACAUUUGCUUUUCUAAACGUGGUCAAAUUUGACAUUACAAUUUUUAAAAUUUUGUAUGUAAUAUUUGUUUUGUAGGUACUCCGUGGGUAAAAUGUAUAAAAGUUUUAAUAUUCAAUUUUGACGAAAUUCAUAAAUGUGUAUUUGUGGUUUUUGGCGACUAUUACUCAAGACCCUUUUGGGUUAAAAACUACUGUCUUAAUGGAUUUUUAUCCCGAAAAUCAUAGACAUAUUUCUACAUUUACCAUAAUUUUACAGGUGUAACUGUGAUUUCUGGGAGAAAGUUUUGACAGAAUUUCACUCGAAAUUUCUAUAACACCAAUACGAUCCCUGUGAUCUUACUUAUAAAAUAAAUUUUAUAGUUUUUAUUUUGUACAGUGUGAAUAAUUUUUCAUUGGUUAUAAGAUGGAAAAGUGGAAAUAGUAGAAAUUACAAUGAAAAUAUGAUAUUUAAAUUUUUUUAAUUGUGCUUGGGGAGAAGGGAGUGAUGGAGUUAAGUUUUUCUGAAAUAUGGCUGUCUUAGAAAUAAACACUGUUCACGAACAGUCUGAUACAGUUUUAUCAAACUACACUUAAAUUGUAUAAAUAUACGAUUACGACAAUUAUAAAAAUCCUUCCGACGGUAGAACGAUAAAUAAUCAGACUUUUUAAACGAUACGUGCACAUGUAUAGUGUAGUUUUAAUUACCCUCAAUGUGUACAUGUUUGCCAAGGCGAGUUCUCUUGUUAAAAAUCCCCAAGUUAUAUUUAAUUUGUUUAUUUAUUUUUGGAAAGUACUAAUAAAUAGCACGUUGUUGGAAUAUUGAUUUUUUUUUUCUUUUAUGUGGUUGCUACUUGUUUGGACACAGUAAAAAAAUCAUAAUGACUCAACCGAGAGUUUUUCUUUAUUUUUUUUUAACAACAUAUUAACCAAAAAGAGGUAUUAGUUACUUAUUACAAUGAGAUAAUAUAAUAUCUUAUAUGUAUACUCAAUAAUACUGUAUUCGUUUCUCCAAGGCAAAACAACCCAAGCGACAUUUGUGUACCAUAUAUUUUAUAUUAUUAGCAUUUAUUCCCUAUUAUCGUCUUAACUAUUAAGUUCAGUUAAGUAUUGUCGUUUAGGUCCAUAAUUUAGAGUCAACACAUUAUAAAAUGUAAUUUAUAUCUUUAACCCAAAUAUUGGUGAUAAAAUAAUCACAUUGAUGUAACAGUUGGUCCAACGAAACGUCUAUGGUGUCUUCUCCUCUGUCCGAUAUACAUAUAGCAUAUAAAUAGUCACUUAGAUCUUAAGGGACAUUUUCGCCACUUUAUCUAAAAGCUACCGAUAUAUGUCGUCGGUCUAGAUACAAAUAACAGUUUUUUUUUUUUUGUGACAAAAUAUUCUUAUAAGCCCCUUCACUCCUCUCUAACGAAAUUCUAGAACGAAUAACGACUAUAAAUAACAAAAUAUUUUACAUUUUUAAGUCUAGCUGUAUAUAAGGUCAUCCAUUAAGUGGUUACACUUAUUAACUUGUAUUGUAUUCAAUUUUUUAAAUAUUGUUUGUCAAUUUAAAAAACAAGUGGCUCUAUGAUGUUCUAUUUCCAUUAUUUUUGUCAUCCUUAUAGUUGGAUGUGAAAUUACUAGGUAUCUACUUUUGAUUUUUAAAUGAUAACCUGCAUAAAAAAUUUCAAAAAAUAGAUGGAGUAUAAGGUUUUGAGGUUUAUAAUUUUUGAAUUCCAUCAAUCCGUUAACGAAAUAUUCGACUUUUAAGUUUGUGUGGGGGAGAAUAGGGGAGUAUUAUUAAAACUCCGCGUGCCAUGUCGCCGCAUAAAUGAUGCUUUACUACUCCUCCCCAACGCAAACUUUAAAGUAGAAUGUAUCGUUAACGAGUUGACGGAAAUCAAAACCAAAAGUUAUUUUAACUAAUAUUACAUCUAUUUAUGGAAUAUUUAAUAUAUAUUGCCUUUUUAAAAUCAAAAUGUACCCAAAAAAAUAAAGGUGUCGGUGAAUGCCAACUCAAUCACUAAAUCAAUUACAAGUUGCGACUCUGGUUUAUAAAAGGGGCGUACGAGUUUCGACCAGUGUUUAUGAUAUAGACGUACGAAUUCAGCUUCAAUUACUACUUUAUAUCAUCCUUUUAGCGUUACCCAGGAAAGAUUUUUUUUUUACACAUUUUCUUCGAUUUUAUUCCAUUACUUUUGAAUUUUUUAUAAGUUUCUGGUUGAACUUCUAGUAACACAUCAACGAAUAAGUUAUAAAUGUUAAAAUGACUAGUGUAGAACUAUAUGUUUAGUAUUAUAUUUUAGGUCGGAUACCAGUUUUUAUGCAUUACAUAAUAAAUGAUAAAAUAUAAUAUAACUAUAUUAACGAUAGAAUUUCUAGAUGAAAACGGUUCCUCGGGCUACAACUAACUUACACUCAACAUUUAUACCGAGCCGCUACUCACCUUCAGCCACCAAAUUAAAUCCACUCAAAUGGAUCACCUUGUAAAAACGGUUAAAAAUAUUUAACGUGCCUUAUGUUAAGGGCACUAAACCUUUGGGGUCCAGAAUCUCUUUAUUGUAAUUUUUGUUCUUCAAAUGUAUAAUAAAUAAUUUUUCAUUAAAAAAAAAUAUAUGUUCCGUGGGUUUUUAAAAAUGUUUACAUAUCGCUGAAAUUUGCCCACGUCUCUCUAGAGAGAAACAUGCUUCAGGUUGAGAAUCUUUGUCUUAUACUAUUAUUCAGUUGCUUUUGAAAACUUUCAGUUAUAGUUAUAUCUCAGACGAUUGAGUAAAAUCCAACUCAAAAAUGUAGAUCGCAAAAAUAAUGUAAAUUUUAAUGAUAUAUACCUAUUCUAUUAUUCAUACAAUAAUUACGCACCGAGCAACAGUAUUCAUAAAUAAUCAAAAUUACUUAAAAAAUACCUAAAACGCGAUGUUGUAUGCUGAUUAUAAUUUUUACUUAAUACUUCAGUGCGGGUGAUAAAUAGUUGUAUAAAACAAUAUAUUAUAUUAUAUUGUUAUUGUUUCGAACCAUCGUCAGCGAAGAAAGGUAUACGCUGAGAUUUUCGAGAGUUCGUGGUUGUUUUCGGUGGUGGAUACAUGUAUUACGAUUCAAUUGGACGAUAAAUGUCACAUUGAAAAAAAAAUAAAAAAAAAAUACGAUUAUCAUCAAAUAAUAUUAUAUUCACGGACACGUGUUUACCGCGGCAGUUUUAUACAUAUAAAAUAAUAAUUCAGCUACGCGUCUCCGCCGUUCCGCCACCGCACUGCUGUUUGCAGGAAAGUAAUUCCAUUUGUACUGCAUAUAGUAUAGGUAUAUACACGUGCAAACUACGAAUGAUUUCCUUAAGUGCUUUUAUAGGUGUUCAGGAAAACCGAAAAUUAAUUUAUUUUAUCAACGUGCGAAAUAAUGCAGUUUGCUGUGCCUGUAUAGUUUCUCUAUAUAUUAUGUACAUGCAAUAUUAUUUACAUUAUACCUAUAGGCAUAUACACAAAAGCUCUCAAUUUUCCACCCGUUUUUGAAUUUCCUCCUCGUCCAUUUACGCGUACGUCUUCCGGCAGCGUUGGCAAGCACGUCUAUUAUUCCGUUACUGCAUUUUCCGCUGUCAUUACCGCCGGCCGCCUCUGUCCGCGAAAUGUUUUAUGUUUUCCGCUCGGAUAACGUAGUGAUUUUUCAUGUGUCAGUACCUUGGUUCUAGGUUUCUCGGAGUAGUAUCAGGUUCUGACCAAAAGGUGGGUUAAGCUGUCCCUGUACCUUAUCUAAACUCGUGGCGGCUUUUCGUUGACUAGGCAGUAAAGUACAGGAAUUAGGUUUACACUUGGGACUGUAUUUGAUUUUCUUGGAGCAUUAUUACGUUUUUAAGCAGGUAUAUAAUGUGUUAUGUUUUUACGUUUUGUAAAACUUCAUAAAACUCUUAAAACCAGCUCUGUUAUGUUUCGGUUUGAGCCAAACUGAGAUAAGAACUGUAAUUUGUACGUGGGCCGAUAAAUCAAUAAUAAUAAUGAUAAAAAAAUCUCUAUACUUAUUCGUUAUAUCAGCUCAAAUUACGGUCUGACGAAUAGAUUUGGCGAUGUGUAGUACUUUAACUGCUGUACGGGUGAUGUAUAAUACUAUCAUUGUCAGGUAUCACUUAACAUUGUUAUAAUUUUAUAUAUUUUAUUAUACAAUAUUAUUCAUGGCGUAAAUAAAAUAUAUUACAUAUAGGUUAUAAAUUAUAACCUACAAUAUAAUAUAUUAUAAUUUAUAAUCAAGCAAAUUUGCCCAUGUUAUAACGUUAUUACUAUAUGGCUACUAAGCAGAGGCAGAUCCAAGAUAACACGGAGGAAAUGUUUGAAAAUUCAUAUAAGGCACAUAUUUAUUAUGAAAAUCAAGCUAAAACUGGUAGUAUGGGGUCGUCCUUGUCACACCCCCAUCUUGAUCCAUUACUGCUUUCGUGCUUAAGGUAUACCCUCAAAUUAUAGAGUCGAUUAUGUAUCUCUAAUAUUAUAGUUUUAUAAAUCGUGGGCACAAUAAUUCGCAUAAUAAAAACUAUGCCUCUAAUCAUAACGAUAAUUUAAAUGAUCACCCAAUAUUAAAGUAUCGGUAAGUACAAAGAAUAUUUUAAAUAUUUAUUUUGUAUAAUAUCAAUAACGAUGAUGAACGAUGAUGAUUUUUAAUAAUAAUUAAUAUUACAAAUCAAACAUUUGAUAACCAUUAUUGUUAUUGUUAUAAUAAUGUAUUUUGACGAUUGACAAUGCAUAUCAUUAUUCGAACCUAAAAUAAAUACCGUAUAUUUCGGCUAGACACGUGGGCCGUUUUUUUCAUAUAAUUAAUACAAAUAUAAUAAUAUUAUUACUAUAUGUAGUCAGUGACGGAUCCAGAGUUGAAUUUUAGGAAGCCUCUUGAAAAAAAUUAAUACUAAGAAAAUAAAAAGAGGUGACACUGAGGAUGGGUGCAGCUACUGUUGUAUGUAAGAAAUUGGGAUUCAAGUACAUGUAGGAAUCAAGAUCGUUAAUUUAUAUCUGUAAGCAGCGAUUAACAAUUAUGAACUCAUUUUUUGAUCGGAGUAGAAAACUCGUUCACAGACAGAAAAAUAAAAAUAAAAAUACAUCAUAGUACAAUCAAUAUAUUCAACGGUCCGCUCCACUUUUAUUCUUUAAAAAUCUUGUUAUUAUAUAUGUAUUAAACAAUUAAUUAUUUGUGGAAUUAAAAACUUGUGUAUUGACUGGGAGGCGAAGCUCCUAGGCCGGUUUCUGAAUCCGCCACUGUAUGUAAUAAACAACCGAAUGAAAGUAUUAUCAUUAUAGUUUAAUUUACGGUAUUUUAAUAUUUUGUAUCUACACACAAACACACACACACAUAUCUAUAUAUACAGGGUGUCCCACGAGGAUACGACAAAUGCAAAAACUUUUGUUCUAUUCAAUAUUUUUGAUGUAUAUUUUUUUAAAUAAUUAGUAUGCCUCAGCGCUACAGUUUAUAAAUCAACGUUUUUUUUUUUUUUUUAGAAGGAGGGGAACUUAAAAUUAAACAAUUUUUUUUAGGUACUAUCUAUAAUUUAAAAAAAAAAUUAAAUAUAGCCAAUUUGUAAAACAAAUUUUUAGAAAAUUUUUGGUGGUUGCAACUUUUGUUAAAGUAUGGUAUUACGUUUUAUACAAUAUUUUGAAGUUUUUUCAAAUGUGAAUAUUACAAUAUUUAAUCAGUCAGGGCACAUGUCAAAAAUUUUCUUUUCUAUGAGUUAAUAUCAUACAAUAAUAUUAUCAUAUUAUAGGUAUUAGGUAAUAUCAAUAAAUUAAUAAUGGUAAUUUAUGUUGAAAAACAAUAUUGUCACGAUUGAAAAGAAUUAGAAUUUGAAUAAUUAUUCAAAUCUUCAAAAAAAUCGUAGAAAAUGAUAGACCAAUGGUCUUAGAUCAUACUUUAAUACAAGUUUCAACCACCAACAUUUUUCUAAAAAUCUAUUUUACAAAAUGACCAUUUUGAAUAUUUAAAAAAAAUUAUAGUAGAAUUUUAAAUUUUUUAUUUUAAGUCCCCCUAACAUAAAAAAAAAAAAAAAAAUGUUCACAUAUAAACUAUAGCACAUAGGCAUAUUAAUUAUUUAAAAAUUAUAUAUAUAUAUAUAUCAAAAAUAUUGAAUAGAACAAAAGUUAUUGCAUUUGUCGAAUCCUCAAAGGACACUCUGUAUAAAUAUAUAUAUAUAUAUACACCAUAUGCAUAACUACCUACUCAUAUAAGAGGAUUAUAAAUAAUUCUAUUUUUUAAAGUUAUGUUAAUAAUAACUAAAAACAAUAACAUUUUGCCGUUGUUAUUAUACGAACUUUAAGUACGUACUUAUUGAUGCAUAAUAAUCGCACUAUAUUAUGAUCCAAGUGAUAGGUAUAAUGAUAAAUAUUUUAGCAGUCGUAUACAAUACACAUAUAUAUAUAUGUAAAGUGGUACAUGUAUACAUCAUCGUUCAAAAUGUCGGGGAUUAUAAAGAUUAUGUUAUUUAGACUGAAAAAGAAAAAAAAACACAAAACAGCGAUAUUAAUAUUAUAUAUAUAGUAUUAUUAUUAUUUUUUGUUUGACUGCCAAAAAGUCAAAGGCAAUAAUGAAUGAAAAACAAACCAUAAGACGACGUACCCGUAUAUAAUAUUAUAUUAAAAUUCAAAGUAAAUGAAAUACGAGAAACCGCUUUAGCCGAAAAGGUUUUCGCAGGGUGAAUCAUAAAUAUUAUUACUGCAGUCGGUGUUCUUAAAUAAAAUAAAAUAAAAUAAUAAUGUUUUCUUAGACAAAAAUCUGUGAAACCGAUAAAAAAAAAACACACACACACACACACACACACACACACAUAUAUACCAACAAAUUGUACUUUUGUUUGUCUCCAUAAAAAAAAAAUCGAUAAAGAUUAUUAUUUUAAAGGCAACGAUACAAUAAUGAUAAUAACAGCAACAACGAAAUAAUCAAUAGUGAAUUUCAUAAUAUUCAGGCUAAGUAGACUGAUGUUUUAAUGAGUUUGUGCGCGUUGUCAACUCGAUACCGGAUAUUUUGUUUAUUGAAAAAAAAAAAAAUCGAAAAAUAAUUUAUAAUAAUUGCUGAUUACAAUAAUAAUUUAUCUUAUAUAGUAAUAGUAAAUGGCUUUUAAAUUAAUAUUUAAACGCCUUGGUUAUAAUAAAAGUGACAAGUUUUAAAAAUAUCACUAAGGAGGAGUGGGGAAUUCAGUGAUAGAUUUAUAUAGGUAGAAGACUCACUGGCUGGUAAAUGGAGAUUGAAAGUAUUGUAAUAUUUCCGAAUGGUUGCUUUAAAUUUUUAGAUUUCAUGCGAAACUAUGUGAUAUGUUCUUUUUGUUUGUGAACUCAAUUUGGUAUUAUUUAAAACUAGAUAGUGAUAAAACUAAAAAAGGGCUGAUGAAAAUAUAAAUACUUCAUACUCGGAAACUAUUGUAACAAUUUAUGGACGUUGGGUCAAAGAAAUAAAAUGCAGUAAUCUGCAGGCAGGGUGUGCAUUUCAAAGGAAAAAGUGCCUAUAUUUAAUUCUAGAAAAAUAUAAAAUAAGGAAAAACCUACUAAGAAUUUAUGUUUAGAGCGUAGUACUUUAUAGGUGUGAGUCAUGGAAAAUAAGAAAGACUGAAGAAAAAGAAACUGGCAUUCGAGACGUUUUGUUAUCGGAUAAUUCUUAAAAUAAGUUGAAUAGAUUGAAUAAUAAAUGAAAAUGUUUAUCGUAAAGCAGUAAAGGAAUUAAUUUUCAUUAAAACCCUGAUCAUUAGACGAACUAAACCAGUUGAACAUAGUACACUUUGUUACAUUAAUCUAUUAGGAAAUAUAUUAGAAGGAUUAAUAGAAGGAAAAAUAGUCAGGCAAGGCAACCACUUGAUUAAAGAAGCCAAGUAGUUAUGGAUAUAUGUUUCGAAACAUACCAUGAAUUAAAAAGAAAUGCGUAAAGAAUGAAAAAUGUAUGCCAACCAUAACACAGUCAUUGGGCUGUAAACGCAAGAUGUGAAGAAACUGUAAGUUAUUAACCGGAAAACUUUUGUUCCAAACGUCGAAAUAAUUUAUACAUUCCAAUGUAUGUACACUUGCUUGAUAAAAGACAAUAUAUGUUAAUGGAAUCAAUAUUUCCUUAACAUUUUACGCAUUCAUACUUUAAACUAAAAGUUACAUCCGAUGAGUAAUCAGUAACAGUUACAUCAGCAGUAAUAGCUUUUUUUUCUUUUAUAAACUAAGUUUUAAUCAAAAGACUUUAUCCAGUCAUAUAUUUUGGAGGAAGUUUCUACAAAACAAAAUGUGGUUUAGCGAUACAUUAAAUAUAUCAUUUUUUGAUAUAAUUUGUACUUUUUUAAAUAAUCUAAGAAAACCAGAUAGAAAAAUCGCCGAAAAAACAGCGAACAGAAGUGGUGUUACACUUGAGCAAAGGUGAGCAAGUGCCAACACAACAUUUUAUUUUGCCUCUCCAUUACCGAUACUUUCCUGGAAAUAUGUUACGACAAUAUCAACGGGGAAGCAAGUAACCAAAUAUGAAAGCACUAUCAGAAAACAAUUUUGCCGGUUUUGCCCCCUCCCCUCCCACUUGAUACAAAAAUUAUGGCACCACUACUAACAGCGAAUCAUCAAGCAAUAAUAACUAUUUCUCUUAAAAAUUUUGUUUUUUUUUUCAUAAUAUUGUGAUAAACAGUCGUAGAUAUUUAGCCAUUUUACCGAAUACCUAUACUUAUAAUUGUAAUCAUUUUCUAGAUGCGUGAUAAUAUUUUAAAAUAUUUUAAGUUAUUUAUAGUUAUUUAAAAUUGGUUUGGCUUUAUAUAAAUUCCCGAAAAUUUAUCAUAAAUUGUACUUACUGGUAGGGAAAAAAGUUUAGUUUAUAAAUUGAGUUAUUUCUAUUUUUAAAAGAAUAAUCACGUUAGUAACUUUUCUAUCAUGAGCUGUUGCGUCGCGAGUUGUAUGCAAUUUCGUCCAUUGUGAGAACGAAAUCUCGUACCAUUUUAAAGCUAACAUUUCACCGCCUACACUACUAGAUAUUUUUAUAAGAGAAGAUAUUGUGGUGCUCUAGACGUAGUCGUAGUCAUAACACCUCCUCGGGAGAAUGGGAGAAUAAGUCUAUCAUCAUAUUCGACAGUUGCAGUGAAUCCAAUUGGUCUCUCUUGGUUCACUAGUUCACAAGAGGCCAUUAGAGUUCAAACCUUCAUAUGUCAUCACACUUCUAAACCUACACCACAAAUAAAUUACUUACGAUUAAUAAUUAUAACAAAAAAAAAAAAACCUAAAAAAGGUUUGCGAAAAUAAAAAAAGACUAUUACAAAAACAUUAUUAUAUUCAAUAAUAAUUGUACAUUUAUAGAAUGGCACCUAACAGUAAAAUUAUCGUCCGAAAUGCAAACCGAAAUCGAUUUGCAGGACCACCCGCAAACAUUUUAGUGAAAAAUAAAGUGACCGGUGACCCACAUCGUUUCAGUGUACCUAUAGAAUUCUUUUUUAAAUUACAUAGGUUUUAUUCUCUUUCAUUUUUGCUAAAAUAUUUUAACGAGUUGUUUUGGAAAACAAAAAAAAUUAGGGUAGGGGUGACGUGAGAAAAGAAAAAUAGGGUUUAGAGGCACUUGUAUAGAUAAUUUAUUGGGGAGGGGUGUUGAAAGUUAAAAAUAAUAAUGAAUAUUGUGUUUGUAAAACCCACCGUAUAUUUCCUCCCCUCUCUUUUACCUAUGGCUCUAAUAGGAGUUAAAUAUAAUUUUUAAAUAAUUUUUGAAAUCCUAAGUACCUAUAAUAUUCUCGAUAUCAUACAUGUUUUCUCUGGAAGCAUUCGUCUAUACAUUUUUAAGAUUAUUAUACAUCUAACGUUAUUUUACUUUGUAUGAUCCGUCUAUACAGAAAAAAAUGGUAAUACAGUAGUGACGUAUAAGUGUAUGCUAUUAUUUUUGUUUUAUAUUCAGCACCUAUCUGUUAACUCAAUGCUUCUACUUGAUUUCAGUGUUUCCACGUCACCUCUAUGUGAUCAUUUAGUAAUAAUAUUAUAAUAUCAUUUUAUUAAUCAUUGUUUUCGCUUUAAUGUCUUUAGAGCCUUUAUAGACCGAGCUACUAUCAUUCAUGUUAGAAAUAUUGCAAUAUUAGCUAUAAUAUAUCUAGAAUUUAUCUUAUGUAUCAAAUAUUUGGAGAAAUUCAUAAUGCCAUACAUACUAAUAGUGUUGUGACAGGAAGCCAAUAUUUUUGGACCAGAUUAACAUUUUUAGAUUUUUCAUAGCCAGAGUGCGUCCGCUAUCUUGCCGAAAAAUUAUAAAAAAUCACCGGAGUGUGUCCAGAAUCUUAUCGACAAAUUAUAUAGAACCACCCGAGUGCGUCCAGAAUCUUAUUGACAAAUUCUUUAUUUUAUACACACCACCCAAAUAUUUAUACAGUUUAAAAAUAUUUAAAAACGUUCAACGACCACUAAAACAGCAAGAAAAUAAAAAGUUGAUUUUACAUUAAAAAAAUUGCAUUCGAAGAAUGCAAUCGAAGAAAAUACUAACGAAUUUCGAACUAAUGAAAUAUCUAGAUUGUAUUUUGUCAAAGAAAUAUAAUUACCAGAUUUUAGUACUGUAAAAAAAACAUGGUACUAAUUAUAAUAGUAUAAAAUGUCAUUAUUUAACGUAAAAUUAGUACACUAGCUUUAACUUUAUGGAUCUUAUAAAGAUGUAUACAAAUAUAAAAAUUAAAAAUCAUUUUCGGUAUCCUGGCUAGUUCUCGAGGUGAAUCAUACGUAACUCUAAAUAAACUGAUAUGCAUUUGGGCUACGUUAAAAAAAAAAAUGAUUUUUUUUUUUUUUUUUUUUGGAUGCAAUCGAGUGAUCUCAUAUUUCAGACGCACUCGGGACAUCGAAAAAGGAUCAUUUCGACACACUAGGGCAACUCCGAUAUUUUUAUCUAGAUAAAGACAAACAUAACGGGUAAAAAAUUACAUAAAAGGUAAUUUUCAAUUAUCUAGAAACACAUGAAAAAAGAAGGAUACCUAAAUAAAUUAGAAUCUAAAUAUAUUAAAUAUUCAAAAUAGUGUAAGUUUUAUAAGCCUGUCUACUAUUAUUAUUUUUUUAUUAGAAAUGUAUGCGCUAUAAAACCCAUUAUUGUGACGUAUUUUUAAAAUACCUGCAAUGUGCGGGCGUCAUCCAUGAAGAAGUAAUAUAAAGCGGGUACAUAAGUUUGAUUAAACUAUAACAAUAUGAUAUUUAAAUAUUUGACAAUAAUAUUAAAAAAAAAAAAUAAAAGAAGAUAUCUGAUCUCUGCUUUACAGAAUAUUUCCCUGAAUCUAUAAAGAGGAUUGCCUGGAAUAGUGGAAGCAGUUUUCAUUUUUGGAUCUUAGUGAAAAAUUUUGUUUUGAAAAUGAUAAAUUGACGGACUGAUAUUUUGACUGUAGAUUUUUCAGAUGCACAAACCCUGCAAAAAUCAGGGAGUAAUCCAGCGGCGUAACUAGAACGUGGCAAAAUAUUAUAUAAAGGCCGAUAAGGAAAAACAAUUUCCAAUAAUGCCUUGGGCUUUGAACUGGGGUCCCUAAAUAUCAUGGGCCCGUGGCUCAUUGCCCGUCAUGCCAUUCUAUCGCUACGGCAUUGGAGUAAACGCCUAGUCCAUAUUAUGACUGGGUAGUGGGGAAUAGAGGUAUGGUCUAUAAUAUACUAUGAAUACUAAUACUAAUUUCGUUAAUUUUUUGACAAAAUAAGUUUGGGAAGUUGUAAAUUAUUUCUUGAACGUGUACGCAGUAUAUUUUUAUUCAUAAUACAAGUACGGCGACGAUGGUGACGGCGCAAUAUUUAACGUUUAAUUUUAUCACGGGCGAAACGAUAAUAAUUUAUCUGGGGCCAUUUGUCAAAACGUAAUAAAGGCCCCGAUUGCAGCUUUUGCACACUGGUAGUAUAUUAAACGUCACAUUUUCUUGACUCUAAUUAAAGUCUGCUAUAUGAACACAUAUACUCGAUUUGACAUAAAAAAAAAAAAUAAUAAUAAUAACAAUCCGCGAUUUGUAAAAAGUAAACAUUAAAAAAAAAAAAAAAAAAAUUUAAAAGACUGGAGCACAUUGGAAAUAAUGUUAUGCCAUUAAACCGUCGGUUAUUAUUGUUGUUACUGCGUUGUUAUUAAUCUCGUUUGCAGUAGUGGCUAUAAUAUUAUAAAUUAUGCUGCUGGCAUCUAGCAAGGCAUCUAGCUGUUGCUCUCUCGUCCGCCAUUAUUAUAACUAUUAUUAUCAUUCGAAAUCCGAGGAUUCACUUUACGUUUGUUUAUAUUAUAUUAUUAUCGCCGUCGUCGUCGUAAUAAUAAUAUUCAAAAACAGUACCGAAUACUUCGAAUUUUCGAUUGAAAUUUCAAACGCGAGUUGGGCUGCCCGAGUUAAUGAAUAAUAAUAGAUACAUAGUAUUUAUACAGUAAAGUUAAAUAAUUGAAAAUUAAAAAUGUAUUUUUGAAAAUGCAGUUUAUUAAUUUAUUUAUAUAUAUAUAUAUAUAUAUAUAUAUAUACAUUUUUAUUUUAUUUCUGGGUGGGGGUUGCAUAAGAGAAUGCAUUGCAUUAUUGUUAUUUGUGUUUUUGCAUAUAUACAUUCGAUUUUCGGCAGUCUGUUUUUGAAUCAAAAGCGUGCGUUUUUUAUUAUUAAUAUAAUAUUACAUAUUUAUAUGAUAUAACUAUUAAGGAUAGGAAAUGCUCAAAAUGCGGGUGACGUAUCGCAAUCUAUCAUAAAGAUAGGACCAAGACGUUUGUUUAAAUAGAACGAUUGAAAAUCGCUAAUGAUGAUUGAUAAAGAUUACUAAUUAAAAUCUGUACGAAUAAAUUUCAUGAAAACUAAAAUAUCUUAAGAUAAUAUUUUUGAAUUACUUAAAUUUGAAUUAUUAAUUCACAAAAUAUAUAAAUAUGCACUUCAAUUAUCAAAAUUAACAAAAAAUGAAAAAACUAACAAAAAAUGCUAUAUAAAAAUUUCAUAUUUUAAUUAUUAUCCGUUACACGAAUUAAAUUAUUUACUUGGAAAGUAUUAUUUUAUCUUACCCCCCGUUACUCUCAAAAUAUUGGCUUCAAAGUCUAAUUGUGUGUAUGAAAACGGUCGAAUAAAUCGAUUCCCGAUCACUACAACGUUUACGUGAAACAUUGUAAAAUGGCAAAAAAUUGAAUAUUUUAUGAAAAUAUUAUAUUUUACGUCAACUCGAAACGUUUCGUGAACACACUUUUUAUUCGUCAUUUGUGUUAUAAAACAUACCUAAAAUAUAUUGCGAUUUUAAAACGGACCUAUGUGUUCUUUUUAUUAUUAUUUCUUUUUUUUGACAGCAAUUCUCUACAGAGAACGCAUAUGCAUUAUAAGAGUAUAUUUUUUAUGUAUAGACGACCUAUAUAGCAGGUGUAUUCAGGCCCUCCCACGAUCCCGUUGGAUUUUCGUAUUGAUACUUAAAAAUAAUAAGACAGGUAUAAAGAUAUUUUUAAGUUAGACAUUUGAAUAUAUGUGCCAUAGUUUGGCGGAAAAGACUGAACAUUGACGAGUUAAACAUUUAGAAGUUUGACAAUUUUUAUCCUUUAAUUUGAGCACUCAUAGGUGUAGCUUCAUAAUGAGAAAGCAAAACAAAAAUAAUCUCAAAAUGUAUCCUAAAUAAAGGAGUAAUGGGGAGGAGCUAGUGCAACGUCUUAUCCCUCCAUGCGCUUUUAGGGUUGCACAUAUCUCAGUUAAGACCAAUUUACAAAUACUUACAAAUGAACAUUUUUAAUAUACAAUAAUUCCCGUUCGAUUUGGUUGAUAUGGGGAGGGGACCAACUAUCAAACGUAAUUUCUACAGUUUUAUCUGUCUUUCGUUCUUAAAUAUCAUAUUCGUCUAUGAGAAUAGCAGUGACUCUUCCUUUUAAAUAGUUAUCGUCUUCUCGGGCAAUAAAUCUGUAGGAAAUCCUUAUCAUUAAAGUAUUAAUUACAAUUUAAAACAACAUUUGAGACAGUUUGUAAAACUGUCAUCAAUCCAAUUAACAUGAAACACAAUGACUUUAUUAUAGUAAUAACAUAAAACAAUUUUAUUUUUAAGGUGUUAAAUUUGUGUGAUUAACUUGAUUUAACGGAGUUAAUAUAUUAUUCACCGACCUAACGUUCGUACUACAUUUCGGUACGGUAAUCUUCCUAGAUAUCCUUCUGCACCGAAGACCGAACUGAUUAUUUCUGCACCUCCUCUUCACUUCCUCAAACGAUAAAUCGAUACAUUUUUAAUUGUCUUUUAUUCAGUUGGCGGUGACGGCGUUGAUUAAUCCUAACCGUAUUAAAUCCUUGUCGUCGGGUCCCGGAUAUUAACGGGUGGAGCCGCAGGCGCGGUGUGGUCGUUAUAAUGCCCAUUCCCCGGAUCCGAUAUAUUAUAUUAUUAUGUACAGGACACUUUAGUCCAAACUAUACCGUCUUUUCCUACAGAGGUCCCGGUGUCGUACACUGAUCUGCAAAAGGAAGAGGUUAUCCGGCGCGUGUACCUACCUUAGUUGGGAUAUUAUUGCAGGAAAUCUCUCCCGUUCACCAAUUUUCUCACGAAGGCGAUACGGUGUUCUCGACAUGUUAGAAAUAUUGUUUUUUAAGAUGAUACGCCACUUCGGAGGGCGAAUAUAGUAUUUUGGUUAAUAUAUUUUGACCACGUGUGAGGUAAUUCAAAGUAUAAUACACAUAUAGUUAGUGAUACGGAAAAUUAAUUAAAAAUCGAUAGUAUCUAUACGAAUGUUUACCUUAAGGUGCAAAAGUGUGCCUAUUUUUUUUAUAAGUUCUAUAAUAAUAAACGGUGUGAAAUUAAACAUACUCAUAGCCAUGUCAAAUUUUAAUUCUUAAAGUGUUAUCAUUAAGGUAGCUGUUUAAAUCCAAACAAAUAGUUUACACAUUUUAUUCAAUUGAAAAAAAAAAAUAAAAAUUACAAUCGAUUUUGUCGUUGUACAUUUUCCAAGUUAGAAACUAUUAAACCAUCUAAUACAUUUUCUGAGAAACUUCAUACAAAUCCGUUCGUGCUCUGAGUGCAAAGACGCGUUUAAAAAUGAUAAAAUAAACACAAUGUAAUAUUUAUAAAAUGAUUCGAAAAUCGAAAAUAAUUAAGUAUUUGGUUGUUUUUCGACGAUUUGGGAUAAAAUCUUUCGGAGGGAUAUUUCGGAAAAUGCUCUCUCGAUUGAAAGUACUAAACGGUAUCUAUACUGUAUAGCUAUAACAGCUGUAUCACAAUAACGUUUGUUUACUUUAGUUUAGCUAGCGUGUCUUUACCACGAUACAUAAACGAGGACGAAAAAUAAAAUCAAUUAUUGUUUUCGGUGAUGAGGGAAUCCGGAAAAACGUUUGACGACACGACAAAAUGAUAGUGAACCAUGACGACUGAGAAACCGGAGACGGCUGUGCGUCUCUGGGGACCCGUAGGCUGACGGGUAUACACACAUCGUUAUUAUCGUGCCGGUCGACCCUUUUUCCCUUCACCUCUGCACCGUCGUUGCAUUGGCACCUAAAAAUACCGACGACGCACGCGAACACUUGUUGCGAUCUGAGGGUAUAAAAUAAUAUUAUGUUCUAUCGUCGGUAUAACGUCUCUUCUCCGUCUUCUUCCUUUUUGCCAUCAUCCUGUAUAGGUCAAGCCGGGACAGCUAUACUCACCCCUAUACUCUCACCCUUCACAUCACAUCUUUCUCUAUAAUAUAUCCAUCCUUAUUGCUUCGUCUACUCCGUGUAUCCUCAUAUUAUGUCUCACCAUAAUGGUGUCAGAUGUGGUGACUAGCUGUCGUCAGGGGAAAAUGUUGUCAAAAGAUAAUAUUAUUCGAUGUCGAUUUAUUUUGUGGAAAUACAGCAAAACGAUCGUAGGUCAUCCGAAUUCAUUUCUAGGUUUUUUUUUUUUAUUUCUGUGAGUGUGUAUGUGUGUGUUUUUUUUUAUCAAUGAAAGAGAUAUAAUCGCACUGACUGCAGUGAACCGGUGACUUUUUACCAGUGAACCUGGUAUUAUUAUUAUUUUAGAUUUUGAGCGAAGCGAAGCGAAGAAGGUUAUGGUUUUAAAAAAUGUAUGUAUAUUUUUUUUUCUAUGGACAACAUUUCUACCAGAGAACUUGCUCCAAUUUUUAGGUGUAGCACUUUUGCUGAAAGGAAAUCGGUAAGGAGGAGGUAUUUUAGGGAGAUAAUUUUUCGAUUUCUUAAGAGUUUUCUCAUCAAAUGCGAAAAAUCGAAAAAAAAAUGGAAAGCUUAUUAUAGCUAAAAAUAAUAUGGCCUUCUUUUUUCUUGUGGAUAACUUUUCUACUAGCAAUUUUGCUACAAAUUUUAAUGAUAGUAAUUUUUCUAAAAGGAAAUUUCACUAGGGAAGUACUUUUGAAAGGUCGUUUUUCGAUUUUCUCGGGAGUUUUCUCAGAGAAUAUGAAAAACUGGGAAAAAACAUGGGAAAACCGGAUAAAACGUAAGAAAACCAAGGCAAUCGGUACAGAAUUAAACAAAUAUUAUUAAAGAAAAUAUUUAACUCCUAUUUAAUUAAUUUACUAUAAUAUGGCGUAUAUAUGUUGUUGACUAAGCAUCAUUAUCAACUGAAUUCCACUCAAAAUUGUUUUUCUCGUAAGCAAUAGUUUAUUGUUGCUUACAGGUAUACAUUAAAUUACCUAUAACAGUGGCUGCCCCCGUCUCUAUUAUCCAGUUAAGACUUUUUUUUUUUGUUUUAUUACGCUACGAUUGUCGUGUUAUAGACAGUCCCUGUAUACUGAACAUAACGUUUUCAGUAUUUAGGUGUAAUUCUACUAUAAAUUCCAUUAUUUCAGUCUAUUUCUGAAUAAUUGUUGCAAUAAUUCGUUGCAAUUUCACUAUUUUCUAAGUUUAAAUUACAGAGAAAACAUCUGGACGUCGAAAGUGCAGUAGUUAAAUCGAUAUAGUAUCCUCGGCUUUCCUCGAAACUUGCGAAACUCAUAAUCCAACUUCACUGGCAAUUUGUUCUUGAAAUUAAACAUAAAUACAUACCUAAAGUUGGUUGUUGUGUUUAAAUUGCUUUUUUUUUUAAUAUGAUAGCGACGACGAUUGUGGCGAAAUAGAAGGAGGAUGAGGUUUUCCCCAGAGUCGUUGAUCCGACUAAAUGAUUUUGCCACUAGACGGUAGCCGAGAAAAAUACGAGGAAAUCGUGUACAAAAUAUUAGGAAAAAAAAUUACACUGCAUUAUUAUUCUAUAUUGUCACUUUCUACUAUACAUGGCACUCGAAUUCGAUUCGCUUUUUGAAUUAAGAUCAAUUUACGAUAUUAUAUUUAAGAGAAUACCGUACAAUUAUCGUGUUGUGAUCAUUGUACAAUUUCUUUGAAUAUAAUAUUUUAUAGAGCUUCAUUUAUAAACAAGAAAAUGUAUGAUUUAUAAAACUUUGUAUUUGAAAAAUCCGUGUAUACAUGCAAUUAUUUACGUUUAAAAUGUUAGUACAUUCACGUAUUACGUAUUCUAUACCCACGUUAUUUCUCACGUAUUUUCACGUAUUUACAUGAAUAACAGUGAACACGAAAUUAUUUAUAUAAAAUUCAACUUUUGUGUGUUCGGAAAUCUAAAAUCGGUAUAAUAUUACGCGUAACGAUUUUGUUAUAAUGUCAUAGUUUUUCGUUUUACCCCGGGUCCCACUGUUAUGACGGCAUUAUGCAUAUAGCCGCGGUGCCGUAUCGAUUAUAUUAAAACACAUAAUAAUAUUUCAAAAAUGCGUGCGAUUUCAGUUCCGGUCCCAAACGGCUUUUUGAUUUAUUCUAUAUAGGUAUAAUGUGUGGUAGAGAACAUUUUAAUAUUAUUAUAGUUAGGUAUAUAAACUAAUAAUAAACUACGGUUUCCUUUUUCGAUUUGUAUAUUAUUUAUUUAUUGAUUUGCGACCAUUCGAGUUAAUGUUUUUUUUUAUUAUUAUUAUUUUUUUAAACAUAUUUUCGUUUUUGGUAAUCCGUGGAUCGAACCAUUUCCUCUCCCAUUUACCCUUCAUUCGGCUUAUAUAUUUUUAUAAUAAUAAUUGCCUUUGGGUAAAAUAUUAUAGAGUAUUAUAGAGGGUAGAGACUUAAGAUACGAAUGGAUUAUCGCUUUCAUCAACGUUUCACGGAGCGCACAAUUUUGCAACAACACUGUUUUAAAUGUACUACGCGUAUACAAGUAUUAAAUUAUGAUUAUUAUGCCUCCGACCAUCACUAAUCACUAACUAUACUCCUUAGCUGGAAUUGUUCUGCCUUAAAUCACCUUAAAUCAGAAGAAAAGAACCACAGGCAUAAAACGAAUCAAAUAGUUACGGUGAUGAAAAAUAUCCAAUGUUUGAAUAACAAAGAACAAUACUAAAAUCUCCAAAUAGCUUUAUACAUUCAACAAAUCAACUCAAUGUAUAUCCAGACCAAGCAAGACUACGAAGUUCGAAAACUGAAUACAAAAGUACCACCAGAUGACCCCAUUCAAACCAUCCAACAUCUGAAGUUUGGAAUCGCAAGAAAAAAUUAAAAUUCGGUAAAAUGGGAAUUCAUUAUAUAAUAUGUUGUGAAUGUGAAGAUCAUUAAACAGAAUUAAUUACAAAUUUAUAAUUUGAAUCUGACACAAUUCAUCAACGAUGACUUAGCAUAGACAAAUAAAAACGCUAUUUAUAUAGCUUGGUACGCAUAUGCCACAAUAUAUAAUUUGACAAAUUCACUGAUAGUAAGAUUAGGAUAAACUAUACCUUAACACAUUAUCAUUUAUUUUAAUCUGUGGAACCACUAGCAAAUCUAACCACACACGAGGAGAAUAAUAUUACUCGAAUACUUUACGAGAUCGACGAAAAAAUGUAAAAUUAAGCCUGAACCCAUGGCAGCAGCUUUCAGUUAUCAAUAGAAAUCGGUUCCCUAUAGAGUUGGCAACUCAGUUCUUAUUGCAUUAUGUUAUAAGAUCUUUAUAUAUAGCCACGAGCGACACGAGUAUUAUAGUUACAAUAUUACUAUUAAAGAUUUUUUUUUUUUUCAUGAUAUUAUACCUACUUUACAAUCCGCGUCAAAUUAAGCAAAUCGAAUUUUCGAUAACAAUAAUGUUUUAAUUGAGCGUGUCGGAGACGGACGUGGAAUCGAUUACUAGCUUAAUUUAUAAUCUCAACGAGACGCGAUGAGAUUAUUAACAUAUUAUUAUAUUCAAAACCGUGUCUUGGGCCCCACUAACAACGUCUCAAAGGAGUCAAAGGAACGAUCUAUUUUCUCCGUCGCUGCACACGCCAGAACUUCGCUUCUUCUCCUCUACCUUCUACUCCUUUCCUGCAACGUAAUCUCAUUCGAAAUUAAACUACGAGAAAAUUGCGAACCAAACAAUGACGCCCGUCCGCGUUUGCAUUCACUCGAGAUCCCGGCGGCAGAGCAAUGCGUGCGUCUUGUCGAACCUAAUGUUUUUAUAUGGUUUUUUUUUUUUUUAAUUUUUCAUUACUGAUUGUACCUAAUGCCCGAUUUGUUAUUAUUAUAAUAAAAUAAUUGAGUAGGCUCUAUAUGUUUUUUUGAAUAAUAUUUGUUUAAUAUUGUACAAAUGCUCACGGUUUUCCUAUGUUUUUUCUUAGUUUUACACAUUUUCUGAGAAAACUCUUGGAAAAAUCGAAAAAUGACCUCCUUAAAGUACCUUACCAGUCAGAUUUUCUUUCACAAAAAUGUUGAAAAAUUCUCAACAAAAUAUUACAAUUUGUAUAAAUAGCCUUAAAAUGGCUUAAAUGUUUUGAAUAUUUUACCAUGCUUAGAAAAAGUAAAUAUAAAUUUUCUAUUCAAAUUUUAAAUGUUUACGAAUAUUUUUUACUGAAUUACAAGAAAUAACAAAAUUGAAAAAUAAUAUAAGCAUUAUUUUCUUAAAUUUCUAAUCUUUCUACGUUUUAUCCUGGUGUUUCUCAGAUAUUAUGAAAACCACUUAGAAAAUCAGAAAAAUGACCUUUCAAAAGUACCAUAUGGACAACAUUCUCUUUAAGACAUGGUGCCAUGCGUAAAUAUCUUAGUAAGAUUUUUGGUAGAAUUUUCGUACACAGGUUAAAAAAAUAAAAAGGAAAUAUCUUAGUAAAAUCAAUACAUUCUUCGCUACACUCAGAAUCUUAAAAACUACUAAUCACUCUCAACUUUUUUUUCCUACUAAAUGCAACUUAUAAUAAACCUCGUGUUAGAUUUUCAGGCAUUUUUGUUUGGUAAAAUAAUUUUAUCUAAAUAGUACCUAUCAAUGAAAAUUACAUAAAAGAUCUAGAAAAUGUGAAAUGUCUGCAAAUACCUAAUAAAUAUUUUCAGAAUAUUUUAAAAUUCGUGCGUCUAAAAAGGGCAAUAAAGGUUUUGUCAAAAUUUUAAGUCUCUACGGAAAUUUUGAACUGAAUAACCAUAAAAAAAUAAAAUUGAAAAUAAUGAAACCAUUACUUUUGUAAACUCUAUUCUCGUUAUUUCAGUGUUUUAUCCAAUUUUAUUAAAUUAUUAAUAAAAACUACAUAGAAAAUCAAAAAAUUGGUUUUAUUAUUGCACUUACCAGAUCCAAAAAAGAUCUCUGGUCAUUUUUUAAUUAUAGACUAAUUUUUGGUUUGAAGGUAAAAAAAAAAUACACACACAUUAUAGUAAAAUUUAUCUCACACUACACUCAGAAUUUAAAAUAGUUUGAGGAAAUUUUGAUUCUAGUGGCGGUAUUCACGGGCCUUUUUUUUUUAUUUUAAAUAUACGUCACCGUCGUCGGCUGGGGCAUUUUUCGAGUCGUAUUAGACCAAAAAUCAACCAGGUUAAUCGAUUUUUCCGCCUGGGAAAUAUUCUUUACACCCCGUUUAACCACACAUCACUAUAAUAUAAUAACUCCACACUAACCGGAUGAAUGUUAUCCGCCACCUGUAAGGUCCUCUCGAUCAAUAUCGCAUUACGUAGGUAGGCUUCUAUUAUCCGCGUAGGUAUAUUAUACCUAAUAUUUUAACGUAAUCGGCGGUCGGAACAACGCGAACGAGCCUUUGUCCUCGUCGCUGCAGAUUCUUAUAUAUAUAUAUAUAAUGCACGUGCGUACAAUGGAUCUUUUGUAUUAAAAAUAAAAUAAAAUACAAACUCCAAAUCGAAAUCAUUUAUGCCGAUUUGACGUGAGUUGUUGAAAAAUAAUUCAAAAAUAAAAAAAAAAUAGAGCUAUUGCGGCUGAUAAGUGUGCCACUGUUUUAGGUGAAAUAUUAGGAAAGCAAAAUACAUAAAGUCAUUUUAUACAUAUCCGUAUUUAAUGAUAAAUUAUUGUUAACGAAAAACGAUUUGGAACGAAGUUUGGACAAAGAGUUUUUGAACAUGAUUUAAAAUUGAAUUAAAACGCAUACAAAAAACAAACAAAAAAUGCUAAAUUUAUUACGAACACAUUUUUUUUUUUUUACUUCUAAGUACAGUUUAUGAUCAAAAAUUGUUUUAAAUAUUUCUACUUUGCUUAAAUAUCAAACUAAAUAAAAAAUAAAAUAAACUCAAAAGUAUUAGGUAAAUGUUUAUAAAAAAAAUUGUUCAAACUCAGAGAACUCAAAGAUCGUCAUUUUUCAAAUAUCUAAAUUAAAGAUAAAUGAUAUAAAAAAUACAUUAUAUUUCUAGAUUAGGUAUAACACCCAAUAAAAUCGUAAAUUGUUAUAUUAUUUUUUACCAAGUUUGAAAAAAUUAGCGUUUAAUAAUUAAAAAAAUGUGUUAUUUAUGAUGUAUUUUAUAAAUAGUAUAUAUUCUAUUUCGUAUUCGAUUAUACGAAUAUAGUGUAAUCGACGUAUUAAUUUUAUAAUAUUGCACCAGCUAUAAUACAAAAACAAUUUUACCCUGGAAGUUUAAUUUCCAAUUUGAAAGAUAUUCAUAUUAAAGUCAUAAAUAUUAUGAUACAUAAUUUUCAUUUUUUUUUUAACGAGCCUCAAUAGUUGUUGAAAAUCUGCUCGGUUCAGAAUAUGAAUACAAUUAUAACAUGUACAUUGAACAAUAAACCAAUAUAUUUUUAAAAGUUUAUAACUAUACCUAUAUUUUUACAACACGGGUUAUUAUUUUUUAUUGUAUCUGUAUUUUUCAUUUAUAAUACGAUAAAAAAAAAAAAAAAAAAUUGAUAAAGUUUUACUUAUUAUGCUAUACAAACAAGCAGCAUAUCUGAUCAAACGAUAUUAGUUAUUUUGAGAACGAAAAUGACGUCCGAAUUUAUUUUAAUUUAUAACAAUAUCAUCUAAUAAUACGAAAAUACUGAAAAUCAUCGGAAAAUUUAUGGAUAAACAACUAUGGGCAUGAAUGGGUUAAAAAUUAUUUUAAUUUGAAGUUUUUGGCUACCCAAUUUUUAACAUUAUUUAAUUUUUUUUUGUUUUACAUUAAUGAAUUUAUUAUUAUUGAUUUUAAUGAUUUUGUACGGUUUUAAUUUCUUUAAGUUUUAAUACGACAUUGUAUUUUUUGCAAUCUAUAUAUCUAAGUAUCUAAUUGAUUUGAAUACUGUCAUUUGAAAGAUAUAUUAAAAAGAUUUUAGUUUUAUGUUGUAAAUACUAUUUUAAUGGAAAAUGUGAAUAUUAUGGGAAUUCAAAAUAAUAUGUGUAAAGGAACUUCGCUCAGAAACAUACUUCGUUAGCUUUCGUUUAUAUUUACUUAUAGAUAUAAAUUAUUUUCAAAAUAAACCGCAAAACUUUAGGUUUAAUCAUUUCCACUACAUGACAAUAACAAGUGUAAUGUUAUUCUCAUACAACAUGCAUACAAUUAUUUGUAUUUAUAAGAUUAAACGAUUUGGAUAUGGCCGAGUAUUUGGUAUUUAGUAAAAAAAAGUUGCUAAUAAAUACAAGGAUCAUUCUUAAUUCGAAGAUAAAUACAUAAUUCUUCGUAAUCAAUACAUGAUAAUAUAGUUGGAAAAAUAAAAUUAACACGGUGGUCGGCGCGUCUUCGCCGCCGUAGCAUUAACAAAAUUAUUCCUAAAAAAAGGUAGAUUUCAUUGAAGUUUCAUAGACACCAUUCAUCGGUGCCGACGUGUAUGUCUCUUUAUUCAAAAAAUAACGGUUUUUUUUUUGAAGUCUCGAAUGUCUUGCCCUCACGGGAAUCGUUUAAACGAUCACUCUGUCGAGAAUUCUGUUCACAACAAGUACGUCCCACUAACUUCUUUCGAAAAUAUCUAGCUCCUAUUUUUAACUACUAAUCACUUGUAUUCGAUUUCUUUAUAAUAUAAUUAUUUUAUUCAAUUGAACUAUUUGUCAACACAGGUGCAAAGUGUUCAUUAUUUUAAUUAGAUUAUUUUAAUUAAAUUGUGACUGUCAUCCAAUUACUUCAGGAUCACGUGAGGACAUAAAACAAGUAUAUAAAAAUAAACAAUUCAAGUUAAUAAGAUAACUAAAUGUUUAAAUUAACUUUUUAAACUCGUUAAGACAACGAUAAUUUUUAACGCGUGAAGUCACUAACUUUUUUUUCCAAUAAACCCAAGAGAGUUUAUAUUAUUCUUUAAGGCAUAAUGAUAUUUGCCAUGACAUAUUUGUCUUUCUAACGGGCAAUACAGAAAAAAAGUUGGUACUGAGGACGGGCGCAGCCACUAUUGUAGAUGGGAAAUUAGAAAGGUUAGGUUCCGUAUAUUUUGAGUAAUUCCUACGUUAUUUCCUGGUUUUUCGUAACUGUUAGGAAAACUAUACAGGAAAUCAAACAACAAUUUUCGUAUUCACAAACUAGACUACACUUUCUGAAUAUGCUAUUUUUUCCAACUUGUCUCCUAAAACAACGGCAUAUCUAUCGGUAGUAUAGGACAUUAUUAUUUUACUCGUCCAAUGGUUCAUGGUCAUAGACUUUGGUCUUGAAUUAAGUAAGCAUUUCUCCACUAGUGACCACAUAGUCACCCAUCAGUUAUGUCCAAGGUGUCGGUACUACGGGUUCAAAUUCGACACCAGCACGAACCCGUAAAGAUACCACUAAGGUACCGGUUUAUUUGGUUAGAUCUUACUCGACUCGGAAUCCUGCAGGAGCAACAGCAUCUGGUGUAAUAUAAUAUCGUACCGAUUAAAACAAACCAUACAAUAUACUCGUAAUAUAAUACUAUUAGAGAAAUAUGAUUUAGAAAAUGUUAUUUGAUAUAAUGAUAACGACGACGGUUUUAUGUCUUGGGAAUUUAGUUUUUCAGUACAUUGGAUUCCGGGCAUUCGGAGCACCAUAAAAUAUUAGUAUAAUAUGGAGAGAUUACACAGGAUUACGCAUAUAAUAUUGCGAAUAAGGGAAGGAUAAUAAUAUUAUAAUGUGUCAUAGGGUUGUCGUUGAUGAUUUUCGUUUCAGAAUGUCUACUAUCGCCGCCGUUGGUAGUCUAGAAUCUUCUUUGAAACGUGAGAAUAAUCAUUCGGUUGUCCCUGUUCCGGUGAAGCGUAUAUUUGUAUGUUAUUAUUACGGGAUUUAUACUCGUACAUGAAUAUACCGGAUAAUUUUUUUAUCGCUAAACACUCAUUAUCUCGGAAAGUAUUAAUUUUUGUUUGCAAUCUACAAUUUAAAAUUUAAAUUAUCUUUUUUUUAAAUUGUUGCUUUCCGUCUAUCCAUUGGCGAGAUAUUCAGUUUUUAAGUUUGAGUCGGAGGAGAGUAUUGGUGCAUUAUUAAAACGCCGCAUGCCACCACACAAAUGAUGCUCCACUAUUCUCUCCUGACACAAACUUAAAAGUAGAAUAUCUUGUCAAUAGACAAAAAUCAAUAAUUUCAACAAUAAAAUGAAUUUUAACUAAUACCCCAUCUAUUUAAGGCAUUUUUAAUAUAGGUUGAUAUUUGAAAAUCAAAAGUGGGUAGUCGUUUUACCCCCUCAAAAUAAGGGAUAUAAAAAAAAAAAAUGAUAAUGUAACAUUUUAGAAUUAUUAGUUUCUUAAGUUACAAAAAAAAAAAAAAAAAUUAAAAACUGUCAAUACUUUUCGAAAUAACAAGUGUUUAACGAUAAAUUAAUCACCCGGUAUAUAUAUAUAUAAUAUUUUCACAUAUAUCAUGUAAUAUUAUAACAUAGAUUGCGUGAGUAAGUAAAUCGCAAUGGUAAUAAUUACGGGAGUCCCAUCGUUUUCUGUUCCGAAAAGUUGUUAUUGAACAGGUUCGUUUUCGUCGGUACAAAUUUUGUUUUACCUUAGUAUCCCAAGGAAGAAGGUAUUAAUAAAAUUUUAGCAUAUUUUUUUUUCAUAUAUAUAAUUUUAUAUCUUUUUUCCUUUUUAUUUGUAGAUCUAAAUACUCUAAAUUGUAUAAAUGUAUGUAUUUUCGUAUUAGCGUAUUAGGUUAUAUGCAAGUGUAUGCGGUAUUUUCAAAAUUUAAUUUGCUUACACCGAAAACAUAAAUAAAAUAAGUAACUAAGUUAAGUUAAAAUUAAUUGUGAAAACAAAUAAUUAAGUUAUUAGCUAAAUUAUUUUCCAUAAUGGUAUAUAUAUUUUUUUAAAUUAGUAAGGUAGAAGCUAUCAAAAGAGUAAUUAUAACUUAACUUUUAACUUUUUAACUAUAGUGUUAUUAUCCUGUUUUGUGUGUUAUAUAUGAAAUUAUAUUGGAGAAGGUUACAAAAUAUGUACAAUAGUAAAAACGUUUCAAAUAGAAACCUGUUUAAAACACUUCGCUAGCUUGCAGGAUUAUAGCAGUAAUAAUAUACUUACCUGACACUUGUAAAAAUAAAGUAAUAUCCCGUAUCCUCGUGUUUUUGUAGUAAUUAUUUACGCUAUUUUAGGACGAUUUGAGUAGAUUUUCAUCGCUAAUCGUUAAUAUUUUUGUCAUCCUUAUUUUUGGAUAAAAUAGCAAUAUACACUUUCGCUUUUCAAACCGUAACAUAUAUUAAAAAAUUCUCUGAAUAAAAAAAAUUUUAACUUAAAUAAAUGCCAGAACGUAUUCGUAGGUCGAAGAUUAUUAAUCUCGAUUAUUCGUUCACAGGGUGAAAGCAACCUGGUCAAACUCGCUCGGUAAUCAUAUUUGUCGAAACGCGUUUUCAUGUCAUCGACGGACCACGAAACAAUUUAUUACAACCGCAGCCCGAGUGGAAAUGUACACCGUAUUAAUAAUUAUUAUUAUGAAUCCCUUUAAUGGCGGCAACGGUCCUUCCGAGACCACCGCAAAACUUCUUGCCGAGUUGUCUUAGUCAACAAUAAUGAAUCAUUUGUAUUUACUUGGGGAAAUCGUUUUUUCUGUCUAUGAAAAAUUUUUCUUCCAGAAAUCUUGCUCUGAUCAUCAAAUUUUAGAGUGGUUUAUGAAGUCAAAUUUUUUUCAGUUCGUGCAUCGAAGAGGUAUUUUUUUAAAAAUUAUCUUUAUAGUUUUCCAAAUAAUUUGUUAAGUCAGGAACGAAUAUCGGGAAAUUCGGAUAUAUGUACGAAAUGUCGAUUUAUGUUAUUUUAAAUUUUAUUUUCUAUUAUAUUUAAAUUAGAAAUAAAUAUGUAGAUCUGAAAAAUGUCACUAAUUACUCAUAUAAUAAAUAGCUACAUGUAGUACGUUUUUUAACGUUUUAUAAGUAUUUAAUUAUUAUUUGAAUUUUUCAAGUUUUUGCUAUAGUGUUAUGUGGAAAUGUUAUAUUUUAUUUUCAUAGGCGUGUUUUUAUAGUAAUUUUUAUUAGAAUUCGUGAAAAACUCGAAUAAUUGUAAUUUAUUACACAAAUGAACUUUCCUCUGAAUCAUUAUUCUCGAUCGAAAUGACUCAUUAUUACGUAGAGAUAUAAACUAAAUUAACCUAUAAAUACAUGUAUUGCAUGUAUACUGUAUUUAUCUAAUUUUCCCAACUUAUCACCUAAAACAGUAGCCCUUCCACGGUGACAAAUAUGUCGGCUUUUUAAAAACUCAUAUCAUUCUUAAUAGAAAUACAUUUUUCACACGAUAAAACAAACGACAUAUGCACACAAAAUGGAUCUGUCCUGAUUUCCUGAUAACAACAAUAUCCAAAACCGUCUUGCAGACAUGACAAGUGCCAAUCAAAAAAAUGUAUCUCAUAUUAUCCUACCUUCGUAUUUUUGAUGGAAAAUUAGAUAGAAAAAACGUUUUACGACGAGAAAUGUUCAGUUACACAUUUUACGGUAUGUUUGACGCGUCGCUACCGCUCAACGCAACAGUUUUUUUCUGUUAUCGACCCUGGCCACACAAUAUUCGUGUUUAUCUCAGUUUGACCUUCGUUUGAAAGGGCCUGUGUAUACAAGGAGCAAUCAGCUUAUUUUAUCAUUUCUUCGAUUGAUCUUAUUCUUCCUAUAUUAUAACGGCAUUCGGAAAAGUUUUUACUUGUAUUUUUAAAUCAAUAUGCUCUUUUUAUAUAGGUAUUCGCUGUUUAAUUUACACUAAAUAUUUUCCAUUUUUGUUAACGCCGUACUUUCCAAUACUGGAAUUUUUUGACAUGCAUAACUCAAAAAACUAUUUGUUUAUAGUGUCGCUAGAUUCCUUAAUUACCGACAUUGUUUCGGUUGUCCUCACGUUCAUUUGAACUUAGUACUUCUGUAGUAUUUUUUCGACCAUUAUUUUAUUAUAAACACGACGGAACUGUCUUGUUGAAUUUUCUAGAAUUUUGGCGAAUUGCUAUAUAUUUUCUAAUAAUCAGGUUUGUUUCGUUAUUAUAUAGAAAUUACAAAUUAUCUAACAACUAUCAAUGGAUAGUAUGAAUAUUGCCAAAAGUGGCUGAGAGCUGUCUUUUUACGGACGAAAAAAUACUCCUCAAUAUUAUUUAUGAAUAUAUAUAUAUAUAUAUUCAUUUUGACCAAAACAUAAUAAUAUAUUAUCGUCAGUUAUUCAUAGAUAAUAGAUAUAAUACUAUUAAUAUACAGGGUAAUUUAUUAUUCGCGCUCAUUCCAUUUGUAUGGUUAAAUUUAGCAUGUAUUCAAAUUCUGAAUUUUGGUAUUUUUAAAUGUAGUUUAAAUCGGUUUAAAUUUUUGAUUUCCGUUAACCUAUUGAAAAAAAUAUUCAACUUUUAAUUUUAGGUAGAAGAGAGUGUUAAUGGAGUAUUAUUUGUAUGGCAGCAUGGUGCACGACGUAUUAAUAGUGCUCUACUAUUCUCCCUUACCUAAAGUUAAAAGUAGAAUAUCUCGUCAAUGGGUAAUCAAACAUUUUAAAACCAAAAUGUAUUUAAACUAAUAUUCCGUCUAUUUAUGGAAUCUUUAAUACAACUGCUAAUUUGAAAAACCGAAGUUGGUUUUGUCACACGACAUUUCUUAAAUUUUGUGAAAAAUCUAAGUAUUACAAAAUAUCGACUUUAACUACAUUUAAAAAUUCAAAAAGUCAGAAUUUGAAUAUGUACACAAUUUAACCAUACAAAUGAGGUAAGAACAUCUUAUUUAAUAAACCACUCUGUAUACUAACCGGAGUCGAUCGACGCUCUAAUUCUGGAUACUCUCAAAUUGCCUCUCAUAUUCAGGUAGAUGACCUUUUUUCACUUGAAUUGCCUCCGGGUGUUUUCGGAGGCAAUUCGAGUAUUCUCAAACCAUCCAUUCGAAUUGCUUCCCAUAGCGUACCUAAAUUAUUCCCACGUAGCAUUUUGGAUGAUGAUUACAUUUUUAAAAUAUAUUUUAAUCAUCAUAAAGAAAAUAUUUCCCGGAAUAUAUUUUAAAAAUGUGUUGAACAUAUACUGCAUAAAAUAUUAUUUUUAAAUAAUUUACAAAAUGUUUUAAACACGUUUCUUGAAAAUAUGUUUAGAUCAUCAAAAAAUAUAUGUUUUAAUAAUAUUAAUACCCGUAACAAUAAUGAAAUAAUAUAUGCCACCGCAGUGAAUUUCCACAAUAUUAAAAUUGUUAAAUGUAUACAUCACACAUAUUUUUAUCACAUACACACAGUCAUCAUUUGGAUGAUUAUUGGCAGCUAUAUGGAUUUCAUACACGCACACAAAAAUGUCCUUAUAAAUCUUUUUGUUACAUUGUUUUUUUUUAAGGAUAAAGUGAUUUGGACAGAAAGUAUAAACUAAUAAACUAUAUUGUAUUGUGUACUACUCGCGGAUCCUGUAUUAUAAAUAAUAAGAAAUAUUUAAUUAGUCAAUAAUAACGAGUACUUAUGUAUGCAAUUAAGUUCAUGGUUUCUUUACUUAAUUAUAUUUUUGAAGAAAAUAAAAUGGCCACAGCUCCGGCAUCGACCCAGUAUCCCUGGUGUAUAUUAAUUAAUAUAUCGAUAGUUGACGUGUACUAUCGAUUAUUAUAUUGAUUUUCGUAAUGUUCAAAAAUAUUAUUUGUAUUAUUUAUAAUAAAAUAUAAAUAUGUAUAGUAUUUCCUAGACAGAUUAAUUUGUCGAAUGUAAUAAUCUUGUUGAUAACUGAUUAUCAGUAGAUUAGUCGAUUAUUUAAUUAUUUUUUGAUUAGUUUUUAAUACGUAAAAUUUUGAUACAAUACAUAUACCUAUUUGCUUUUUUGACAUCGACUUAUUACCUAAUAUCGUGUACUAAUGUCUAAUAAUAACAUGUGUACCUAAUGUAAUACCUAUGUAUAAUUGUUUUUAAUUUUAAUAAAAUCGAAAGAGGAAUCGAUCCCAAUAAAGGAUGGCUUCUACCUAAGAUAGAAGACAAUUCGAGUUAAUGAAUUUUUUGAAAUCGAAGACAAUUUGAGUAAACUUUUUAAAAAUAAAUUCACGGGAGGAAACUCGUGUUGUCUAUUCAUAACUGGGCAUCGUGUCAUUGACCAGUUACUGACUAACAAAUUCUGUAACCACCACUGUAAUAUAAUAACUAGGUUUUGACAAAAUCUUUUUUUUUUUUAUGGGAUUGAAAUGGCAUAUCACUGAUUAAAUCUAUCACUGGUGUUUAAAUAUUUUACAGUCGGUAUCGCGUCAUGGUGUUCUUGGCCAUUUUCCAGUUAUUUUGUUAUCCGUAACUACAGGGUUAUAGAACGAACUUUUCAUUCACCAAACGUUCACUGCUUACUACUAUCUUUUUCUGACUAGUUAAUGUAGAUACACUUUUGAAAUCGUUACUAAAAGUAUUUUUUUUUCGCACCAGGUUGACACAGAUCAUUUGAUUUCCUAAUAAUAAUUAUACCUACGUUCAGGUAUCGAUUCAAUUUUUACGUUUUCCAAAUCAAACUGGGCGGCGUAACAGUCAUUGGCCAAGUUUCCAAUGGUCUCUCCGAUGUUCUCGCUGCUCUUAGUGGCCAGUAUUAAUUUACAUUUGUCGACUAGAGCUAUCAUGGACUGAUCUAAUAUAAUACAAACAAAUAGAAAACAAAAAAAAAAAAACAAACAUUGAAUUUUACGCGUUUUUUUGGCCAAGAGUAGCACAAUUCGCAUAUGAUGAUAGUAUAUGUAUACGUAUCAGAUUGGUAUGAAUAAAGUAUGAAAAAUUAUACGCCCUAGAGAGAAAAAAAAAACUAUAGGAUUUUUUGACGUAUUCAGAACUCGCAGAGGGGUGCGUCGCGUAUAUGCUCCGCGAUACAAAUAUUUUUAUUUCUCCUCGUCCCUGCGAUUAAUCUCUUAAUGGAUAUACCGUGUACUCAGUAGGGAGGAGAGGGUGAGGGGAAUAAAAGUAUCCCUCGUAUAAAUAUUAUCCUGUGACGACAACACGAGACAACACCGUUGUGACGUUAGACUUUCUAUAGGGGAAAUGGUUACGCUAGAUUGAAACCAUGCCGAUGACAAUCAUUGCAACCCGACCCCAUAUCUGACCUUUAAGGUAUCAACCAAUCCAACAGGAUCGACUACUCAACGAUUUUCUAUAGACCAAAUUCGUUUUUGAAGCUUAACUACAAGUAUAUUUUUCCGACAUACUUGAUGUACUUGGCGGUCACGUGUAAGAUCGGCACUUUCUUGCCAGUUGCAAUCGUCACCCACGUGGGGGGAAUGUGGGAUACGGUCCUUCAGGUUUAUCGUCGUUUUGAAAGCUACCAGAAAAGUUAGCAGCAAUCAAAAGUGACAAGUUUUAAAACUCGUGGUAUUUACAUGAAUAACGGGGGUGGUUUUACUGGAAUAUAUAUAUAGGGGAAAAAAGUGAACAUUUUUCAAAAACAAUAAAACUUGCUCGAGUAGAAGAAUGUGUAUAAAUGUCCACCGACGAUCAAGUCGAUGUCGUUCACUUCCGUGGCGACGCGUGACGAUUUAGUCGAUGUCGAUACCGCUGUGCCUUAACCACACGAUGACUUGGCUACCUCUGCUUUUAGUGAAGCGAUUUCAUCAGUAAACUUAGUGUGAUCCAGUUUAGUAUUAAUUUUAAUAAACAUUUUUCAAAAAAAUGGAUCCUGAAAACUUUUUAUCACAAAUACCGCACGCAAAAAAAAAAACAAAAAUAUACAUUCGGGUAACUACCUGAAAGUUAAAAAUUCUUUUAAGACAUUUAAUUAUAAAAAUGGAACAAUUAUUCAAAAUUUAAAAUUCGAAUUGAUAUUAUACAUAAAUGUCGGAUCUUGUAAUAAUAUUAGUUGCUGAAUAUCUAGGAUCACGACAUCUAUAGCCAACACGAACUUCUCUCGUCACUUUAGUACUUUAUCACUUUAUAAACGGGGAGAGAGUAUGGAAUCAGUAAAGUAUAAGACUAAGAAUAAAUAUUCGUAAAAUGAAUACACAAAUAAUAUUUUUAUUUUUUUUUUAAAUUUAAAAUUUCAAUAUUGUUUAUAGGUAAGGGUUUUAAUAUUUGAAUAUAAUAUUCAUAUUGCCGAACAAUGUGAAACGGUAAACUUUUUGACAGUAUCUUGUAUGAAAUUCUAUUUUAGUCCAAUCUGUAAACUUGCUUUGACUCCGGAGACCGGAAAAGGAUGAAGGGAGAACGUGAGAGGAGAGUUCGCGUUUACAAUUGUAUAACAACAAUCGACGUGUGAACAAUAAAGUGACGACAACGUAAGUUUCGGCGCAAUAUAACGUGAUGUUGCUCAGUUGCUGCGAUUGGAUUUUUUAUCAGCAUGUCAAAACUUUAGCCCGCAUAGGUACAUAACCCUAUAUACUGAUAAAUAACGAAGUCAUAUACCGUGCAUACCAUUACUACGGUAACAUUAAAUCUAUAUAAUAUCUGUACACCGUCGCCAUGUCAUUCGGUUGACCGUGAUCUGCAUGAACAAUAGCAGACCCUCCGGUUUGUUAUUGAACUCGUGAUUACCCAACUAUUGUAUGGAAAAACCGAGAAUAUAUAUUGGUUUAACGAUUCCGGUUAAUUAUUUUAGAUCUAGAAUUAAUUUGUUGUGAUUAACAUUUUUUUGCAAGCUUUUUCGUGAUAAAUUAUUUUAUUUUUCAAACUAACAUUUAUCAAUGCGUUAUGGAUUUGUCUCAUGUUAAUGAUGCGCGUGCAGUCAUUUAUAUAUUAAAAUAAAUACCUAUAUUAAUAUAUAAUUUACACCAGACAUCUUUAUUAAUGUAGUAUAGUAGCGUAAUCAGUUGUCAAACCUUGUUUUUAUACUAGCAUACAGUUUUGCAAAACGUCUUGGCUAUCUUUUAGUGAGCAUCUUAUUGUAAAAUUUACAUAAUUUCAAUCAGAGGACCGAUUACUAUUAUUAAGUUAAGUUGGGUCAUGGUUAAAGGUUAUGAACCACCUAUCGAAUUUUAUAAGGUAGGGGGGUAUGACUGGUAUGAGUCAGUGUAAUGGACAGCACCUAAAUGUAAACCGAAAUCUUUAUAUUAAUCUGUUAUUUGUAUUUUAUCGUCACUCGGUCAAAUGAAAAUAUGCCGAUGAUGCGCUGACACAGUUUACGUUAAUAAGAACGACGAGGCAGCGAUACUCGUUUUUCCAUUAGGGUAAUUCAAAUUAAGGCGUAUUCGUGGACAAAAAACAAAAACGGUCUAUACAUAUAUAUAUAUAUAUAUGAAUGAGUCUUGUCGUAAAAAAAUAACAAAAAAAUAUUGCAAUAAGUUGCGUUUGUUUGCCCCAAAGAGAAUAUUAUAAUAGGUACACGACAUUCAGAAAGAAUCGAGUGAGAUCCCCCCGAGCGUCACCCGUUCGAAAAAAAAAAAAUAUCAAAAAGAUUUUUUAGCCAACUAACAUAACAUUUGUAUUAAUAAUAUUAUUAUUAUUAUUAUGAUUCAUGCGUUUAAAUCCAAAGGAAAAUAAUCCACGAAAAUAAUGUACGAGAGAUUAUAUCAUACUCACAUAUAUAUAUACUAUACAUAGUAAGCGGGAAGGACGGAUUUUAAGGGUUUUUAUGUCAUUCGGAUACAAAAUACCAAAAUGUCGGAUUUAAAAUAAUUAUAUUUUAGUAAAUUGUUUACAUUAUAUUAUAGUAAAAAUAUAGUGUCAUUGUGGAUUACCUGCUAUAAAAACUAGUUUAAUUUUAAGUAAAACUAGAUACAGAAACAAACCAAUGAAAUAGUCACAAUUGUUUCUUAAAAUUCUAUCAAAAAACAUUAUUAAUUUCAGAAAAAUGUAUGAUUGACUAUCGUAUUUCUAUUCUACAUUAAAAUCAAUUUAUUAUACUAUCUUAUUAUAAGUCGGUCAAUUAAAUCUUAUGUAACGUUAAUUUUAUACAAAUUGAUUUCUCCGUCUUGCCAUAGUAUUUUUUUAAACUCAGGACUCCCCAAUCGGUUAACACGUCAACGUUUUAGACGUGGAAUAAAACAUUGUUGAAAAUUUAAAAUCGAUUAAAUCAUAAACGCCGCGUUGCGUCAUACAUAUUUGUUAUUUCACUAAUAAUUUUGUUUCUAAUGAUUCCCAAUUAUUUCAAUAAUCUCUUGGAAAAUCAUAAAAUGAUCUAUAUAAUCUACCGACUAGAUAAAAGUUUCAUUCAGAAAAGGUGUUAUACUCUAUACAUUGGAACAAGAUUUCUUUUUGAGAAGUUGUUUGUAGAUAAAAAAAUAAAUUAUAAACACACAUCAUAGUAAAACCAAUAAAUCCUUCUCUACGCUCUGCAUCUAAAAGAGGAGCUUAUAUUGAACUUUGUAAAUUAAUCUGUGUCAUUUCUAAGAAAAAACAUUAUCAUAUUUUUAAAAAAUAGAUAACCACGAACCAUAAUAUACAUUAUUAUAUAGCAAAUUAUACAACAGAAACUUUGCACCAAAAUCUAAUAACAAUUAACAAGAAAACGAAUGAAAACAAAUAAUCAUAUCAAUUCACUAGUGACAACUGAUAAUAUUAACAAAUUAAUAAAACCCUCAAUUUAAAAAUAAUUUUUAACCUGGGUUUACAUUUAAUAAAAGAGGGAGGGGGAAAAUGGAGAAGUAAAUUUAAAUUUUGGUAGGGCUACCUUUGCCCUUUGCCUCUAACCUCACUCUUUCUACUAUGCGUUAUAAACGUUAUAAAAGAAGAAAAAUGAGUUCAUAAAAAUCAUAAUAAAAUCAACGGGAUUACUCCAUAAUAAUACGUUUGCUAUAACGACGAAAAUAGAACAUUGAUAUACAUAUUUCAUAAUUCGCGAUAAAAUGUAUCCACAAACAAAAUAACAUUUCCCGUUUUUGUGAAGAAUACUUUGAUUUUUUUUUUUUUUAUUGUUAAUAUUAUUCGAAUGUAAAACAGGAAUAAUACGGUUUUGAUCGGUUUUCGAAAUAUAUUAUAAUAAUGUUAUAUUCAAAACAUACGAUUUUCGUUUCAAAUGCCUUUUUACAUUCACACAAAUGUUAUUGUUCGGCGAUAAGAAUAUACUUAUAUAUUAUUAUUCUAUUUUAUAACCACUCAAAAAUUAUGCAAUGCAACAAUGCAACAAUCGUUUUCGAAUAUACAUACUAUGUAUGUAAUAUAUUAUAUUUCAACCAAAAAUGUCCGUUUUUCUAGUACUAUAUGUAUUAUAUUGAACGGUUUACUUUCAAGAAUUCCGUUUUUAGUUUCUCAAGCAUAACGUCGUAAAAUACGUUUGGUAGAUAUAUAAUUUUUGGCUGUCCCUUGUACCAAAAGCAAUUUUCCGUGAAAUGUUAUUGAAGAAAUUCGAGUAGGUUCCUACCACAUAAAACAGAAAUACUCUUAAAACAGAAGCAUAGGACCUAUUUUUUCCUUAGGGGGGCAAAAAUUUAGAUGGUGUAACAUUUCUUAGUUAUUCUCUCAAUAUGCAUGUACGAUGGUAGAGGACGACGGUAGUGGAUCGUAGAAAACAGGGUCGUAUCUUGGAAUUUUCUAUAGGGGGAGGGAAGGUCCAGUUUCAUAAAUAAAAAAUGUGGAUGAUAUAUCUUUAUAAGAAAUUGCAUUGAGUUAAACCUCAAAAUUGUGAGAGUAAAAUAUUAUAUUUUCAUGACAACACUAUUGCAAUUUUUCACGGGCUUUUAGCAAUGUCGUUCAAUAUUUCAUUGGGCGUGAUGACAAUAUUUCGGUAACAACUUAAUAGUACUAAUCCAUUGAGAUGAUCCUGUUUGACAAACAGCUAGAUAAAUAAAAUUAAAUCACUAUUAAUUUUUUAUACAUAUCACUUUCAUACUGUUUCUAAGGUAGGUAUAGGUAUUUAUUCUUUUUAAACCAGAAAAAGAUCUUUCUGGCGUUGAAGUAGAAACUGUUGAAGUAGACUGCACAAAAUUUUUAAUAAAAAUAGAUAACUUAAAGUAUUAUUCUAAAUUAACUUCUUUAGUAUUUUUAAAAUUUAUAAAAGUUUUAUGUGUUAAAGCCCCUAAUUUUAAAUUCUGAGUGGAGCAAAGAAGCUUAUGGUUUUACAAAGAUAUUUAUUUUUUUUUUCUGAGGAAAACUUUUGUACCAGCAAUUUUGUUCCAUCUUUUAAUGAUAGCAAUGUUUCUAAAAGGAAAUUUCACUGGGGAGGUACUUUAAAGAGGUCAUUUUUCUAUUUUUUCCGAAAUUUUCUCAGCAAAUGUGAAUAACUGGGAAAACCGAAAAAAUCGGUACAAAAUUAAACAUAUAUUAUUAAAGAAAAUAUAUAGAGCCUAUUUAAUUAUAUUACUUUAGUGUGACAUAUAUAUUAUUGACAAAGCAUCACUAUCAAUUAAACUCCAUUCAGAAUCGUUUUUUCGUAAGCAAUGGUUUAUAGUUGCUUACAGGUAUACAUUAUGUUAUCUCUAAUAGUGUCUGCAUCCGUUUCCAUUGGCUUUAAAUCCGUGGGUUUAAAUUUUGUCCAUCUUUCCUCCCCUUUUUUCUCCAUCCAUGUUGGCUUUCCAGUGACUAUAGGAAGUAAGUUGCCAGGCCAAUUUCGCGUAAGUAAACUUCACGUUAAAUUGAAAUUUGUUUUUGUAAAUCAUAUUACUUCACUGUAACGAUCAUCGGACUGGUGUAUAAACAAAUUAUUCUAAAUUACCACAUUGCUAUGGACAUAAAAUUAAGAAAUAAUAUGUCUAUUUCAAAAACCCCUUAAGUAGGUGUGAUGAUAACCUCAUCCGUCUACGUCUUACAGAUGUACGGCACAGUCAUUUUGCGUUGCUUUUUAUAUGCUAUUGCGGUGUUAGUUUUAAUAUCAGAGUGAAUUGACUUAUUAUCGGACUUAAAGGUGAGAACAUUAUCUGCUCAAUGUUGACGCAAUUUUUCCAAUUUAAUUUAUAAGAGAGCUUAUGAUUAAUUGAGUAUGUGAAUUAUCACAAUUUAAUAAUGCUUGUAUACCUCGCUUUUUGAUGCCUGAUGGCAAGCUUCCGUCUUUAAUCAUUUCUGAACGAGAAUAAUAUUUGCGGUACAAUUUCGUGACACUGAAACCCGGUAAUCGUUUAAAGUUUACGCUAAAAUUGAUGCAAACGUGAAAAUGGAAAUCAAAUAAUAAUUGUGUACUUCACCACACGAUUUUCGCUGCACUUGGCUGCCCGUCUAAACUUUGAAUCCGUUGAAUAAGCACUAAGUGAACAUUUUAAGAAACACUACAUGUUUCACUCCAAAAUAUGAAAUAAUUAUUAAAACACGUAAUAUUAUAGAAAUCAUCACCAUCGUCGUUUGAAAAUAAAAAGUCAAUUCGAGUUAUAACGCGGCUAUAAUGAUAAAGAUUCAAAAUAUAUUAUAAUAAUCAUUUCGAAAUCGUUAUUAUUAUAAUUAUUAUUCAGGUAUUCGACUAUGAUGAGGACGAAGAGAAAUUUCAACGCUGAUAAAUUAUUCACAAGAAUUCAAAAAUCCAUCAAAAUACACCGUACUUGUAUACAAAACAUAGAUAUAUUUCAUUUACUAUAUUUUUUUUCACAGAGAGAAAUUUGUUUGAUAAAAGUGAAUUGUACAAGGUGAAUAUGCAAGGAAAUAAGAGCAGGGAUAAUAAUUAAUCUAUAAUUAAUAAGAUAAUAAGGACAAUAAAUAUUUUUAUUUAAUUUUUAUGUUUUGGUGAAAAAUAACUUUUAUUUUAUUAUUUUUGAAAAAUUUGAAGAUAGUUAUAGAGUUAAUUUUUCUGAAAACGUUGACGUUUCAAAUUUUUAUUUGUAUUAUAUUUGUUAUACUAUAAUUUUUAAAAGUUCUGAGAAAAAAAGUAUACAGUCUACUCAUAAUAAUCAAAAUAACAUUAUAUAUAAUAAUUAUAAAUAUAAUUAUAUUAAAAAUAUUAUAAUUUAUAAAUAACAAUUAUUCUUAUUAUGACUAAAUAUUGAGUAAACACUUUGUUUCUCUGAAUUAUAAAAAAUCACGAAUUUAGAGAAAAAAUAAUUAAUACGUCAAACUAUCAAAAGUAAUAAAAUAUAUAAGUUAUUUUUUAAUUUGUUUACCAAACAUAUGUAUUUAAUUUAAAUAUAAAUAUAAGUAUUUUAUUCCUUAUCCCUUUGAGUAAUAUUAAAAAAAAAAAAAAACAGAAUUUUAUUGUCUUUAUUAUCUCCGGAGAUGUUAUAAUGGGUACAUCUUCGUGGGACACCCUAUAUAACCCGUCUUAACCCAAAAUCUUAUCAUUAUAUUUAUUGAACUUAAUACCUAUACAUAAAUACAUGCCUAUGUUAGUAUUUACGUUAGCAUACGGUGAGUCAUAUCUACGUUUUUCGGACUUAAGUUUUAUAAAUUAAAAUAAAAAUCAAUAACAUUCAAUUGAAGUUCGUAAAAAUAACGGGGAAAAGAUCCCUUUGUUCAUGAUGGAUUCAUAAAAAUGAUAGAUUAUAAAUCGCGUAUAUAUUCAAACGUACACUAAUUCAAAUUCAAGAAUUCUCACAACUGACGAAUUAUUUUAAGGUAUUGCGCAUAAUUUAAAGUUAUUGCUCAAAGUUAUUGUGUGUCUAUAAAUUUAUUUAUUUUAUAUUCAACUUUUUUCGUAUAAAUUACCGCGUUCAUUUGAAAAGCGUCGAAAUUACCCAAUCGAAAUGACAGGACACUAAACACUAAAACUAAUACAUUCCUCACUUCACUUAGAGGUCAGAAUUUCAAACAAUUGUAACGUUCGAAAAAUAAAUGCAGACUACUUUUAUAGUAUAUACAAUAUUUUUAUUUUCAAUAAUUUUUCAUUAGUGGUUAAAGUUUUUCCUCCUAUGAAGUGGUAUUUCCGGUAAGAUAAUCGUUCCAAAACAAAAUAACUGUUCUGAGACUGCACACUGUACACGAAAACCCGAUGUUCAACAGACCGAUACUCCGUCGUCGUUAUAUUGACGUGCAGGCGUAAAUUUUGUUUGGAAAAGAAAAAUACCUUCUCUUCUCCUUCGAUUAUUUACCGAAUAAUAGUCGGUAUAUAAACGAUGGACGCAGAAAAAUAAAUCGAUACCAUUUAUUUUUGGUUUUUAUUAUUAUUAUUAUUAUUUUUUUUGAUUAUUACUGCACAUCAGGAUUUGUUGCGUACUGAAAUAACAACGUAUCUACCGCGUAUACGAACAAAAAUAUUAUAACAACACUCGAUUUAUCUAUCAAUAGCAUGAAGCACCUAAUUAAUUUUACUAGUCGAUAAUAUUUACGUUCGAAAAAAAUAAAAUUAUCUACUUGACCCAAUUAUAAGCGUCACCAUGAAAUUUAUGACCAGUUCAUUGCCAAUAAUCAUCGCAUAAUAUAUUGUUUUUUUUUAAACCUUGUAAAUUACUACAAAUAUCUGGUUCUAUGAACAACACAAUUAGUAUACAUUUUUCACAAUUUUUUCAAAAAAAAAUAUGGACACUUCACACGUGGGUUGUCCACUGUCGUAGAAGUUGGGAAGGUAGAGGGGAAAUUGAAUGCAUGUCCAUACGCAACAAUUAACUAUUUCUAACGAAAAACGAUUCUAAGCGGGUUCGGUUAAUACAGUGUCAAUAAUAGUUUUGUCAACAAUAUAUAUGUAUUUUAUAUUAUGGUAAAAUAAUUUCAGGUUGAACAUUCAAUCCUUUAUAAAAAGUGAAGCUCUCCAAUUGUUCGGUCAUGUUUGUGGAACUGGUGGUAAAUUAGUAAAGGAUGUAUUGAUAUACAGAAAAUGGUAAUUUGGACCCAGGACUUGUUAGAUGUACGUAAUUGCAUAUUGGAUAAUGGCAGAAGUGGAGGUGACCGUAAUUUUCGACAAGGCAUAUUAAAGGGUGAGACGGAAAAUAAUUGUGACAAAAGCGAUGGUUCUCAAUGAAUUUGACAAGCUGAAAAGAAAAAUGACACACUUUGUGCGUUUGGUGAUUCUUCACACUAUAUUUUGUUUUUUUCGGAAAAUUACUUUUAUAAAUACACAAAAGUUCAUCAUCUAUGCUACAACUUCCUAUCCGCAUAAAUUUCACCGCUAUUUAUACAAAAAAUAUAUUAUUUACUGUCCCACGAAAUACUAAGGACACAAAUAAAAAAAACUGCUCAUCGCAGAUAAAAACUUUUAAGUGAUUCACUUGGAACUCAAAAUUAUAAACUUUCAUAUACCAACGACUGUUUCUGUAUAUUAAUUAUUUCUCGUUCUAGUAUAUUAUUACUUAUCGACUGCUGGUUUGGCCGGUUAAACUGUAAAAAUAAUUUCUCUAUUUACAAAUGAAUUUAUAGAUACACAUUUUAAACGUUUAGUUUAUUUCGUAAUUAUUAUAUAUAUUACGAUUCGAAGAAUAGCGAAGGAUCUGUUGGUUUUAAUAUGAUGUGUUUUUUUUUUCUGUCAAUGAACAACUUUUCUACCAGAAAUCUUGCUCCAAUAGAAAAACAACACAAACUAUUUUUUUUUUUUAUUUAUAAUCUUAUUCGUUUUUUUUUUAUUAUCUCUGUAGUUUUUUUAAUAAUUGAGCAAAACUGAAAAAUGUGUAGAAAGAACGGACAAAUUUACGAAAAUAAUAAUUUUAUUAUUUUAAAUUUUGUUUUUUUAAUUUAAUUCAGUUAUAAAUACUUGAAAUGUUGAAAGAAAACUUAUAUUUACUUUUCCUAAACAUUAUAAAACUUUUAAAACAUUUAAGUCAUUUUUGAGCUAUUUAUAGAAAUUUUAAUUUUGGGAGUUUUUUAUGUUAAUUUUAUUUGGUAGUUGCUCUGGCGACAAAAUUGUUAGAAUAAACAGAAAUGCUUGAAAGUUUAAGAAGAGAUUCCUUAUAAGUCGUACUUAGUGGCCAAAAUAAAAAUUGAGUGCAAUUCAUUAGCAAUAGUUUAUCGUUGAUUACAAGUAUAAAUUAAAUAAAUUUAUGUGUCUCAACUUCUCAACUACCCACCUACAUCAGUGGCCGCACUCGAAAUAUCAGCUCUUUUUUUGAUACAGCGUUUUAUGGUCUUUAUGACCAUCUCGUUGAACAGAUUUAUCUUCAACCAUCUCUAUUCUUGGCCGCUUCUCUCUAGUUGGUUCCCGGAGAUAAUAAAUAUAUGUUUCUUUUCACAAAGUCCUCCCAUCUUCAACGCUGCCAUUUUUCUAUUGAAUAUUCUUCAAUUAUCACUCUUAAAUCAUAGUACCAUGUUUCCGCUAAUAUGAUGACCAACAAUAGUUUAUUUUUCGUGGUUUCCUUCAUAACGAACUUUGAAACUAAUUUUUAAUUUUUUCGUUAUAAAUUAUAUUCUUAUAACCACUCUAUGAAUUGUUAAAAACAGAGCACAGGCCAUAUACAUGUGUCUUAGAAUAUUCCUCUCAAAAAUGUCUAUUUUUAAUUAUUCCGCUUUUCUCGAGGCCCAUUUCUCGGAGUCAAAGAUAGUGAAUGGUCGUAUCAGGGUAAUAUUUAUUUGAGCUUUUACAUUUUUAACUAGAAUUCCUGAUCUUAUAAGAAAUCAACUCCAAGAUAAUAGCCUUAAGUUAACCCUACGUAUUUAAACUGUAGCACUAUCUUAAAAAUAUGAGCUAUCUCUUGAUGGAUUUCCGCUUCACUAUCGCUAAGUUUACAGCUAUACAUUUUGUUUCUAUUAAUUACUAGAAUCAAACGAUUUUUACCCGCAGCUAUCGUCGGUAUUUUACAAUGCACUAUCAAAUUUGCCAUUUGUUUCCUCUAAAAUAGCAAAAUGUGUGGACCAAGAGGCCUACUGUGCUUUGGUCUAGACUAAUAUCCCAAAAUUCAGACACAUUCAUCUCCUGUAUUACUUCUUCCAACACCGGAUUGAAUUUUAAAAUUGGCAUAUUCGGAUUGAAACCUUUACGUAAGAUUAACUUGAACGACUAGUAACUAAAAUAAUAUUUUAUGAACACUACGAAAAUGAUUAACGAUAUAAGGACAUCGUGUGGUGAAUUGAAACAAGAGUUUAAUUUUUGGCAGUGGAUUUUGAGGACUAAAGUGACCACGUUUUUAACAUUAUAAUAAUAAUUCAUUAUUUUAUCGCCGAGGGCACCAGUUUCGUUUACCGUAAAACCUUUAGCAAUACAUUCCAGAUUCGACGAAUAUAUACGAGAUAUAAAUAAAAUAAAUAUAGAAUACGUAUUUUACGAAAAGUUUGUCUGCAAUAAAACCAUGUUCAUGUCAUCGAAUUAUUGUCGGAGAAACGGUUUUUUUCUAUAUAAUAUUACUGUCGUUCCGUGUCGCUUGAAUUUUUACUGUCCGGAAUCGAGUUUACAAUAAUAUUAUUCCGUAUAACGAUCGUAUAAUAAACAGUCAUAAAUAUUUAAUCGAAUCGAACACGUGUGUGUUCAUUACAUAUUCGAUGAAAACACAAAGUGCCGUAUUCGUGUUUCGACAAACAGAAAUUUCGAUUCGAUUCGAAAGAAAGAAAAAACAAAAAUGAUAACGACAACCAGUAAAAAUAAAUCUUGUAAUAUCACUGUUGCUUUUAUAGUGCCAAAAUUUCGUAUAAAAACAGACAAAUUAUAAAAAUAAACGUUCAAAAUCAGAUACUUAUCCAAAAUAUAACACCGAGCUGAAAACUCGGUCUUCGCCGAUUACAUUACUCAUAGACUAUAUACAACAAAAUUGUUUACCAACGAAAUCUACGUCUAUAUUACACAGUCGAUAAUUGUAUGGAAAAAAUCUCACUUUUUGUGGUUUGUGUUUUGUUCUCUACGCUCGUUCUUACCGAGCGAUUUUUUUUUACCCCUGUAGGAGUCACCCUUAAAUUUCACAAUUCUACACGUUUCCUGUGGUUGAUAGUUUGUCAAAAUAUUUGUCGCACGUGGAAAUAAUACAUAAUUUAUACUUGGCAAUGAAGAUUUUCCUAUCGUUCAAUGUUCAGUGUUAUCGUCGUCGAACUUGUGUUGGCCACACGGAACCGUUGCCGUGUAUUUGACAAAUUUCUAUGACUUUCUAGUUUAUUUUAUUAAUUCAAAUACAUAAUUCGUCAUUGUGAAAAAUAAAAUACAUUAAAUUAUAAUAUUUAUGUGAAUUUAUAAUAAUGUUAUUUUAUGUAUUCAAACACGAAUUAUUGCGCCAAAUACUGACACAUGAUUUCCGAAAAGUCUAAAAUAAAAUUAUAACUACGCAUUAUAAUUUAAAACAAUAAUCUUAUAUUACCUCACCAAAUACCGUAGACAAAACAUAAAUUCAGGGGAGAAGGCACUUAAUUGUUUUAUCUAGUUUUUUUUUUAAUCCAGAAUGCUUAUUACCUGUCAUUUUAUGACUCCCUUUAUUUCAUUAUUAUUUAUUAUUUAUACCCCUUUAGUUUUACAACGUAAAGUUAAAAAAAAAAUUGUUGCCUAAAUUGUAAGAGAACAUCUAAUAUACAUAAUAAUAUGAACAAUAUAUUUUAUAAUACUUAUAAUAAUACUACUAAUAAUGAAUUAUAUUAAUAUGGACAUAUCUAACUUAACCUAACCUAAAAAGAUACCGGGAGGGGGCAUAUAAGAUGUAUGCCCCUCCUGACUACGACACUGAUCUUACAUUCCAAAAUUCAAUUAAACAAUAUAUCCGUCGGAAGAAUGUUGGAAACGCACAUGUUCAUAGAAUUAUGCAUUGGAUAAAAUGGACCAUGAUGAUCAUAAUAUCAUGAUUGAACAUAUUCUAUAUGUUAUCAAAUACUACGAACUUUAUAAUAUUGAUAUCAAUUAAAACCAUAGUAAACAAUAAAAUUUCAGAUAAAACCGCGUAACACAAUCUUCGGAAAACUCGAAUCUGAUGGAAAUUUAGUAGAUAACACUGAAUUUCGGACCAAUUGCAUCAACAAUAUGUUAUGUUUUAGAACAUGUGCCUAUUACAAUUUCUAUUGAACCUAUUUCAAUGCUUUAUAAUUUAGAUUUCUUGUUUUUUCCCCCUUAAACCCGGAUCAAAAAUAUAAACUGUAGAAGUAUUGUCAUUUGUUCGUUUAUUCAAAUUAACAUAUUAUUGAAAUGUACACGUAUACUAAUAAUGCGUUAUUAAGGGUAUUUAAAUUUUAACGAUUUAUUUUUGUUUGAUUGUUCGUCGACUCGUGUCGUUUAAUAAGACUUUAUUUGUAAAUUAUUCGGCAUGUACAACAUGAUGAUAUUAUAUAUAAUGAGUAUUUUCUUUCAUAUAAUAUUUCACCCUUGAUAAUCUAAUUUUUUUUAUCCCGAAACGAUUUUCGAAUCAGAACAGCCUUUUAUAUAAUGACUAACGAAAUUAUUAUUACGUUUAAUAGUAUAUAUAGAAUCCCCUUCAACGUCUCCUGACAAGCGAAUAUAUUUAUUUCAACAUAGACGACGGGUAGCCAUUUUAGUUUUUACCGGCCGAAACUUCACGCCGUCGUCGUUAUCGUUAAUCGAGUAAAGUCGAUCACGUCGUCGAUCCCGAGGUACCGAAUACCUUUCAAUUAUUUUAUUUGUAUUUCUUUGAAGAAUGUUUGUUUGUAUUUUAUUUAUUUUUAAUUUAAUGAAUCAUCGAUGAGUCUUUCAGUGAAAUUCUACAAAGAUUCUCAGUAAACGUUUAGUAAAUUAUUACCUAGUAAAACGAAUCGAUCAGAAAUAAAUUUAAAAGCAAAAAAAAAAUCUGUUGCGGGGGACGGGUAUGACACUGCUGAAAAUAAAAAGUUAAGAAGGAAAGGUACAUAAAGUUUUUUAAUUUACAUCAGUAAACAAUUAUUUCCAAAAAAAACCAAUUCUGAGCAAAGUUAAUUUAUACUAUUUUUGAAAUGCUGUAAAUUUCACGUUUUUACCAAAAUUUGAUUUCAAGACUCAUAUAAAAUAGCAAUAAAUACAUUCUUUUUAAAAAAAACCUGUCCUAGAAAAAUGGUGAUGAGUGCAGCUACUAUUAUAGAUGGGAAAUUGUAAAGGUAGGAUACAGAAGGAAAUUUAAUGUAUAUCUGUAAGCAACGAUAAACCGUUGGUUACAAAUAACGAUUUUGAGCGGAGUUCAGUUGAUAAUGAUGCUCAACAGCAAUAUUAUAUAUUUCAUAUUAUGGUAAAAUAAUUAAAUAAGCAUUAUAUAUUUUCUUUAAUAAUAUCUGUUUAAUAUUAGCUGAUUUCCUCGAUUUUCCCAUGAUUUUCCCGGUUUUCCAUGUUUUAUCCUGGUUUUUUACAUAUGAUGAGAAAUCUCUCAAUCUCUGAUGAAAAUCAAAAAAAUGACCUUCUUAAGUACCUUCCUAAGAAUAUUUUCUUUCAGAAAAAGGUCUACAACAUAUACAUCAGAGUACUUCGUUACACUUAGAAUUUCAAAUUUACUACAUGACAAUCAAUAUUUUUAUUUUGCUGAAUUAAACUUAUAGUGAACCUUUUAUUAAAUUUUCAAACGUUUCUGUUUGGUCAAAUAAUUUUAUCUACAUAAUACUAACUAAAUAUAAAAAAAAAAUUCGAAAAUUUUCCUUUCAAAAGAGACAGUAUUCUUAAAAUUUAGAGGAAGAUUUCAAAUAUAAAAUAAAAUUCAAAAAAUUUAAAAUAAUGAAAUCAUAUACGACGUUAAUAUUUAUCCUACACUUUUUUUUCCGGGUUUUCCGUUUCGGAAAUUAACAAAGACCUCCUAGAUACUCGAUUUUGAGAUUUUUGAUAGAAAAAUAAUAAUUUACAGACAAACAAAAUUAUAAUUCGUAGUAAAACCUAUACAUUCUUUGCUACUCGUCAAAUCUAAAACUAAAUUAAAUGAACGCGAUUGAUUUUUCGUUCUUUAUGUUGGAUACACACCAAUGUCGUGUUUCCCAAAUAUUUAUCACCCGAUUCAAUAAUUAUAUUAUUAUAAUUGUAAUCGACUAAAUGUGAUGGAAACGUAUGAUUAUUGUAUUCGUUUUUAUAAUCUAUUUCAUUGUUUUACGCAUUAUGAAGGCAUUUUGCAUUUUUAACUUAGUUAACCAUCUGCUCAAAAAAAUAUUAACCUACAUCUAAAUGUUGUUUGUUAGUUACUUGCCUAUACAAUAUGAUCAUUCAUUUUGUUUAGUUUUUUAUAAUUGUCAGUCCUAUUAUUGGUUUCUAUGAACUUAAUUGUACUUGAGAUUAUCUUAUCUUGGGAUUCUCCCACUAUAACAAUUUCGUGCGCAUAUGCUAGCAGACUUUUCCCCUAUUAGUUCCAUAGAUCUGUUAUCUUUUAUGUUUCUUACAACUUGAUCUAAUUUCAGAUAUAAUAGUAAUGGAAAAAGUGCAUCCCCUUGUCUUAAUUCUGUUUUAAUUUCAAAACUAUUGAACGUUUAAUUCAUACUGGGUAUUCACCCAUUAUAUUUUUAUUACAGUUUCUUAUUAAAUGUACUAGUAUUGUGGGGAUUCUAAAAUUGCCAAGUACCGUCCAAAUCUGUUCUCUGUUAAUGUUUCCAUAAUUUGUCGUAUUGCAAAAAUAUAAUCAUUUGUCGAUCUUAUUCUUUUGUGGACAAUAUUACAACUAUAUUUAUGUUUAGAGCAUUCAAAAAUACGGUUUAUUAUAAUGCGAUAUCAUAUGAACCAUUGUAUUUGACCAGUCCUCGGGUCGAUAAAUUAAAAUACAUUACGAAAAUUGCAUUUAUAAUUUAAGUAAAUUCCGUUGUUUCUCAAUCAACUGAUAUUUUAUGAGUUUUUUUUUUUUCGUAGAUAAUAUACGCCCAUGCAAUAAUUUAGAAGAAAGCAAACAAAAGACUACGUGAAGAGAACCACGCGACCAUAUCGUCCGCAGCAGUCGAACAACCCGAAAUGUAAGUACCGCGUGUGCGCACGUGUAAAAUAUUUUUAAAAAUACUAUGUAAAUAUUAUAUUAUAUGUCAUAUAUCAUAUCAUGUAUGAGGCGAUUAUUGUAUAAUUUCAUACAUAUUUUAUUUUUAUUUUUUUGUAAAUAACCAAUAUCAUUUUUUUUUUUUUUUGUUUUUAACGAAACAAAUAUCAUAUCGUCUCUUUCCCCGCCGAAUGUGAUUCCGUUUUUCAAUUGUUUUUUUUUUUUUUUUUAUUGUUUUUUUUUCAUUACCAAGUUUUGACACACGGCAGUUUUCCGAUUUAUUAUUAAAUAAUGUUUGUCCGGAUAGUAUUAUUAUUAUUUUUUAAUUUUUUUCCAGAAAAAAACAGCGACUCAUAAUUAUCUACAUAUAUGUACAUAAUAUUAUUAUUUUAGCCGAAUAAAAGUUUCAGCUUUUCACAUAAAUAAAAAUACAUACCUACUUGCUUAUACCAUCAUCAUGAUAAUAGUAUUAUUUUAAAAUUGGUUUGUGAAAAUUAUGACACGUUGACGGUUAGAGGUUAGAACAUCAUGUUCUAACAUAACGUCUCCGACGCAAAUUUGUUUUUUGGUACCCAUGAUAACACAAUAUUUAUUAUUAUAAUAUACGUCAUAUAGUGUGCUCAAAUGCUACGUUCAUCAUCUAACAACUAGGUAGGUACAAACCAUUUUUUUUCAGGUCCACCGUAUAUUUUUGGCCGUUGAGAAGUUUAUUACUCUUUGUAUAUUGUGAUCGAGAUUGAAAAACAAGCCAAAAAGUCGGUCACAAAUUUCUAGUGCGUGCUGCUAUUUUUAAUUUUAUCAACAUCAACAUAAAAAAAAAACCAACCACGUACAAAUGUUGUCAAUUACGCGUUGGCAGUACGGUCAUCGGGAAUUUCUGUUGAGGAUGGGGGGGGGAGAUUGAGCAUAGGUGGGAAUAGAAGAUAAAAUCUCCGCCGCGGGAUGCGUAAACGUCACACAGAACUCGAUUUCCGGAACGUGACGCGACUCCGAAAUCGUUUUCGAACGAAGGAAAUGCGUCAGCCGUAAACGAAAGUCAUUUUUAACGCGUGUAAAGUAGUCGACCGUAUUUCAUAUCAUCGCCUAAACCUUUGUAAAUAUUUUUUUCAAAUGAUAAUAUUUGUAGAAUUUAAUGUACGAGUAUUUGAAACAACCAACGUAGUCAUCCAUGAGACUUGAAACACAUUUCCGAGGGACAAUGGAAAUUUGUCAUCAGCUUAGAAAAUAUAGAGAACUUUUUUCCACGCUAUAAGUACCUAAUAAUUUACGAACAAGCGCCUGGAACGACAAUAGUAAAAACGUUUAACAUAAAAUAUAAAUAAGAUGUGUAGUAUUAUGUGAUAUUAUGCAACGGUUUUUUUUAAAACGAAUUUGUAAAUUGCACAAUCAAUGUCAGCAAAAAAAAAUAUGAAUUUUAAUGCGCAUUAGAAAGCACUUGUAUUAUUUCAACAGUAUAUUUCGUAAUUGUAGUAUGAGACAAUGGUGUAUUUAGGAUUUUGUCAAAAAAGGAGAUACAGUAUUGGGAAAUCGUGUCAGGUUGUAAAAUAAAAUAUACCUGGGAUUAAAAAAAAUAUAUAAUUUUUUAAAUUUAUUUGUAAGUAGUUUAUAGUUCAAUCUGCUUUGAAACUAUCACUUAAAUUAAAUAAAUAGUUAUUUAAUUAUAUAUAACUGACCUUCAUGUUACAGUGAUUCGAGUAGGUUUCAUUUUAACCGAGAAAACGAAUAUAGUAUUCAAUUGUUUUUGAUAUACCUAUUAACAGGUACUAACAUUUUUUUUGUUUCUGCUGACUAAAACGUAAAAAAAUAAAUAUAAGUAUAAAUAAGAUACACUAUAUCAAGGUUGAGCGAGGGAGAUAAAUUUCCUUAAUUGCCCCUUUAAAAAUGCCACUGGUAUGAGAUAUAAAAGUGUAAAUUCAUAGAAUAUUUCUAAGUUCUCUGUCGCUAUAAUUUAUUUGACCAAUGGACAACGAUGAGAUAACGUUUCCAACGGUCCAAUUCAGGUAGAUAAUAAAAAUGAAAACUUUUUUGGAUGACUAAUGAUGAAGUGGGUAAUCUGAGUGUAAAGUUGUACAACAAAAUAAACCAUUAUAUAUAUUAUAAUUAUGUAGCGAUGGUCAAGGAAUUAUAAAAAUAGAUAUUAAACAAGAAAUUAGAAUAGGUUAGGUUAUUAAUGCACUCAGAUUUGCCAAUGACAUUACUUUUUGUGCAGAAACGAAAGAUGACCUGCAAAACAUCUUAUCUAAUGUAAAUAAAAUAUUUUGGAACAAAUACUGAAUAAGAUUAAAUAAAAAAAAAGAAAGGUUAUGGUGUGCAGCAAGACAAAUCCUAUUCAGCUUAAUAUAAAAAUAGAUAACGCACGUAUAGAACAAGUGCAUCACUUUAAUUACUUAGGAAGUAAAAUAACGAAAUAUAGUCGAAGUAAAGAUGACAUUCUAAGUAGAAUAGCGCAAGCAAAGAGGGAUUUUCAGAACAAUAAAACCUAUUAAUCACUUAUAGUGUGACAUUAAAGGUAAGGAAAAAGUUCUUACAAAUAGAAAAGUAGAACAGAAACAGAAAGUAAUAAAAGGAAACUAAAGGCCUUCGCAAUGUGGUGUUACUGUAAAUGCUAAAGAUUAAAUGGAUUGAAAGAAUAACGAAUGAAGCAGUAUUAGAUAGAAUAAAAGAAAAGAGAAAACUUUGAUAAACCAUAAUAGUUAGAAGAAACAAAAUGACAGGACAUCUACUACACCAUGAUAACCCAACGAAAAGCGUCAUAGAAGGUGACGUUGAAGGUCAUGCCAGAAGAGAAAGACCAAGGAUGAAGUAUAUGAACCAAAUUAUGAUAGAUAUGCUAAAGAAUAGCUAUAAGGAGUUAAAGGAACUGAGUAACGAUAGGGACACUUGGAGAUAUGCACCAAACCAAUCAAGCGUUUGAAGACGUAAAGAAGAUAGCGAUAAUUUAUUUAUUUUUAAAGACCGCUGAAAAAAUAUAAUUUACGAACAUAUUAAACUCUAGGUAAUUAAAUUUUAUCUAUACUAAUUUAAUUGAUUAUCACGACAAUCUAAUGGGAAAUAUAAUAACAUACAGAAACAUACGGAAAUUCAUGGAAGGAAAAUGUAGUCACGGUAGGCCUUCAAUCUAAUAUAAUAUUAGCCAAGUAGUUAAGUAGGUUAGGUGGCAAAAUAAACCACAAAUCAGUGCUAGAAAGGAGUGGAUUCAAUGAAAUUAUUUUGUUUUAUUUCAUUCGCUUUUCAGGAAUUUAUCGGAAACCGAUUUGCGAAGUGCAUAUAAGAUUUUUGUUGAAUUUUUUUUUUAAAUAUAUCUAUCUGAUUUAAAUAAAUUAUAAAUAUAAUGUGUAUAUUAAUUUUUUCUAGAAGUAUAUUUACAAAAAAUUGUUUGUCAGGUUUAUAAAAUUAUUCCUGUGCCAAUAUUAUAUAAGAUAAGUUGAUAAAAUUGUCAAUGUUUACACAAUAAUUUUAUAAUUAUGUGAUACGUCAUAUUAAGUAAACCAUAAACAUUUAUCAAAUUGAUUAAUAAUAUAUAAGUUUGUGUCAAUGUCCCCUAUGAAGGACAGCAGAUUAGGUGUUUAUGCAGCUGAUAAUGUAUUUAAGUUGAAUUUAAUAAAAUAUAUAUAUUUACAAAUUAAUGAGAUUUUUAGUUUUAUGAGACGAAUGGAGAGAAAGGAACGAGUUUCAUUCUUUAAUCCUAAAACGAGACUGAAAUGAUUUUUGUUUUAAUAAAAUUAAUGUAAACCGAUUCCUUUAUACAACGAACAUUUCAAGCACUGCUACGAAUUAAAAUUAAAAGCGGACAAACACUGUUGAAAAGAACAAAUUUAAAAUGAAAAAUACUGUAAAAUUGAUUGAUAAAUUAUUUAAAAAAAAAAACAUUAUAAAAUUAAAGCAUUCAAUUUCAUACACCACAAAAACAUAUAUUAAACUGGAAAGAGUACAUAAUUUUAUAUAUAUAAAAUCCAAAUACCACUGACACACUGAUCGCUGUAUCUCAAAAACUACUCAACGUACGCACUUGAAAUUUUGAAUAGUGGUUCCUCUAUUACUUUCACCGAUUAAUAAGAAAGGAUUUUUGAAAAUCAAAUUCCUAAGGGGUUAAAAUAGGGGUUUCCAGAUAUAUUUGGUACGAAGAUCUAAUUGCCUAUUUAUUUAUUUUUGUUUAUUCAAGGGUUACCUUUGUGUUACGGAAAAGAAAACUAUUAUAAUAAUUACUAUUAUUUGCACUAUUAAAAUAUUACAAUAGAACACAUUUAGUCUACUGAAGGUGGACUACCCUGAAAGGUGGAUUUUACCCACCUUUCAUCUAUUUGUUUUUAUUCAAUUCUGACACGGUCAAAACCAAAAAUUAAUAUGUGUAAAAUAAUAAUAAUAAAAAUUGGCACGGGCAACGCCUGGCGUGGGACAGCUAGUGUAUUAUAUAUGUCAAAAUAAUUGAAUAUUUAUAUUUAUAUACUCUUACAUUUAUAUAUUUUAAUGGUUAUGAGGUAAUCGAUACAUAUAUAGAUUGUGAUUUUAGUGCAAAUACAGACUCAUCUCUAGCUAGCAUACAUAAACUAAUCACCGUCAAAAUUCAAUUUAUGUAGAGGUUUAUACCGAAAAUUGCUCUUAAUAUGUUUCGCGUCAAUAAUAUAAAUCAAUAAUGACUUUUUUAUUUUUUUUAUUUUUAUUGUCGCCCCGUAUAUUUUAACAACACAUAAAUGUCGCGUUGAAUCUUUAAACUUUUACUCUUAUCGUCCGAAAGUUUUUUCUCUCGUAAAAGCGUAUAGGUAUUUACAUUUAUAUUUGUGGCGUUGAAAAAGAAAAGAAUAUAUAGUUAUAGAAUAUAGAUACCUACAUCAGGCCUACUAUUAACGAAAAUAAAAACAAUUCGGAUCUGGUCGUUGAAUAUACCACACACAGAGCGUGUGUCCGUAAAGAAUUUGUAAAACCCCUCUAAACUAUGUUUACAGAUUAUUGAACUCGUUUUUCUUUUACCUAAGAGCAUUUCGAUAAUUAAGUAAACAUUAUAGAUUCUGAACGAACCGAAAGGUUUUUUUUUCAUUUUACUGUCUAUUAUUUUGGAUAAACUUUUUAGAGACUGUUAUUUUGAUACUUAGAAUAGAAAUAUAUUUUAGUGUAUUGACAUUGGUAGAAAGAUACAAGCGAACAUUAAAAUAUCGUAGAAGAUAUAAAAAAGUCAUUAUCGUGGAGAUGAAAAAUGGUUAUUUUUAAUAAAUUAUAUCCGUCAUCGUUUCACUGAUAUCAGUUAAUUUACGUGUUCGGGACAAUGGAUUUAUAGACUAUUAUUAUACAACAAGACGGAACAUUUAGUAUGAUAACACGUGCCACCAGUUAGUUAAGCUAUUUCCGAGGACACUAGACAACUGAUGGGGUAACGCAAAUUUGUUUAAUUAUUAGUUGUUCUCUGAGUGCAGAAUAAAGUUCUUUCUCACGAAGGUCUUCUAUAUGAUUCUCUGUCACUUUCUUACAAUAAUGUUGUCUUGGAAGAACUAUAGACGGAACAGAGAAGGAAAUAUCAGUCCAUUUCCUUAUAGUUCUAUGAUUAUAAUACGAUUUCGAUAAUGUAGUUUGCAUGCAGUGCAUUCGGAAGAUUGUGGUUUUCGUAGUACUUGUUGUAUUUUUUUUUUUAACAACAAUGAUAUUUUUAUCGAAAAUUGCAUUUGAUUUUUCGACUUCUUUUUAAACGCUUAUCAGCACGUAUAACAAAAAUUAGAUCCGAUAAUUAUAAUAUUAUAUGCAUGUCAUUGCAUGUUGUAAUUCGCAUAAAAAAAGUUUAAAAAUACACAAAAUUAUAGUGAGUCGCAAAAAUUACCAAACCACGUUUUCUAAGAGACACAGUGCAACACAACUACAAUAAAUGGUUUAAACUUAAAGUACAACGUUAAUGUAUGUUGUGAAUGUAUGUAAGUACAAAAUUGACGACCGUGAUGAUAAUUACACCAGAGUUAGUUUGAAGAGAACCACCCACGAUACCUGUAAAUUUGUAAAAAGAUUUAUAAAUGUAUGGAAUUAAAGUGAUGAUAAUAAAAAACAAACUUUUGGUCAUAUCUGGGUAGUCUGGAAUACAAAAUAUUCUCGUAGUGAUCGAUUCGAGGAAAGAUGGUAGAGCAUUAUUUUAAUAAUGAUAUCAUAUUUAAAUUACAUCAGAUAUAUUUUUCGUCAAGUUCAAAUAUCGCCGAAUGCAACGAAAAGCGAGUCCCAGCUCCAAAAAUACACUUGUUUGUCAAUUGUAUUCUUCUUGAUAACUCAAUUUUUAAUUUGUUGUAUUGAGCACUGAUAUUAGCCACUGUUGUAUAUGGCAGAUAUAUGAACACAUAGGUUAGUUUAAUAUAUAUAGUGUACAGAAUUAUAUAUUACAGCGAUAUUUUCUCUGCGCAUAAAUAAGUAAAAUAGAGAAAAAUGUAUAAUGAAACAAUUGUAUUAAAUAGUGUGAUAUAAUAUUAUAUGUUGGUUUGAAAUGUUUAGACGCCCUUUUGUGGUCAACAUUUAAAUUUCAAACGGCAAUCUAUAUUUAAAAUCCAACGAAUCUCAAAAUUGCAUUUAUUUAAAUACAAUUUGGUAUUGACGACGUAUUUCGCUGUUUAGUUUAGACUAGGGUAAAGUAGUGGAACUCUGUGUUUGUGUAGUGACACGGCACGGCGUACUUAUUAUUUUAAUACAAAUGUUUCAUUGUUCUCAUUUUUGUACAUUUAUCGAAGAAACUUGCUAUAACAUAAAACUCUGUACACUCUAUAUACGGAAAGUAGCGAUAAAUAAUUGCAAUCAAAGCACGAAUCCUGAAAGCUUGGUAAACAGGUAAACCUUUAAAAUAUACUAUUACCAUUUAUUAAAUUGCUACUAUUAACUGUUUGUAAUCUUGUGUAAACGAAUAAUACGGGUAGCUUUAGUUCUUCUUUCGUAGUCAAGAUAUCACAGAAAUCAAUGAUAAUAAAACCGAUGUAUCGACGUUAGUAAUUGUCAGUUUUUAGAAAAACUAUCGAAAAUCUAGAAAUUUUUUUUCCCCGUAAAGCGUACCGCUGCGAGAAAAAUCUGCAUCUUUUUAAGAUACAUGCAUGAUGUAACCGAAGUAUUUUUACUACCGAAAAAGUUUUUUUUGAAGAAAAAAAUUCAACCAUAAAGCAGGGCCUAAAGUUGGGGUAUUUUGCUACUGCACAUCUAAUUACACACACCAAAAUAUUUUAAAAUAGUGAACAUAGGUAGUGCACAUGCCACAUAUGACUUCGUUGCAUAAUUGUUUUGGUAUUUAUUAUUAAUUAGUUAUAAAUUGUAAUAAAUACAAUCUAAGACAAUCGUCUAUAAAAGUCCUUAAUAUAUAACUAAAAAAUAUUAAAAACUAAAAAGCUUGGGUUAAUAUACUUUUUAUAUUAUUAAAUAAUAACAAAUACCUACUUUACUGGGAACAAAAUUUAACGCAAUGUUAUAAUUAAUAUAAAACAAUUAUGCAAAUUUAGUCAAAAACAAAUUCUGGUACUAUUAUUCUCAGGAAAAUAAAUACUUUUUGAAUCUUCAGCUUCAGAGAAAACCCUUUGAAACUAUUCCUGCUUAACAGCAUAUGACUGUACCUUAGUAUGUCUAUUUUAUUUCUUUAAGCCAAUAUUAAACUGCUGAAUGAGGCUUGAAUUUAAAUAGACAAGACAAAAAAUACGAAUGUCGUUAUUGGGGCCAUCCAGACGGUGUAGCCGGUAUUAUCUUUAGUGUUAUGGAUUUUAAAUGAAUACAUGUUAAUUAGAAAUUUACAUUAUUUUCAAUAAUUAAUAAUGGAUAUUUAACAAAUACAAAUUUAUAUAAGCCUUAAAUAAGUACUGAAUACUUUUAAAUUUGCUACUGCACAUUUAAUAUUAGAUACUGCAUAUAAUUGUAGACCCUGCCGUAAAGAAACUAAUAAGUAAUACGGAAAAAAGUUCUUUGCUUUACUCACAAUCUAUGUUCAGUUCUAAUUAGACUACCGGUAUAGACGGUUAUUGUGUUUGUAUAUGCUAUACUACUGAUACUACAAAUAUGGAAUUGUUUUCGAAAUGCAAGGUGUCAAUUUUAAGAAAUGUAUUUAGUAUUAAAUGCUCUACUUGCAAUUCAGUACUUCAUAUGGAAUGUGCAAAUAUGAAUACAGAAAGUAUAAAAUACAUGAAGACCAAAGGGAUCUCAUUCGACUGUGAGAAUUGCACCAAACUUCUUAGACAAUCCAGAGAAAAAAGUAACCCGAUAAAAUUCACUUCUCGGUCACAAGUUAUAAAUAGCAAUACAGUAACAAAUUUGGACAUUGAUAUUAAGAAAAUUGUAAGCAAAAUAGAUGACGUUAUGAAAAACUAAAUAACUAAAAAUAACACCCUUUUAACUUUUAGCAAUAGAAUUCUAAAGCUUGAAAAAAUGUUAAAAGAGAAAAAAAGCAUUAUUAAAAACUUAGAAUUUUUAAAAAAAAAUGCCUUGGAACAAAAUGAGAGAGUUUAUUUUAUGGAAAUAAAAGUAGUAAAAAUAGUUACUAAUGAAUACACUGAAAAAUUAGUUAAUGAUAUUGCAUCACAGAUUAAUAUUGAUUUUAAUCUUUUUGAUAUCGAAAAUGCAUACGGAAAACCUUCGAAUCAAAACCUAGAAUCGCCUUUGAAAAUGGUUGAACUUUUAUCUAAACGAAAACUUAACAAAUUUAUAAAAAAACGCGAAAAACUAGAAUGCAAAGGAUCAAGAAAUUAUAUCAAUGACAAUUUAACGGGAUCUAACAGAAAACUAUUUUGGGAAACCAGAAUAAAUGCUAUAAAAAAAAACCCAAGUAAGAACAAAUGAAGACCUUAGUUUUUUAUAAUAUUUUAACACUAUUAUAAUUAAAAUUCUUACAACAGGAUUAUAUCUUUACUUUUUCAUUGGGAAAACAAAUUUUAUUCAUUUUAGUAUUGGGCACACAUAUUAUACUAUAACAAUUUUAUUCAUAACUUAUUUAAAAACAAUUUUAACCUUAUGUAGCAUUAAAUCAUUAAAUGUGAAAAAGUAGGUUUAUAUAUGUGACACACGUAAACUACUUAAAAUGAGAACUGAAAAAAAAAUCUCUUUUCAUUCAAAUAAUACUAAAUUACAACUUAGACAAAAAACUCAUGUUUACUAUUAAAAAUAUUUUCAAACAUAUCAAAAAUAACUGUAUUAUACAUUAAAUCUCAAUAUAUUAAUUAUUGUUAUACAAUUUUGUCUAAAAUUGAAAAACAAAAGUUAAAUUAAAAUUAUUAUUUGAAUGUAAUAUUUUCCUUGUUAUAAAUUAUGAACUCAUGUGCCCCCACACGAACCUGUUGGGGCUCAUUAUCUAGUCGAAGAAAAAAUAACAAAAAUUUUAAUAACAAUAUCAAUAAUAAUAAUAAUAACAAAAACAACAAUAAUAUUAAUAAUAAUGAUAUUAUAGUUGCUUAAAAUUGUAUUAAAAAAAAAAAAUUAAUCUAUAUUAGGCUGUAUUUUCGAAAUUGUUCGUUAUAGGAUUCCGUAAGCGUCAGUGAAACGAUCGGAUAAAACCAAAAAUCGUUUAUAAAUAUUGUCACUUUUAGGAUUCCGAACUGAUCCCAUUCUGAAUGUCACUCUGAAACGAUUGACGACAGAUUAGGUUUAUCUUUAGUUUUUUUUGACACUCGGUGUAAAUUCAGGAAAAUCGUAUAAACCAAUCAAGCUGUGUCGCUCACCAUUUUACCGGGUAUAGGUAUAGUGAUACGAUCGCAAAGGGUGUGGUUUUUUUUUGAAGAGGCUCACAUACACACUCAAAAUACUCAUACCCUCAUUAAAUACUCUGUAUAGGACAUUUUUUUUAGAUUCUGAGUGGAGCUUUUACAGCUUUGAAGUUUUACAAUGAUGUUUAUUUUUUUUUUGUGGACAACUUUUCUACUAUGAAUUUUGGUUUGAUUUACAAUAAUAGCACUUUUUCUGGAACAAAAUCGGACUAGGAAGAUACUUCAAGAUUAGGUUAGGUUAGGUUAUUUGUUGAUGUUUCCAGGAGUUUUCUCAACAAAUGUGAAAAACCAGGAAAAAACUGAGGAAAAAUUGGAAAUUAUACGAAAUGUAAAGGUAUUAGUAAAAAAAUUUUUCCUUUACUACCUUUUCAACUUCUCACCUAUAACAAUGGCUGCACCUUUUCCCAUUAUCUUAGAUGAGAUUUGUGUCUUUUAUUUACGUUAAUAAAUGUACCUUGGCAUCGUGUUACAAAUGCUCGAUAAUUCGUUAUAAGGUCUAUCGACCAUCGUAUUAUAAUGCCACUGUAAUUUUAACGUAUAAUCAAAGAAUUUUAAAGUUUAUUUUCGACGAAACCCGUAAAAAUUAUGAGUAAAUGUGAUGCAUAUGACCACGGUGGUGGAUCGGUGAAACGGCAGAUUAGCGGCCUGCCGCUAGCGUAGUAUUUUGGAAUGACGAUCGUAUUAUUCACCGAACGGUAAUAAACUGGUCAACUGGUCGGUUGCGCAAUGCCGGCGAUAUAACGAAACGUUUACCGAUCGUAAAUAUAUUUCAAUGACGACUCUAUUACGUACCAGAGUAAAACGAUCUCGGAUUAUUGAAUUUCCGCAUCAUUCAGUAUACCAAUCGUUGUUUAUAUUUUGUGGUAAUAGACUAGAUUUGGUUAGGGUCACGUAAUCCGCUUCGCCUAACUCGCGAGUAGAACGUGCGGUUAGGUUUAGGUUAUCGGUCUGGACCAAAGUCUGAUUUAUAAACCUAUUAAUGAUCAAUUUUAUACAGUUAUCUGACUUCCAAAUAUUGAGAGACCUCAGAUUUCAAUUCAUUUUCGUAUUUAUUAGGACACAUUGAAAAAAAAAAUCGUUUGUGAAAGUUAUUUAUAGACCUAUUUUGUAUUAAAGUCCUUGGGGGCCCCAAAUUCUGUAAAUCGUCGUGUGCUGGUCCUUUAUUUGAUUUCGUCUGCUUUAUAAAGGCUGAAAAACUUGCCUGUAAUAAUAUAUAUAUAUUAUUAUUUGCGUUCGAUGUUGUUUUGCCAAAACGAUCGUCGUUAUAUUAUUAUAGAGACGAUAUAAAUCUUCGGCUGACGAUAAAAUCCGUCGGCAAACUCGAACGCUCCAUUAGCGUCGGCCAACUUGAACGAUAAUGGCUUUAUUGAAUAUUGUGUUGGGAAAAAAACCGUGAUUAAGUCGUCACGAGAAAACACGUUACACCUCCGACUAAGAAAAAAACAGAAAAACAUGCGAUUUCUCGAAAUUUCUCGAACUUUGUAAAUCGACAUUUUAUGAUGUUUACCAAUUAGUUGUUUUGAUAACGAUGUGAACUAGGUUAAAAUUUCAAACCAGACUUUUGAUAGAUUAAGAUAAAAUACAAUAUAAUAUAAAUAUGUUAACGUAUAGGGGAAAAACAGUGAAUCCGCAGAAGGAACAGUUACAUACUCUACCCACCCUCUUUAUUACCACCUAUGCUCGUACUUCUGCGAUAGUAAACAAAAUCUAUUUUCCUUAGCUAUUAACGGUCUAUGUGCAAUAAAGGCAAAAUAAAUUUACAAAUAAAGUUUUCGGGAGGAAACCAUGGCCGUCUUGGACAAAGGAAGCAGCUGAUUUGAAAACCGUCUCUGCUGUUUCCUACCUCGCGACCGCGACGGUGGUUAAAAUAGUUUAUGAUUAUUCCACCAAGUUUCUUACUAGGGAUAACUAAGAACGUCCAAAAGUUUAGUGGAAGGUUUUGUAUAUCUUCUCAUGAAGCUCAUUUUAAGGGAGAAGAGACGUAGUGGAUAUUUACCAAAAAUAAUUUCUUAAAAUAUGUUUCGUAUCUUUUCAACUCCGCACUCGUAAAACAACCGCCUACACAAAGUACGAAGUAUAAAGGCUUUUUUUAUUUUUAUUUAUAACUUUGAAUCGUUUUUUUUAUAAGAAUAUCGAAUAUAAUAUUCUGUUAUAAUAGUGUAAAAUAAUUACAUAUGUAUUAUACAUUUUCUUUAAUACUGUAUUUGUUUUCCCGUUUUUCCUACCUUUUCCCGGAUUUUUCGAUUUUUUGGGAAAAUCAAAAAAUGACCUCCUUAAAGUACCUCCCUCUAGUUAGAUUACCUUUUAUAAAAAAUUCUAUCAUGGAAAAUCGGAGUAAAGUUCCUGGUAGAAAAGUUGUCCACAGAAAAAAAUAAAAAAAUACAUGAGUUUCUUAGCUCCACUCAGAGUCUCAAACUAUUGAACAUUUAUGAUUUAAUGUACCUUCUACCUAUACCUAUAUAUCUAUAUAAAUUUUCAAGCAUGUGGUUGUAGGUUAUAAUAUUACAGUGGUGACGAAAAUCCCAAGGAGGGCGCUCCACCAAUCGCUCCCCUUCAAAUAUCCGCCACUGGCGUUUCCUAUAAAAUAACGUUAUCUAGACGGCAGCUGCCGGCCGGACCGAUGUCGUGUUUUGCGCGUGAUUUACACGUGGCGGCCGUUUUACGAAACCGGAUUAUAUACGACCGAGACGAUAAGCCUUUGGGCCGAGGGUACACAACACAUUUAAUAUAGCGCGCGCGUGAUGUAACAGUCAGAAGGGACGGUGAAAAUGGGUAGAAAUGACACGGGAGUCUCCGUCCGGCGAAUCGUUUACGGUUCGGAAAACCCAUAAGAAUUUCCCGGGGUUUUCGAACCGAACCGCGCAGGGUUGUUCAUGGUACUAACAAACGAUUACCGCACGCCCGGGUUCGCUCGUCCGAGCGCACGUACCUCGUCUAAUACGCGCUCCGCUGUCGCGCGUCCGGAAAUCCUUUUCUCUCUCACUCUCUCUCUCUCCCUCUUUAUCUCUCUCCGGGCACCCCGAUAACAAUAUUAUUACGUUAUAUAUACAUUAUAUAUAUUAAAUAUAAUAUGUCUUUCAUAUAAAAUAAUAAUAAUUUAAUACCUUCCUGCGUACGGAUUUUACGUUUUACGAGCAUAAUAUAUAAAUUAUUAUUAUCAUUACAUAUAUAUUAUAUACGGUGGAUCAAGAUUUAGGGGAAAACGCAUAAAACUACAUAAUAUAAGUCCCCGCGCUCACCGUUUAUUUUUUUUGUAUUUUUUCAUUCCGUCGCUCAUCGGGCCGGAUAACUUGUUUUUACUGCUGGACCUAUAAUCUAAUGUAUUUAAUUAAAUGAUCGAUUUUUUCGCGUAAAUCGAAUACAUACAUCGAAAAUAAAAGUGGUUCUCGAUAUAUUUACCAUAAAAAAAAUGUUUUGUUUUGUAGACGGGCAAAAAUAUUGAAACAAUUUUGAUCGAGCGUCCUCUCCUCCUGAAUUUUGUACGUCAAUGUAGGAGCGUUAUUUUGACGAAAUUUAGGGAUAACAGCACAGUUCCUUUCACGUACCGCGAUGCGUAGUCAUUGUAAAAUGAACAAAGAGGAUUGUUAGGGUGGUUUUCAAAUUUAAUUUAAAAAACUAUAGCAUUCACAUAAAAAUGUAUCAGAUCUUAUUAUUGUAUGCCAUACAAUUAUCUAUAAAAACAUCUUAAAAAGUGUCUCGUAUAUUAACAAAUUUCUGAAAAAAUUGAUAAUUUAAAUUUAAUUUUAAGGUUUUUUGAGGGGAUUUUUUGACCUAUAAUAGAAGCAACGUCUUAAUAUUUAUUAUAAAUUUGUAUAAAUAACAUUCAUCACAACAAGGGGUCCAAGUAUUUAAGGUUAGGUUAGGUAUUUAAGGUGUGUUAAAGUGUGCAAAGUGUCCAAGGUGUCCAGUAUUAAUAAACGUAGGUCCUUAAAUAAUGAAAUGUUCGAUGAAUUGAUCAUAGUUGUAAACUAUUUGCCAAAAAUAAUAAUAAGAAUUGCAUUGGUAACAUUUCAAUGGCGAUUUUUUUUUCCGGUUAUACAAUAAAAAAAAAAAAAAAGUUUUUCAAAAACUUAAAUUUAAACAUUUACACCUUAAACUAUAAUAAUAUUUCACCUUUAUAUUUUCCGUUUAAUGUAAUGAAGGAAUUGUAUUUUAUCAGUUGUCAAGUUUCACUGUCCGUACUAAAAACACUACAGACUAAUUCAUUCUAUGAGUAUUAUAAAUAACGGGUUUUCGCUCGAUAAUUUCAUGAAAAUCCUACUGAUUUUAGAAUUUUAUUAACGAACUAUUUGACUUGUAUACGAGUUAUAAUAAUAAACAUAAAGUUCAAUUUUGAAAAUAUCGAAACCGGGGUAAAGCCAAUAUAAUUUACAACGACAAAUUAUUAAAUAAUUUGAAAAUGAAUAUAUUAUAUUUUAAGACAAGUAAACAUGAAAAAAGUGUACAUGGGAAAAUGUCAACAAUAUAGAAAUCCGAUAUUCUAAUCAAAUUAUGUUUUUUUUUUUUUUUUUUUGCGACGAAUUUGAAGACGAUCAAUUUGCUGCCGUAUAAUUACUAUUAAUUAGUAACUAACGCAUGAUACUUAUUGUUCGAAGUAUUAAUGGUAAUACGCCGAACGAAACGUACACUUAUAUAAGUACAUGAUAUUACGCCGAGUAUAUAAUUGAAGGAAGUUUUCUUUUGCCACCGAAUAACCUGCCCAGGGACAGAGGUCGUGGUUACAAAACGAAGAAGACGUGGGAGGGGGGGGGUGGUCGGCUGACAGGAAAAUCGGCUCUUUUAUAUCUAAAGAGAGAAAAACUAACGGCGGACGCUGGCAUUGCAUUAACGUGCGGAUAAAAUUCCGGUCAAACAGAAAGACGGCGGCGUUGUAUUAAAUAUUGAUAACGGUUGAUGGACCGUAUAGUAUAAUACUACCUACAUGUAUAUUAUUAUUAUUAUUACUAUAUAUCUAUAUAUAUUAUAUUAAAUAUAAUAUAAUAUUAAAGAGCCGAAAAAUCGUUUAGCUCCCCGGACAUAUCCGGCCAACUGUUAACAGCGACCUUAUGAAUAUUGACGAUCGUAUAGGUAUACGCAGCGGUGCUGCUGUGGGUUCGUCUCUCACUCGUAUAUACACGUGUAAUCCCUACUACUACUGCUACAGCGGAUAUAGGAUCGGGGGAAUUACGUCCGGGCGGACAAUUACGAGAUAAGCGCCCAUCCGCGUAGUAGUUUUUCAAUUAAAGUAAAACUUUCAGUAGUUAUACUAUUAUACACAAAGUUUGUCCUGUCGUAUAUAGCGGGUCCCUAUAUUACCCCAAACCCCCCAGUAAAUCGAUUUGGCGCAGUGGCAGUCGGCGUUCGGUAGUGCGACAUGAAAACAACAAGUAUUUAGCGAAACUUUAAAUUGGGAUAUUAGAACGCGCCGCUGCAAGUUUGCAGAUGAACUGCAAUUAUAAAACGCGCCGAAUUUUUGUUUUUGCGUUGCAGUUUUCUCCCCUGUAUAACAACGACGAGACAAAUUGUUCGCCUCUUUUGAUGCGACGCUUUCGGAAGAGAGAAAAAAAAACAAAAUUAAACUGCGGUAUACUUAUUUAUACAUCGGACUCGCCUACUUCACAGAGGUCGUUGAAACCGCAACUACGUAUUAAAUUUAUGUGAUCCGCCGCCACCACAGCCGCCGUUAUCUCUCGGUAGAAAGUUUGCAGUGUGCUAAACACCGCAGAACUUACUGCGGGCGAGUGGCAAAUGAUUUAGUGCGGUGCUAUUUAGUGUUUUGCCGGUAUAGGAUUAUUAGGUGAUGCGUAUUAUUGCUACGACGAUGACGUCGGGAAUAUUUGUAAUGGGCGGGUUUUGGCAAAGCGGUUUUCGGUAAACAGUUUGUUGCAAUGUUUGCUACUUGGUUGCAACAUCAUCACCAAAACAUGUUAUUUACUACACAGUAUUUUAACCAUGGAUAUGAUCAGUGACACAAGAAAAUAAACGUAGUUUUUUCUUUUUAUUGUUCGCGAGUUUCGGCAAUCUGGUUAUCGAAUUAGCCGAAAUACCGAGUUCGGUUAUCUAUCAAUUAUUAUAGUAAACAAUAUCACAAAACAAGUUUGUUCCUUACACAAAACACGUUUGUUAUUAAUGCACAGUGCAAAUAUUAUCGUGAAUCUGAAUAAUAAUAAUACAAAUUGUUUUUUAAAAUAACUGCUCGUGCGCAGAUUAUUAUUACAGCAAUGCAGUUGUAGAAAAGAAAUAAAUCGUUACAAAUAAAAAAUACCACAUUUGUUUACAAUUUUUCGACGUGAAUUUCCCUUUUUAAUAAUAUAAAAAGACGUUAGAAAAACCGAAAUAUUUAUGUGAAAACGUUUUCUUUUUUUUCGAUUUUGUUUUGUUUUUUUUUUUUUUACGACUUAGUUUAUUAUAAUAAUUGUAAAUACCAAAACCAAACAUUUUCACCAAAGGCUAACUUUAUACUUAUUAGCCAUUUCUGGAAUGGGUCUAGGGUACAAUUUUCAAAACAUUUUGAUGUUUUUUAUAGCUAUAGUUUAUUGAACAUUUUCAAAUUUUAAUUGCUGAUAUGAUUGGUUUAGCCUUUCAAAAAUAUUCAAAAAUUGAAUACAUAGUUCUUUAUAUGUUCUUAUGGAAUAAUACAAAUACUACAAGCUACAAGUGUAUAACUACGCUCUGAAUCUAAUAUAAUCAAUAAUAUACUGAACAGAUUAUUAAAAUACGAGUUAUAGGAUAUUAUACUAAUAUUGGAUUAUUAUGGAAUCUCGUCUUCGUGAAUACCACGGUCACUAAUAAAUAAUAUGCCAUUCUUAUAAAAUUAUAGUACGUCCCUAGAAUAGUAUAUUAAGCAAUAGAGUGCACAAGAAUUUUCAAUGGAUAGACAUUAAUCAUGAUUCAAGAAUUGAAUUGUAGAAUCUUUUUUUAUUAUAGUACUUAUAUAUAUAUAUAUAUAUAUAUAUAUGUAUAACUAGACAACGAAAAUUUAAAAGCAAGAUUCAAAAAAAAGCUAAUUUGUAUUUAAUAAAUUGUUUCCUUGUAACUCGGCUGAAAUAUUUCAAAAUUAAUUUCGAGACAAAAUUACUAAGUAAAUACUCAUAUUUGUUGUGUUUUCAAACUAAUUGGGCGGUGUGCGAUAUAACCUAUAAUCUCUCCCUUUUGUAUACCAUUUAUUAUUAUAAAAGAAUGCGGACCGAAAUGAUAUUGAUACAACCUUUAUAAUGGUUGUUAUACACGAUAUUUCCGCGAAUUAUAUAUAAAUCUUUUUGCUCUGAUCCUCGUCAUCAUCACCCAAUGAAUAUUAUAUUAUGUAAUAUUAUUAAUGUAUUAUACGUACUUUGUGUCCUGCGAAAAAUCAGUCGGCGGCCUUCUAUGGCUAAUAUUAUAUUUUAUUAUACGAGUUUUUACGUAUACACUUUAUAAUGUGUAAUAGGAAUACGCGUACAUAGAAAAAGCACAUACUGUUAUUAUUAUCAUUAUUAUGAUGAUGGAUAAUAUUAUAUACGGAACGAGCGAGACGGACAUACACAAGGACUGCGGGCAUAAUUAAAACGCGGUCACCCUCCGGUGUUUUUGCAUCACUAUGAAGCGGUCGUGUCCGACCUUUUGGCAGGCGGCCGGGGGCCCGUAAACGUUUAAUUAAAAUCGGUUAUGCGAAAUAAAAACGUGCCGUAAACGCAAACAGCAGUUAGUUUAUAUACAGGGUGGGAUAUUUCCUCAUCGUCAUCCGGCAAUUUUCUCGAAAGAUUUUGAUGUAGCGAAUGCAAUUCGCGAUGUCUGCAAUAUAUGCUAUUCAAUCAUUAUACACUUUUCUAUACCUACGUGGAAUUGUUUGAGCUCAUUUUUAUCUUAUAUUUUCAGCUUAUACCCUAAACGGGAGUAUUAACAUUUGGUUUAAAAACAGAAACUCAGUUUUCUCCAUUUUUAAUACGACGCAGAUUAACUCAUGCCAGUGGUCGUGUGGUUUAAGUAAGUUUUCUGGUUACACUAGUGUUUAUGUAUAUAUUUUAAAAAGCUAUUAAAGGUGCGUGUUUUAAACUGUGUGAGCAGUUUGAAACGUAUCAGUAAAGUCCUCGUGGAAACUAGUUGGAUACUUAUCGUUUAUAGUUUAUACAAAAAGUGUGGUAGUGUAGGGAAUAGUUUUAGUAGGUGGGUGGGUGGAAAAUGAAAUAGGCUAAUCAAAGUAAAUAUAGUUCGCGCAACCAUUAACUCGUUUAAAAUGGUAUAUUAUCCAAUAUUAAUUUCAUAUACUUUGGAUUUUGACCCAACUAGUUAACUACUUGAAUAAACCCGGGGUCCAGCUAGUGUAGAUUUUUGAUGACAAGACACAACUCAAAUGCGCCGUAAUUGUCUGGAGGUUGCGUUACUUGAAAAUAGGAAUGUGUGACGCGUGUGUAUGGUGCAGGCGUACAGGAAUAAUAAGAGUACAAUUUUCGAUUAUAAUGUUAUAAAUAUGGUCGUUCAAAAAUUAUUAUUAUUCUAUUAUCAUUUAUCAAAUACAAACAUUUUCUAUCAUACCCUAUUCAAGUUUCUUCUAGGGUUCCUCAAGGUUUCACUCUUCUCCACUAUUAUUUAAUGUUUUCAUAAAUGAUUUACCCUUCAAUCUGCAUUUUGCUAAGUUAUUUUCUUUUUCUGAUGAUGGCAAAUUAUUGGGAUCUAUAAAAUCAGUAAAUGACGCAUAUUUAUAUUAAUGCAGUUGAGAAAUGGUGUCUCGAAAAUAAUUAGUUUAAACUUAUCUAAAUGUAGUGUUAUCUCUUUUUAUUUGAUAAAGGAAUUUAUAAGGUAUUCCUAUUCGAUAUCAAAUGAUGUUGAGUUUCCAAUUGUUAAAUAUAAUAGGGAAUUGGGAGUUACAUUUUCAUCUGAUUUAACUUUUAACCACCACAUCUCUAGAAUUAUCAAUUAGGAUGCAAGACAGUUAGGUUUUAUUAGACAGCAUUGUUAUAAUUUUAAUAACAUUAUAACCUUAAAAACAUUUUAUUGUUGCCAAGUUCGAUCAUGUCUUGAUUAAAACUCAUCUCUUUGGUCACCCCAUCAGUUAUAUUUAAUUCAAGAUAUAGAAUCCAUACAAAAUAGAUUUGUACGCUUUACAUCUUUUAAUUGUAAUAGUUACAGAGCUCCUCAUUCAUCUUAUUCGAUUUUACUCAGUUGUUUAAACAUAAUCACUUUAGAGACAAGAAGUAUAAAAUUAGAUUUGAUAUUCUUGUAUAUAAAUUAAUUAAUAAUUAGUUAAUAUAUUAAACAUAAAUAGUUCGGAAUUAUUUGCAAUGAUUAAUUUUAAUAUUAAUAAACGCAUUCUGCGUAAUAUAGAUUUUUUCUAACCAAAAGCUGCUAUUACUUUUAUAAAAUCUGAUUCACCAAUCAAUCUCAUAUUAACAUUAGCAAAUAAAUAUAAUAUUGAUAAUUUUGUAAUUAAUUUAUAUGAAUUUAAAAGUAAUCUAUGUAACUUAAAAUAAUAUCUAUUAUAUUAAGAUUAUUGUUAUUUAUAUGUGUAAAUAUGUAUAUUGUAUAUUUUAAUAUUAAAUUGUAAUUAGACUUAGGUCCGUAUGUAAUAUAAAAAUAAAAUAAUAAAAUAUAGAGCAUAAACAAAAUAACCAAAAACGAUUUUACUAGAAAUCUUCGUCGGCAUAGUUUAUAAUCGGUGAAUCAUGAUACAAAAAUCGCAUUGUACAUACAAUACAUUGUAAUAACAAUAUUAUUAUUUAAAUGGUGUAUAUAGGUGGAUAUCCGAAUAUCGAACGUGUAUUUUUCGUGUUGCUUUUACAGCGACAGAACUUUAUAAUAUAAAAAUAUAUGAGUAGAAUUCGCAUAAAAUAUCAAAGACGAUAAUAUUGUACAUAAAUAUAUAAUAUAAUUUUAAGAGCAUCUGCUAUAUAUUUUUCUCGGAAAAAAUAAAACGGCAAUUUUCCACGGAAUUUGCUUUUACUACCUAUUAUCCGUUAUCAGCUUUUGUUAUUUUAUUUUUACAAAUAAUAUGUUUAGAAAAAAAUAACCGUCAGCCGUUAAAUAUUCUGUUUCGAGUUAAAAGCAAUAAAAUAUAGUAAUAAUAAUAAUAAAAAAAAAAUAUAUAAGGAAUAGAUUUUUUUUUUUUCAAAUUUGUUUAAGUAAUACGUUUUUUUUCGAGUGAAAAAAUCGAGUAUUCUAUAAUAUUAAACACGCGCAUUAUAACAGUAUAAUAUAAUACAAUAACGCGAUGAUAAAAAAAUAUGUAUACAGUGACAUAAACAUGUUAAAUAAUACAAUAUAAUAAUAAAAAACAAUAAACUUGCUAUAUUAUAAUCGCUUAUCGGAGAGAGUGACAACUUUAUUAACACUCUGACGGGUAUUUUUUUUUCCAUAUAUGUGCAUAUCAUGGGUAUGUUCUUUUUUUAGAAUAUUUUUAUUCGUGUUUACGUAUUAACAUGCGAAUCUAUUCCAACAAUCGCAAUUGCCAUGGCUGGACUAAUGGAUUAAAAAGUUAAAAGCAGAAUUGAUUUCAAUUAUUAUAUAACUCGAUUUUUUUAUCAAAACAACCUAUUUUUUGUACUCCAUUAAUUUAAUCGCUAAGGAGUUAAUUUUAGAUUCUGAGUGGUGUGAAGAAGCUUAUGGUUUUACGAAGCUGUUUAUUUUUUUUUCCUGUGGACAACUUUUCUACCAGAGGACUUGCUUCGAUUUUUAUGUGUAGCAACUUUUCUGACUUAAAUAAUAGCACUUUUUCUAAAAGAAAAUUUUACAUUGAAAAAACAAAAUUAUUGAUAAAACAACACUAUCAAUUGAACUUUGCUUAGAAUCGUUUUUUCGUAACCAAUGGUUUAUCGUUGUCUACAGAUGCCUUACACAUACGUUAUAAAUUAAAUUACCUAUAACAAUGUAACAAUGGCUGCACCUGUCCCCAUUAUCCUAAGACAUCUUUUUAAUUACGUUUUUGACCAGUUACGGCCUGAGGAUUUUGUACCCAAAGAGCAAACUGAACUAGUACCUACCUACCAACCCACUAUAAUUUUACUAUAGAUUUAAGCAAUCUCCAAUAUUCGAGCAUUAUUAACAUUAACGCUACACUUGUUUACAAAAAUCAAUACCUACCUAAUCUCCUAACAUUGGUUUUACCACCAAAUUUGCAUAUACUUUUCAUGGGAAUGUCUCUAAACUUUAGGAUACUAGGACUACAGGACCUUAACAAAGAAGUGAAAAAAACAACAUAAAUUAAGAAUGAAGAUUAAACGUGACAACAGCAAUUAUAACGUAUAAAAUACAUUUUUUUCGGGGAUGGUAUAAUUUAUAUAUUGUAAUUUUAUGAUCUUCUUCUGAUAUAAUUUAUGGCUCUAUCCAAAUCCAUCUUCACAAGAUGAUAACAUAUAUGUUUCAAUCUUUUGUCACUAUCGUAGAUCUAAAUUUAGUUUUUAUUAGAUCUAUUAGAUUUUUGAACAUAUAUGUUUAGUAAAUAUUGAUUCAAUAGCUAGUAAAGUGCAUAGUGUUUUUGUUGCUAAACAAAUAUUAAGAAAAGUAAAAAGCAGUUGUAGAGUAGAGUCUAAGGUUACUUAAUUUCUUAAACAGUUCACUUAUGGACUGUAUAUUUGAUCUUGAGUUUUCAUCGUUAUCUAUAUUGUUAUCAUUUUAUUAUUAUUUAAUUAUUAUAUUAAAAUAAGUUUAUUAUCUAGUAGUAUAAAUUCUUGACAUUUCCCAACUCUGGACAGUAGAUGGAAAGUAUUUAUUCAUAUUUCUUUAAUCGCUUCCCGACAUUUUUCUGCGUGUCCAAUUCUGACUGUGAUUUAACGUAUUAAUAAUCCUUAUUUAAAAAAAAAAAUAACUCUAAGUUUAAUCGUUUCCACUGGUAAGUCUAUGAUGACAAUAAUAAGAUUUACAAACAAAUAAACUUAUAAUUUAAAUGGUUAAGUCAAUUGAAUUUACAAAGUUAACUUUAAACGUACGUUACCUUGUGCAUUUUUUCUGAAUUAACUUAACUUAACAUCCAGCUUUAUCAAUCGUCAAAAACCGAAUAAUUUUCGAUUUCUUGAUAUUUUAUUGGGAUACGCGUAAAACUGUAAUAAUAUUAAUUAAUUUUACAUAAUAGUGCGUAGAUUGUUUUGACGUUGACGAUUUAAAAAUCACUAUAUUGUUAUAUAUCACUAUAUAUACCACAACAGAUGUAUUUCUAUUUUCUGAUACGCGUUUACGAUGAUGACAUUUCAGUCAGAUUUUCAUCCCACAUAUCUGGCAAAUGGACGGUGUUUAGAGUUUAAAUAAUAAUGUAGUAAUAUUUGACUACUAACUACGAACUGAAAGGUUUUAAAAUGACAUCAAUAUCUCAUUUUACCUGUUACCCGUGAUAUUAUAAUAUGUUAUCAUUAUAUUUCCGAACUUUAAACGAGUUUCCGAAACUAUCCCUAUAUUAUACACGAACACGAUGUCUGGAACUGUCCCAGCAAUGAAUAGUAAAUAAUAUAAUAUUAUUAAAAUACAUGAAACUUUUAAACUAUGCGAUAUAAAUAUAUGGAAGUAUCAUAGUGAACAUUAUUUGCUGUACAAUUUUGUGCGAAUAUUGUUCGAAGUUGAACGAAGUUUAUGUCAUCGUCAUAUUGUGUACAUGCAUAUAUUAUUGUAGUAUACAUGUACAGGUAAUGUAGAUUUUCUAAAUAAUAAACGUACAUCAUUAUCGGUAAAAGGACAAGUCUAGAAACUUUUUUUUUUUUCAAAGUUAGCUAUCAUUUAUAUUGUUGAAAUGAUUGUACCUAUGCAUUCGUAAUGCUUUAAAAAUGUAUAUAUUAAGAUGCGUUCGCGUUUCACAUAAAAACUCACACAAAAUAUAAGAUAUAUGUUCGUUUUAAAUAUUUUUUUAAGCUGGUGUUUACAACAUACUAUUGUGCCAUAUUUUAAAAAACAUUAAAAUAAAAUCGAAAAUAUCAAAUGCCUAAUAGCUAAAAAAUAUAAUUGCAUCUUUAAAAGCCUUUUAUAACUAAUUGGUGAAAAUUCCUGGGCUCUAUAUUAUUUUGACCAAAUUAUAAUAAAAAAUACGAACAUACUUCACAAGAUGGGUGGGCUACUGUUGUAGGGGAUAAAAUUAGAAAGUUGGGUGUAGAGGGGAGUUUAAUAUAUAUCUGUAUGCAGCAAUUAAUCAUUGCUAACGAAAAACGAUUUUGAUCGGAAUUCGGUUAUACAUGUUUUGAAAGACCGGAAUAUUUCCUAUUUCCAAUUUCCAUCAAAAAUGUUUAUAAAAAAAAAAACUACUUAAACUUAACUUUUUCUUAUUAUUCACUAAGUGCAACUACUACUAGUACAGUUAUUACUACUAAAUUUUCACCAUUCAAGUUAUAACAAAAUAAAUUAACUUAUGUUACAAUUUAGUUAGAGUUAACAGGUCAUUAUUUAAUCAAUUGCCUUUUAACUUAAAUUAGUUAAUUAAUAAAACAUCUAAGUUUUAACGUGUGAACUAAUUUUAAUAAAUUUUUCAAGUAAGAGGCUCGUUGCCAGUGCAUUUUUUGUGUCAAAAAUUUAUCUUCUGGAAAUUAUUAUCAUGCCUCGUAGAACAGCCCAAUUCCGUUGAUUGUUUUUUUGUAAAAAUAAAAAUAAAAUUUUUUAGACCGCAUUGGAUGUUUUUCAAUAUUUUCAACUCAAACUUAAUAAUUCAUCUAUAAAAAAAGAUCAAUUUUUAACUUUUUGUCAAAAUCUUUUAUUCUAUUAUUUUAAAUUCAAUAAAAAAUCAGAGCUAAAUGCAUUCUGUAGUAUAUAUAGUUAUUUAUUAAUUUUCCAUGUAGAACCAUAAAAAUUGCUAUAUCUUCCCUUUGUUAUAAAUGGGUAACAGGUAGUACAUUAAUGGAAAGGGCUAAUUUUUAAGAGAACGUGAUAUCUUCAUGCACUGUCUUCAUCAUAAAAACGUACGAUAUAUCAAAUUUAAAUCAACAGGACAACUUUGUGCUGUUCAUUUUAAUAUUAGGGUGAAUUGAUCUAUUUUCAAACUUAAAUAUAAGACCAUUAGCAGCACAACGUAGGUACUGUUUUUUCAAUGUUUCAAGCAUUCAAUUUUAUAGUCAUAUUCUCUCUAAUAAUAAUGCAAAUAUCGACAAAAUAAUGCUAAAAUUGUACAGAUAAUAUUAAUAUCUUUAGUUUGAUAGUUUAUUAUUUAGUAAAUUAUUUAAACUACAGAUUUACUUAAAAAUUAAAACUAACAGCACUGUAUUGCCCCAGUUGAACGCAAGAUUCCUAUGUCGUAAGUUUGUAUAUGGAAACAACAUAUACAGGUGUCAUAGCCUCUUAAGGCAGGAAUUAAAAUGUUAAAAAAAAAUAUUUAAAUUUUACAUAAUUAGAGGAAUUUGAGAAAUCUUACACCGGGCCGCUUAAUUUGACUAGACUGCACUGGAAUAAUAUUGUUUACCAACUUGCCACAGCAUCGGAAUAAUCUAUAUAUUUUUUAUUCUGGCAUAAGUAUAGUUAUUACGCUUUGUUCCACUUGAAUAAUAAUAAAAAAAUAAAAAUAUAUCAAUUCAUUUAUAUCAGAUUUAUUGUAUUCCGGCGAUAAAAAUAUUAUGAAAUAAAACUAUAAUAGGCACCUAACACGUAGUGAUAAUAAAAUAUCUGUACAUUAUUUUAUUAUUUUAUUAUAUUUCACUAAAAAAAUUCUCUGAUGGUAUAAAGACAAUUGAUGAGAUACGUUAUUUCAAACUGACGUGUUUGAAAACAGAUUUUUAUAUCGGAAAAAUAAAAUCUAACUGGAAAUUGAAUUUAUUUAAUUUUCCAGUCCAUUUCUCAAACGGUUUUGGCUUUGAGAAACGCCAACGUCAUUUUUUUUUUAUUACGUUACAAAUCGAUUUAUAAAGCAAAAUACGUAUAAACACUUUUGUCGAAUAUAUAAUAUUACAUAAUAAUACGAUUUUUUAUGCAGUUUUUUUUUUUACCGGCAAUACAAGUAUAUAAAAUAUGGAUAUUAUAAGCCUGCCCGUAUCCUUCAAAUUAAACUGUACAUAAUAUAAGAGAAACGCCCACCGUUAAAUCUGUUUGAAUAUUAAAUUUUUUUUAAAUUUGAAUUUUGUCGUAAUAACAGAUAAUUAAUUAUUAUGAUAUUGUAAAUUAUAUACUUUAAGUAUUAUUAAUAUGAAUAACAACUCAAACAUAUUAAUUAAUCCUUUAUUGACAACGGUAAAAGUCUGAAUGAAGUUAUACAUAAAUAUUGUCUGCGUGACAAAAAAUGAUGGACACUCCCCGCCAAUCGUAAUAUGAUAUGAUAUUAUUAUGUAAAUACUUAUAAGUUUUAAUUAAUAUAACAUAAAUGUAUAAUGCUUGUCGUACCGUAAAUACUUAAUAUACAACAUCUAAUUCCUUAAAGAAAUAAUUGUUUUAGUAUAGUACUUAAUUUGCUAUAUUUAGUAUCACAUAUACGUUAGUAUUAUUUUUAUUGAAUAUAAUUUAAAAAAAAUAAUUGACAAAAAAAAAUUACAUUAUUUAUAAUCACUUUUAGAGCAUCGCUGAUGUGGUUUCCCAGCUCUAAUUGGUCUGGGAGUUUUAUCUAUCAUUAAAGGAUUGGGACUGUCAAUUGGUUUCCUGGCGGGAAUAAGUGAAAUAUCAUUGCUUAAAGGUGUUAAAGAUUUGUCGAUCAGUAAUUGAUCAUUAAGUCUUUACCAAAUAUUUCAUCAUUAAAUUCUACGUCAUACAUAUUGUUACCAAUACAUUUGAUGAUUUUACCCUUAUGCCAUUUAUUAUUAUUAUUCCUUUAAACUCUAGCUAGAACAUUAUCACCUACAUUAAAUGAUAUUAUUCUAUUUUCUCAAUUGUUUAUUUGCGAUAUUUGUCUGUUAAAAUGCAUCAAAUUGUAAACGAGUUGAUUGACUGUUAGCUGAGCUGGCGUUUCUUGUGUUGUUGAAUGAGGUGUUUUACGAUGCAUAAAAAAAAAUAUUAUUUACUUACGAUUGUGCUGUCGAACAUUUUUUAAAGAAGUUUUUAAUUAUUUUGACUGCUGAUUCAGCACCAUAGUUCGAUUCCGGGUGAAAUAGUGCGUCUGUUAUUUGUCUUAUACCUACAUUUUUAUAAUACGAUUGAAAUUCCAAACCUAUAAAACAUUUUGCGUCAUCUGAUGUAAUAUCAAAUCGUGCUAUUAUUUGCGAAAAUUUGUUUAUGACAAUUUCUGCUGUCAUAUUAUUUACUAUUUAUUUCUAAACAUUUUGUGGUCGCGUCAACUAUGAUAAAAAAAUAUUUAUUUUGAAAUAAUCCGAGAAAAUCACACUGGACCAGGAUCCACGGUUUUUCUGUCCUUUUCCAAGAAGAUAUUAUAGAUUUUGGUAGAUUUUGCCUAACAUUAAGGCAAUUGUCACAAUUAUGCGUAAUAUUUUCUAUUUCCUUAUUCAUUCCUGGCCACCAAAAAUAUAAUCUGGCUAUACUUUUCAUACUAGAAGCCUUCAUAUGACAAGAAUGGAGUUAUUUUAAUAUAUUAUUAUGGAAUUUAGAUAGUAUAUAAAUUUAAUAACCUCAUAAUUUACAUUUUUGUUCUACUGAAAUUUGAGUUUUUCGUAAAUUAUACGAUUUUGGUUCUUAAUUAUUUGCAAAAUUACAGUUUCAUUUUCCUGCUCUAACUGCGUUUAAACUUUUGCAAUAAUUGUGUAUCUACAUGUUUCAAUUUUUUUUUUUUUGGACCAAUCCAGUGUUUAUGAAUUUUUCAUGAAAAUAAUUUAGACUAAUGCAUUCUUAAUUUUGAUUUUCGAUCGUUAAUUUAGAAAUGUGUAUUCUUGAUAAAAAAAAUAUCAUCUAUGUUGUUAUUAGAUUUUACAUAUUUUUUUUUGAAAUCAAAUGAUAACAAAACAUAGGCCCAUCUACCAGUAUCUAUCUCGAAAUUUACAUUAUUAUUUUCUACAAUUAAAUCUAAUUUCACAGCUCUAUUUUCAGAGUUCUGAUCAAUUAUAGAAAAAAAAAGUUCUGGAAAGAUCGAAGUUAACUGUAUCAUCAUCAUCAUCAUCAUUUUUUGACAACAAUUUAUUUUGUGUUUUAUUGUUUUUCUUUUCUUUUUUACUUUUUUUACAUACAGUGGAUAAAUUAACUUUUUCACCGAAAUUGUUGCAUAAUCUUUUUACCUGCAGUCUUUUUGAACGUGAUUGGAACGGCCACAAACCCCACACUUUGCCUUUGAUUUCUUGGACACAUUGAAAUUCUGAUUGAAUUGACCGUAACCGUUGGUACUUUAGAUCUGCGCCAUCUUUUUUUCUCCAGCCACGUUUGUCAUUUAUUGCUGCUUCUUUAGUUGAUUCAAUUUCCAUUAAAUUUGAAUACGUAACACCACACUUUGACGCGUAUUCUUCUAAGAGACGAUAUUUUAUUGAUCCUGAACCAAUACCGAUAACAAUAUGUCUCAGAUUACCGUUGUUGGUUUUGCCGAAAACCCACAUUUUGAAGUUAAUUUUUUGACACGUACACCCCUUGGCAUAUCGAUUAAUCUUGUCUUCUUUUGGCCUGAUAAAAUAUAUGUCUAGUCGCAAAGUACGACUUUACAGGUUUAAAAUAUUUGUUCAAAUUUUUUAUAAGACUAGCAUACUCAACAUCAUCCGGUAUGCUAGGAACACAUAAACUAAAGAGCACUUUAUGUAUUUCUUCACUAAUUGACGAUAAUAAUAUAGCUCGUUUUUGAAUAUUAUUUUCGAUUGAAUAUGUUAAAAAGUUUGUCAAUUUUAUCUUGAAAAUUGUAAUAUCCGUAAAUGCUUCAAAAAUUCUUGGUGACUCAAUAAUUUGAUUUUUAAAAUAAUUUUUAUUUUCGGAUUAUUUAGAGAACUACUUGGAAAAUCGAAAAAUAUCUUUGUUACUUAUUAACUUUUCAAAAUAUUUGUAUAGACAGAUUUAGAGAAAGAUUUUUUUUGUAAAAACGAAAAUCAAGAUUCUUGGUAUAAUAUUUGUACACUGACCGAAAAAAGCACACAUCAUUGUAAAUCAAUAAAUUAUUCACUACGCUUAGAAUUGAAAAAAAAAAUACAUUGGAUUUGCCGUAUUUGGAAAUAGGCGAAAAAAAUACUGAAAAUAACAACGAAUUCACUUCGGGUAUAAAAAUUAUGCAUUUUUUUUUUUUACUCGUGCAUAGUAAUAUAUAUAUAAAUCACUACUUCACCGUAUGUUCUCCAAAACGGUGAAACGAAAAAAAAAAGAGUUUAUUUAAAAAAAUAAACGUGUCGGGUCAAUGUGGAAUCACCCGGUAUUUUUUAUAUUUUCAUACAAGAGUAUAUAUAUAGCGAGUACCUAUAUGUAUUUAUUUGAUCCUGAACGGUUGUUCAUCCGCGACUUUUGUAAAUACGAAUAGGCAUUUUCCACGCGUGUCCCGGAAAUGUGACCGACCUCCGGUCGUCAGAGACAGGUGCGUAAAACGAAUCGAUAGGGCGGCCAUCAAUCAGACCGGGGGUUAGACGGAUUUUUUUUGCAAUUCGAGAUUUAUUUCGCCGGAAACAGCAGUGUACCUAGUAGUUGGUGAUUUUUUUUGUUUGUUCACCUAUAAUACAUUCCAUCGAAGUUAUUUAAAUAUAUUACGUACAAACGGUGAAUACAUAAUAUUAUUAUGGCAACAGAUUUGGGAAAAUUAAUUUGCAACUGGACAUGAUGGGAAACCGUUAUGUUAGAAUACAUAUUAUGAAUAUAAUUGAAGCCACAAACGAACAAGAAAUUCGACGGCCCACGUGAACCGAUCACAAUCUCUUAUCAUAAAGUAAACCGGUUUCGGUUUUCAGGCAGUUAUAUUAAACCGAUUCGAAUUCGUUUUAGUUUUAAUUUUAGUUUUAGCGGUUUAGUAUUUUUCGGCCGCUCUUUUCUGGUCCAAAGUUACCGAAACCGAUUUAAAUGUAUUCUUCUUAGUUAUCAAUGUAUGCGAAUAAUUAUGCUAUUUGAUCCAUUAUCAUUGUUUUCAUUUGUUAGUUAAGUCCGCAAUAAAUAGGUGCUUAUGCAGUUUUCUAUUGUCUAUCCACUGCUUGUUUUUCAAUUAGUUUCUAUAGUUGUAAAUAAAAAUAACUCAUAACCAUGUUUACGGGUCUGAUACAGAUCCGGCCAUGGCCAGACAUGCGAAACUAGACAUUUUUAUAGAAUUUUGAGAAAAUGUUAUAUCAUAAAAUAUGACAUAGUAAAAAAUAAAAAUCGUAAAUUAUGUAUACGCACGUAGCGCCAACUAGUCAAUUUUUUCGAAUUCAGUCCGAUAUAUAUAGAAAAUAGAUAUUAUAGUCCAAAAGUCGAUAGGGAACUAUCUUAAAUCUUAAAUAUUAUCUUAAAUCGUAUUCACACUAUGCAACGUUAUUUGUUCAACAUUUUUUACAUAGUUAAUUAUUAAAUAUUUUGAAAUUAAUAUGUAUUAAUUAUUUUUAUUUUAAGAAGUUUGAUCGCUUAACAUACAAUUUUUCUUGUUGUUUUGUGAAUAAAUUCUAGAAACGAAAAGAGUGCUCACCGGGGGCGUAAAUGUGAAAAUUGACAGUAUUUAUUGGUACCGUAAUAUAACAUUAUAUUAUUAUCCCAUGUAUAGAUACGCAUUUAUGUGCAUUUGAUAAAUUGCUGUAAUAUUCAGUUGAGCAAACCGCAUAUAGGUACCUAGUACCUAUAAUAUCUAAUAUACCUCUUGCAAUCACGUUUCCGAUUCAUUAAGCAUAAUAUAAUAUAUUCUCUCGAUUAUAGAUAUUACUGCGGUGUACUUUUAUUUGUGAAAAAUCUACGUUUGACAUUAUUAUACGAAUAUGAUUUUGUUUAUAUCAUUUAGAUUAUAUUAUGAUGAUAAUGAUUAUAAUAUUUUGGUAAUAAUGGCCCAUCGUGUAAAACGUAUAUUUUAUGACAGUACCUAAGCCUCUCUUACGGGAGGGGGAAUAUAUUUGCACCCAUCCUUAAAAUAGAAAAUGUCUUAAAAAUUCAUGUCACAGUCUAACAUAACCUAACGGGAUUUUUAUAUUUGUAAAAUAUUAGAUAGAACACUUUAGUAAGUACAUAAAAUAGAAAUUGUUGUAUAAUAUAAUGUAAUGCAUGUUAUAAAAUAAUUUCAUAAUAAAUUGUAAUGUAACACAAAGUUUAACCUCCGAUUUUUCAUACAAGAAAUUCGUUCAAUAAUUUCAUCCACUGGUAUACUUAUUUCUUGGCAUUGGUAAAAGUGCAAGCCCACAUAAACGAUGCUGGCCCAUUUUUGAACGUAGUCAUAACCUAACCUAAUCUAACCUAACCAUGUUUUUAGUCUACAGCAGUAGAUAGGUACCACCAAAAUUUAUAAACCAUUUCCAAUUAUGUAGAUAUAUAAUAAUUAUUAUAUUAGAUUAUAUAUUAUCAUAUGUUUUUAUUAUCUAUGGUCAAACAACGUCGAACUAUGAUAACACUAUAUAUUUUGACCCGGUUCAACCAUAAAUAAUAAAAAUUAUUUAAAAUCUUGAGCUUCAUCAUGUUAUCAAUUAUCAUAUUAUUAAUGACUUUAUUAAAAAGAAUUCAAAAUAAUUGUAAAAACACUAAAAAAUAUAUAACAAUGCACACAUAUAGUCACAUAUAAUUAUACGACCCACGGGGGCGAUGAAUCGAUCCCCCCACAGGUGCGCCACUGUUUUAUGAUAACUUGCCAGGGUGUUUGGGUUAUAUAGACCAUGAAAAUAAACGUUACAAAUACAAUAUGUAGACAAAAGUAAAACUCUCAUUUGACAAGCAAACUGUAACUAUUUCGUAAUCCUUUAAUGCAUUUUGUAUACAAUAUUUUAUCGUCGAAAAAUGCUGAAAAAUAUAUACGGAAUUAAUGGGACGUAGAAAUAAAUAAAGAUAACGAGAAAAAAACGAUAGCCAAAUUUUUUAUACUCGAGUCGUUCGGAUAUCCGAGCAACUGAUAGGCAACAAGUUUCUGAAACUUUCGUUUCUGUUUAUAUGGUACGAUAUAAAUUGAAAACUUUAACAAACGCACGUGAAAAUAUCGAUCGCUCCUGUAUUCGUAUAAUGCCACAUAUUAUAAUACCCAUACUUACAUAUAAACGUCUUACGAUAUUAUAAUUCUCGUUCAAAGCCGAAAUUGGUGAUUAUUUCUUUAAGUGAAACAGCGAACAUAGAUUAGGUACAAUCUAAAAUAAAAAAGAUUUUUUCGACCGGCUAUUAACGGAUGUUUUGGUAGAAAAAGGGGUUAACGAAAAAACAUAAUUUAUCUGUCCAAUCGACGAUCGUUGUUAGAUAAACAAAAAAUGCGCAGAGACAAAGACGUGCAAAAUGAAACGUUAAUUGAAACCGAUGAAACAAAAAUUAUAUUAACGAUAACUUUUAUCAGGAAAUUCGGAGCUGACGGGCUGUAUCAACAAUAUUAUGAUAAAUUGUCAAAAAAGCGUUUCGUUAAAUACGACCGUCGCGUGUCGUGUCACGGGAACGCUAUCAUAUUAUAGCUAUCAUAAAAGGUUACGAUAAAACAAUAAUGCAAAGUAUGUUAUUGUUUAAUUUUUUUUUUUUUUUUAAACACAUGCCAUUUUCAUAAAUUAUAAGUUUAAAAAAUAUAUUACGUAUAUUCUGACAGUUUCGGUUUUUAUUAAUAAUAAUGAUAAUUCUCCACUAAUUAGUUCGUCUAUGCUUAAAAUAAUAAUAAUAUUAUCAUUUUUGAUAGUAAAAUGUAUACAAACUAAUACUUUAAUAAUAUUAUCAAGCGAAAUGUCUUUGAGAAGAUUAUGUACCCCUCCUAAGACCUUUCAUAUUAUAAAAUAUUAUAUUAUAUAGUUAUGUCAACUACCACAGAGUACAGCAUGAAACGGGAAAGAGGUGAGCUUUUCUAAACCCGAAAUUUCCCUUUAGCUGUAUAUUAUAAUUUGUAAUAAUAAUAUAAUUAUAAUCUAAACGGACGGAAAAAAAUCGCAAGGAUAUUAUAUUAUGUUUUUAUCGGCAAUUAAUAAAUAUGCAUAUUAUAAUAACGAUUGUUUAGGUCAUUUCGUCGUUCGUUCGUCACGAUUUUAAUUAGUACCGGUGUAAUCGGGAUUAUUUACUCCCAUGAAAUUUUACCGAAAAGUAAAAUUUCUCUAGAGAUAAUUUACCGAAGGAGGUGAAAUUUCACCCGGUAAAUAAUGCUAAUAAGAAGUGGAACAUAAAUAAUAUUGUCGUAUUAUGAGCAUGAGUGCGUGCACGGGGGAGAUAAGAGAGGCAGCUAUCUUCCUUACAAGAUUUUUCACCAAAAUAUAUAUAUUUUUUUUUAAAUACGUCAGUUAUGAAUUUUGUAAAAUAUUUAACUCUAACACCUCUUUAAUAAUGUGGAUUAACGUAAAAAGGUGAAUCUUGAGUGAUUUAUCCCCCUGAAAACUCAGCCAAGAUCUCACCUCCAAAUUAAGUCCUCAUUAAAUAAAUAUAAAUAAAAUCAAUAUUAUGAGGCUUAUAUCUUUAUAUAUAAAUUUGUGUAAAGUUUAUUGACUUUUAUGAUAGAUUCCUACUCUGCCAAGAAGAAAUGUGCAUGUUUAUGAUCAAAGAUAUAUUUGUGAUGAUGUUUUGUCGUUAAUUUGAUAACAAUUCAUCAAAUUAAAGUACUGUUCGUAUCAAAAAAAUAAUUAUAAUAACAUAAUAUACUAUAUUCAGUACACAGUCGGUCAUUAAAAUCGACAUUGAGGUUUUUUUUUUUAUUUAUACGUAGAAUAUUACAUUAUACUGGCAUUUUCUGCUAUCCAUAGCACCGGUAAGGGCUAGUUAUAAUAGUAUGUGUAAAGUUUAUACGAGAGAGCAGUGUCAGAUGGAAAUCACUGUAAAUGUUAAAUGUCUACCAGAAUAGUAUGAUAGUAUACUCAUAGAUUUCAAAAAGGCCGUGUAAUUGAUAAAGCCUCAAACUUGACUUAUUUAAUAUUUAUAGGCACUCUCUCGAAUAACGGUUCAGAUAACUUAUUUUUCAUUUAUAUUCGGAUGAAACACAAUAACGGUGAUAAGAAACUUGGUAAAAUCGUGGUCGCUAAUUUCGGUCGUUCUAUGGCUUUUACUGCAUGAUAAUAAUAAUACGUGUGGUUACCGGUCACCCUCCGAAAUAUUUCAUACUUAACACACUAUUCGCGAUGCCCAAUUCGGAUUAAAACUACAGGUAAACUUUUAGCGUAGGUACUUAAUACCUACCGCGAUUACGGUUUACACAAUAGAGAGACAUAAUAUAGGUCCACAAUGCUACCCCUACGGUAAAUCAUAAUAUUUUGUACGGUGGCGGCGGCGCUAAACAUAAUAUUUCAUGUAAUGAAUAUAAAAACAGUCUAUAUAUAUAUUUCGGUACUGCCGUUUGUUUUUCUCGUGAUGUGGUUUAAAAGAAUUUUAUUUUAUUUUAUUUUUUUGUUUAUUGUACGUUGAAUUUGAGAAAAAACCAUUAUGGUCCGUAAAUCAUAACUUUGAUAAAAGUAACGUACCUACCUGUACAACAAUACUCACAUAUAAAUCAAGAUAAUCAAGUUUUUUAAUAAAUUUUCAAGAAAAAAUCCAUAGGUAAACUUACGACUCGUACAAAUAAAUCGUAAAAAGAUAAAAUAUUCUUUGUAUUCUCGUCGAUAAUAUUUGAAAAACUCAUAUCACGCCGUGAAGCCCUGCGUUGGUGUUCAUACAAUCUAUAAAAUAGAGAGAUGUUUUUAACUCCAUAAUACUCCUGAUACGGCUGACAUUAAAUAUACCGAAUUUACCGAAUUCAAUUUUUUUGCCGUUUUAUGUCCUUUAGUAAAUGAUAAAUUCGACGAUAAUAAUAAAACGGUAAUUACGUAAUGAAAUACUAGAACAAAAUAAACUUAAGAAAUUUAUCAUUUGGCCUAAUUUAAAAUUCAAUAUAAUCGUUAAAUUGCUAACUCAGGAUUUUUAAGUUUGGACAGGUGUUGUACCCUACCACUCACUCCAAAUACAUAUCACUCUAUUUCCAGUUCGGUGCCACCGUCGUUUUGAUUAUUAUACCGAAAAAUUGUUCGUUUACGCUUUUUAUAGGUAGGUAGAUACGUACCUAUCUACAAAGUUUACCGGAGAAAAGUUAUAAUAUUUAUCGGUGUACAAAACCCACUCUAAAUUAUUCUAAAACACAUUUUCAUUUUAUGCUUUAAUAGCCGCAAAAAAUAACAAAAUGUUCCGAAAUCCCGUUGUAAAACUUUCGUAAACCGAUUAAAAAGUUGUCUUGUAAUAUAUAUGUAUAGAAAAGAUAACAUGUCUGCCAUCGUUUUAAACAUAAUAAUAAUAUUUCUUGUUUUUUCAAGUAUCACUUUGUGCAUAUUGUAUGAUUUUAUAUAUUAUUAUACCUGUAUCUAAUAUGUUUUCUUCUUCGACGAUUUCAAAACGGUUUGGCACAACUCACGUCGUCGUUGAAAUUUUUAAAAGGUUUUUUUUUUUCAUUCAAAGUAUCGUGCGUUUUCAGGCGGGACUACCUCGAAUCGGAAAAUUAUAAUGCAAGUAACCUUUGAGUUAAACGAUUUGUCACUCCAGCAGGAUAUAUGGUAUUUAUGAAGGCGAAAUAAUAAUCGUCAUGAUUUUAUUUUUCCUCCAUAGGUAUUGAAUUUACCGUUCUGUUUCGGAUAACCGAGAGAAAAUAAAAUAACAAUCGAAAGCGUCAACAAUUUUCAGCCGAAUAUUUGUGUAAUAUUUAUGUUAAAAUAACGUGCCUUGAAAAAUUCCAGCGUAAAACUGGCUGUAGAUAUUACUUGUUUUGACGGUUUUGGCCUAUGAUAUGGUAGUUGCGUCAGAGAAGCGUGGGAUCUUCUUUUAAGGAAGUUGUGUGUGUGUGUACAAAUGGACACUUUUUUUAAGUAUAACCGAUAGCAGUAAGGAAUGUGUUUAACACAAUACUUCACUCACUGCUGCCAUUGUUUAUUAAAAUAUAAGUUAUGAAUUAGUUUAUCGAAUGUACAAUCAAUGCCUUGCCUUUGGGAGAAGGCUAAAACCGUAAGUGAUAUAAAUCAACCUCAGGAAAAUAUGGGAAACUAAACGGGUUGUCUAUAAGCUUGUCCAGGACCUUGUAGAAGAGUAUAAACCUGGCUCGUUUCCACCUAUUCGGAAAGACGGACUCACUCAGUUGUAGAUCUUCAGGAGGACUUCAGGCGAUCUCAUAAAAAUCACCGAGAAGACCUCAUUUGGGACACUGUCGGGUGCGGUAGCCUUGUUUUUAAGCAUUAAAGCAACUGCUAACCUGAACUCGUCGACGGUGAGAACGGAAUACCCUCGUUCGUUAGGUUUUGCUGCUUUAGUUUUGAGAAGGAUGGUAAGUGGUUCGCGUAUUUCGAGAAGAACGUCUGGCCAGUGCACUACUGAUCUGACCGGGAAAAACAAAUCUGCUAUUUCGUUUUCACCUCUCCUUUUAGUGAUUCCGGGCGACUGUCUAUUAAAUCACUUGGAGACUACUCUAUAAGAGAUGCCUCAGGGGUCUUUUUAACUGCCGAGGAUAGUUCGGCCGAACAUCGUCUUUAGAAGGUUCGGAUUUGAGCGCAAAGAGACUUGUGAGGCUCUCUUAAACAAGUGGACACUAGAUAAAGCCCAUUAAACAUCUUGCAGUAGAGUACAAUUUUGCUUACUGUAAAUCCAUUAUAAAAUAAACUGAUUAAAUUAGUAGAUUAAUAGAUUAAUUAGUAACAAAAUAUUAUAUUUUAAAUACUCUCACUGGUAGGAUGAAGAGUAACUGGAAAUGUUUAGUUUAUCUAUUCAUGGAGGUUUUUUAACGGAGGGAGCACGUAGUAUAUAUUAACUAAAAAAGUAACCUGCAAAUUUGGCCUAUAUACCUAUAUUUGGCCUAAUACUUUUCCUAUAUAGAUAGUUUAAACUAAUGGUGGAUUUUUUUUCGUGUUUUCUUUAAGUAUUACGAACUCUUGAUAAUUUGCACGCAGUGGUGUACACAUAAUUUUUGUAUACUGAGGGGAGGGGAGAUCAGUUUCAAAUAAAUUAUUAUGAAAGGAAAAUUUCUAAACCUAGGUACCUGCACGUUAAAAUAAUAAAUAAUAAAACAUUUAUUUAUACUGCAUUUUAUUUCAAAAUUCUACAAAUAAUAAUAAUACAAAAGUUUUAAUUUUGUAUUAUGACCACGGCCGGUCGGUAAAAUUGUAUUCUUGACUCUUGUUAUAAUUAUAUUUUAUGUAUACCUAUAUAUUAAAUUAAUAUAAUAUGAUUAAUCAGUCAUUAGUCAUUAGUAAAUUCAUUUUAAUCAUUGCCAUUUUUUUUUUACAUUUCAAUGUAACGCCCUUAUAAAGAACACUAUUUUUUACAUUUUACAUUCCCCUCCUUGUAUACGCCCCUGUUUGCACGUUCUCGUUAGUAAUCGCGGGUGACGUGUGUAAUUACAAACUUGUAUUUCGUGAUUGUUUAUAUAUUAAACGAUCAAUAUAUGAUCAAAUGGUAUUCGAUCGAAACGAUACCUAAUAAUAAUAAUUAAUAAUAUUAUUAUUGUAUUAACGCGUGGAAUUUACCAUACACAAAUUCCAACAAGUCGACAUAACAUAAAUUCUCCGACUUUAUACUGUUCAGUUUCUAAAACGCUAACAAUUCAGCCUUUCGGUUCGACCUCAAUUGGUGAAUAUGAAAAACAACGAAUCAUGUAACACACUUUCGAAUACUCGUCACAUAGCUCUGAUUUUUAUUAAUUUUAUAAUCACGAAUGGACCAAAAUAUGUAUGCAUAUUUUUAAAUUAAAUAUACGAAAAUAUAUUAAAAUUAUUAAAUUAAUAUUAAUAAAAAAUUAGUUAAAAAUUAAUAUUUGUAUGUAGUGCACCCUUAUUAUUUUCGAUUCACAGAACAAUAUCGACUCUAAAUAGAAAGCGUUUUGACGAGUCAAAAGUUGAAAAAUUAAAGGAACAACAACCAAAAAUUUAUCCAUCUAACUUUUUUGAUUUUUAAGAAUCGGGCCAACAAUCUUAUUAUCAAUAUCGAUCAUGGAUUAUGAUGAUUCAUUUCGUAAAAACCAUUCUUCUAUAGGUAAUAAACUCAAAAUUGAUUUGAAAUAAAUAAAUUGGGUUUCAUGAGUUGCUUAUAGGGUAAGGCUUCAUAAUAACAUUAAGAAUGCGAAUAUGAACUUAAGAAAGGUCAAUCGUUACACUGUGCAAAGUUUUAUGACUGAAUAUAAUAUACAAACUAAAUUGUAUAAUCACGUAUCAAAUCAUUUUCAUUAUUGUAUGUAUAUUAUAUAUACUAUUUAUAAAAAUGUGAUAUAAUUAUACGAUAUGACUACUUAUACAUAUGUAUACGAUGUAUUAAAAUAAGGUAUAGACUAUUUAUAACCGGGGGUAGGGGAUUCUGUCUAUAAAUUAUUUAGAAUAUCAAUGACUUUAGUAUUGAAAAGAAGAAUUUAACUACUGUAUAUUAAUUUUAUAUUGGUUACGAAAUAGGGGCAGAUGUUUAAAUAACCCUUGAUAGAAUAUUUAUAAACAAAACCAACCCUACUAUAAUAAUAUUUCAAAAUAUCCCAUCUCUAUUUUUAGAUUUUGUGAGCAAAGAAGCCUAUGGUUUUACAAAGAUGUUUAUUUUUUUUUCUGUGGACAACUUUUCUACCAGAGGACUUGCUCUGAUUUGUACGUAUAUAAACUUUUCUGGAAGGAAAUUGGUGUGGGAAGGUAUCUUAAAGAGAUCGUUUUUCCAUUUUCUCCAGAGUUUUCUCAGCAAAUGUGAAAUAGUGGGAAAACUGUGAAAAUCGGUACAACAUUAAACAAAUAUUAUUAAAGAAAAUAUAUAAAGCCUACUUAAUUAUUGUACUAUAAUAUGACAUAUAUAUUGUUGACAAAGUAUCACUAUUAACUGUACUCCGCUUAGAGUCGUUUUUUCGUAAGCACUGGUUUAACAUUACCCGCCCCCAUUAUCCUACAGCUUAUCCUAUAUAUUUUUUUAAUUACCUUCGUAUUGCUCAAAAUUCUCACGCAAAUUAUAUAAAUAUACAUUUGUAUAUAACUGUUUACCUAAAUCUAAUAUUAUAUACGAAUACAAUAAUACAUACUACACAAAUGUGCUGGUAUUUGAAAACGAAUAUUUCAAAAAUAAACUGCAGAACCUAAGUGUUGUUACGUUGUAUACUUGUAUAUUAUAUGUAAUAUGUAUACAACUAUCAUUAUAAAAUAUAAAUACAAAUAAAAAUACGAUGAUAUUUUUUAAAACUACGCUGUUUUUACAAGAAUUUAUUUACCCCUUUUUAUUAAAACCGGGAAUAGUUUGUAAAAUACACUUAGAUUUCAAAGAAAUUCAUUCAAAAACACGGUCGGGGUCCAAAAAUGUAAUUAAGAAGAUAUUUUGUACUAUAAUACACAAUGUGUAUUCAUAAUAAUAAUAAAUUAAUGUUUUGAAUUGAAAUUAAAUUUUAUAACCAAAUUCUCAAAAUUCCCUUGGAUAUAACAUUAUUAUAUCAUAUAAUUAUCUAAUUAAUCGUAGUGCGUAGUGUAUCUAGAAUCAAAAUCCGAGAAAAAAAUUUUAACAAUAAAUAUCAAAAUAAAGUACCUACAUUUUUAUUUUAUAUACUUUAUAUUUAAUGUGGCUUUAACCUGUAUACAAUUUUUAGAUUCCGAGCCCAAUCAUGAAAAAUGAUUAUUGUGUAAUUAAAAUGUGUUUAUUUUUUUUACUCGCAGAAUAUUAUUUUUCAGUUAGUAUAUCUAUUAGUAAUAUUGAUUCAAAUAUUGUUCUCAUAGAACCAUAAUAAAAGAUGCGAAUUUCCCCCCUUACGUGACGACAUUUUAUUUUAAAUAAAUUUCUAGAUUUCUGACAUUUUUUCUAAAAGUUCAAAAAAAAAAUAGACAACAAAUAAUGAUGAUAUUAUAUCUACUUUAAUUUUAUCAAUUUCUGUAGGGUUUAAGGGAAAAACAACGCUUAUUUAUUACAAUUGAUAGCAUCGAUUUUUUUUUUACAAUGAUUUAUCGUUGUUUUAGAAUACUAACUAUAUUACUGACCUUCAUCAUAUACCUCCCUAAUUUCGCAAACCUAAAACAGUACUUAAUCUACUAAUAUAAGUGUUAAAUUUUGGCUACAUUAUUUUUCUUUCAUGUAAAUAAAUCUGAACAUAAAUUCGAAAUUAUAACAAAAAGUUUUUAGGAUAAGUAACAGAUAACAUACGAAAAUGUUCAAAUAAAUCGUCAAUAAUGUUUUUGGGAGAUAAACAUAUCGAAUGGCGGCGUCUGAAGAAAACGAAAAUGACAACAUAAAACCUGAACGUUAUCGGAAUUAAUUGUAUUAUUACUUUUAUUUCGUUUUCGACGUAAUAAUAUUAUUUUAAUGUAAGACUAUUGACUGUUGAAUAUGAUAUUAUGAAUUUUUCGCGUUUAAAACACCAUUACAGUAUAUUAUUAUUAUAUAUUUUGUAAUUUUCAUCGGCAUAAAGAAAUAACUAAAACAUCACCAACGUUGUGGCUAAGUACAGUCUGAAAAAUAAGAGAAUGUAUAAUAUUAUUCUUUAAAAAAGAAGGUUGUAUGUUUUUUCGAACGCUUUUCUUUUUGCCAUUGACAUUUCAAACAAUAUAUAUUUUUCAACAUCAUCAUAACGCUAUUGAAUCGUAUUGCAUAAUAAUAUUUCACGUCUUUAUUAUUAUUAUUUUCUUUUUUACACAAUUUCAAUGCUACAUCAACUAUUAUAUAUUUUUAUUUAUAUAAGUCGUGUUUUUUAUUUAUUCUUGCAAAUCUGCUUUUGGCUAUUGUAAUUGAAAGAGCUUCUUUUUUUUUUUUUGAAUGCGUGAAAACUCGGUAAAAAAAAGUGGUAAUACUGUGUUUUAUCUAGAUUAAUUAUGAUCUGAAUUGGAGUAUUAUUUUUAUCAUUUCUCUUACUGAGAAAUAAGUUAUCCGAGAUAAAUUGAGGCGCUUAGAACACAAGGGUUAUAAGUGACAUUAUUUUAAUUUCAAAAAAAUCAAGUUUAAAGUUUUUUGUAUUUAAUACAAUUAUUAUAGUUCAUUGUCAUAUUACCACUGUUCUUGUGUUCGAACGAUAAAAAUAAGUUUUGAACACUUGGCAGUAUAGAUACAUAAGUGUGUUAACAACUGUUGUGAAUCCUUGUACCUAUUUACUUCUCAUAUGUUUCGGCAUUUUCAUUUGUAGACUAUUUUAGUGAGAUCUAGUAUUUAUUACUGGAUUGCAACAUAUGUGGAAUAAUUUUCUUACAUUUCUUUACCACAUAAUUAAAUGGAAUAUUUUUAGUUUAGCCGUGCUCUUAACUCAGAUUUUUUCAAAAUGUCACUUAUAUCGCUUGUUUUCUAUGCGCCUCAAUAUCAAUUAGGAGAACGUGUUUAUCCAUAUUUAAGGGGUUGAGUGUAGGCAAUUUUCUUGAAACUUGUAAAAAUACUAAUUAUAAAUAAGAAAUUAAAUUUAAAAUACAUUUAUAAAUAGUCACUGUUAUUAUCACAAGUAUAUCUGGCAUUCCAUACCAAAAUACAAGGUUAUCGGCUAUAAUUUUAACGAACAGUGGAUUUUUUAUUUGUUUUAAACUGAAACUUCUAAUUUUAUAAAAUCUUUCCAUCAAUUGUUGAGAGCGUUACCAUUGUUAAUAUUUUAAAUUUGAGGGAAACAUGAAGAUGGAAAUUUUUAAAAUUGAUAUGAUUUUUUUUAAAAGAAUUUGAUACUUACUCAAAACAGAUAUUUUAAUCAAAAUUACAGAGGGGUCGGCAGAUAACUCCGUGAUUUGACGAGGAAUGCCUCAUAUGUAUUAAAUAAUUGAGAAAUUAACGAAAAUAACAAUGGAACAAACUUUUUGGAAGGGCAAAAACUACUCCGGUUAUAGAUUGAAUGAAAAACCAAAUUUUCAUAAUAAAAAAAAAUAAAAUAGAAAAUAAAACCCACGUUAGGUCACGUUGGUUUAUUUUUUAUAUAUAAGGUGCAAACUCAAAAUUAUCAGAUUUCAGAGCAAUAAUAAUUUUUUUUUUUUAUAAUUUGUGGUAUUCAAAAAUGAAGAAUAAAAAUUUUUCUUUUGCUGUGCUGAAGAUUCGGUUCCGUAAUUAGGUCUACAGCCAGGGUGUUUUUGUCCACGUGGAACAGCUUUUAUAGCAUAAUUACGAAUGGUAGUAUGCAUUCUUAAGUCAUCUAUAUUAAUUAUUCAUUCAAAUCGUAAAUGUUAUACUUAUUAGAAAUAAAAAAUACAAUUUUUAUACAAUUGAUGAUAUGGUUUAUAAAUUAAUUAUCAAUUUCAUAAAUACUUCUCAACGGCGAGAGAGGCAAAGAGAGUACUUGAGUAGGUAGAAAGGGGAGUAAAAGAGGUGAUUAGAGGACCAAAAUGUAAUACAUUUCUGAGGAGGUCAAGAGGUUGCUUCCCAACGGGUACCCAUUAAUUGAACUCAAACAUUUCGUACCCGGUAAGGUCGAAAAGGUUUGCAACGGAAGGUUCCUGGUUGGCACUGAUUCGGAGCAAAUUAGGGUUAUACACAGACACUAAACUGUACAGACAUGUAAAUUGCACACGAGUGAAGUCGUGGACAAAGUCACUGAUAAUACAGCAAUAUUUGUAUACUUUAAAUUUGUUGACUAUAAUAUAAAAAAAAAAAAUAUUUAUAUAGAUAAAAAAAUUACCGCCCAAUUAACUUAAUCUAAAUAAUUAAAUUGUUACGUAUCAUAUAUUUCCGUUUUUAAAAUCAUUAACCUUUCAUCGUGUUUGUCUUAAGUUAUUUUAAAAUGUAUCUUUAAACAACACUUGCAGAUUGAAAGUCUAGAAAAAAUCUGUUCAAAAUUCCGUCGAAAUUAAAUAUUAUUAUUCAAGGAAACAAGCGCGUUUGAAAAAAAAAAUGUCUUUGCAAACGAUAUUAUUUAUAUCGUGCUUAUCGUUUAAUGUGACACUCUGUAAAAUCCGCUGUCGUUGGAUUUUUCGAACGAUUUAAAAAUAUCCUAAUUUUUGAUUUACAACGACGAGGGUUUCGAAACGCCGCCAACAAUCGGAAGAAUAGCCGAAGAAUAUAACUUUCUAAUAUUUUCUUGAACCUUUAUUAAUAUAAGUAUAUAUACUUAUGAUAAUAAUAUUCACAAUAUAUAAUAAACUGCUGUGGCGUAGUAUAAUGUAAUAUUGAUUUUUUUUUUUGUAAAGAACGGCUCGUUUAUGUUUACAGUGGAAAAAAAACACCUGUACGAAAAUAACGGGAAAAAACCCCGUGUCUAUAUUACGCAAUAUACGGGUGGUGACGAAAAUAAUAUUAGGUAUAUAUUUUAUAACAAAUCGUCAGUCUCCGGCUCUCCCACCAUCGUUUUGCCAUUCGUACCGGCGAACACGUCACCGUAAUAAAGUGUACUCUAUAUUAUGCACCAGUGCACCACCACCGACGCUUCCAUCCCGAUGAUAAUAUAAUAAUAUACGCCGCAUAUACAAUGCAUUAUAAUAUAAUAUAUAUAUAUUACGAGAAAUAGUAUAAUAUAAUACCUACACUAUUAUAUUAUUUGUCGGCGAAUAUAAAUGGAAACUCGUCGGCAGUUGGCGGCACUGAUUAAUACGCGCGUGUGUCUCCUACCUCCCUCCUUCGGUGCUGCCAGGGAAUUAAUUGGUUCGAAAAUUCUACACCGGUAUACGCGCGGUGUUCCGAUUAUGUGGGAGUAGCGGCUACACACCGCUUAUAUUAUUAUUAUUGUGUAUUAUAUAUUAUUAUAUACCAACGAGUAAAUAUAUAUAUUAUUUAUAAUAACAUGAACAAAGGCCAUUGUUGAAAAAUAUAAUAUAUUUAUGUGUACAUAAUAAGGUCGAAGUGGUCGGUGGGAGGGGUCAGACGAGGGCUGUUUGAACUGAAGUCGGAAACUUAUUUUUUUUUUCCAAAAAAAGCCUAGGUAUGUGACGAAAACUUUUCAUUCGGAAUCUCGAAUCGUAUAUUAUAAUAUAACUAACCUAACCUAAAAACGUUACGUCGCUCGUAUUUAUUUCACUCUGAUGUUCUCUCUGAAAGGUUAAACCAACCGCUACCAUGUUUUGAUUUUCAAACAGAAACCCGUAUUAAAAAUUUAAAAGGUUAGGUUAGGAUAGGUUCUACGAAAAUUACACGAACCUUUUAGUUAAACCGUUUACGAAACAUUCUCGUUUUUCAUUUAAACUGAAACUUCAUCUAUUUAUGGAAUUUAAUAAAGGUGGCGGUAUGAAAAUUAAAACGUCGUAGUUGUUUCAAUUCCAUAAUUACAAAGGUGAACAAAAUCAAGGCGACGUAACAUUUUAGAAUAGAAAGUAUGUACGAGUUCAAAAAGUGUUCAUGUAGGCUAUUUUAUUGGAAAUGUGCCUAGGUUUCCAAGGUUAUGUUUGCCCGAUCGUUUCUUCCCAAAACAUAAGGGUAGUAAAAACGGUGCGGUAAAUUAUUUUAGAGUUGCUUGUUUCUUAAAUUUUCCAAAUAAGAAUAUUCGAAUUAAUACAAGUGCCUUACACGUUAUAACGAUCACCCUGUUUAUAUAUUUUUUGUCUCAUAGGCGUCAUUUUACUAAAAUCCAGGGGGUUGCAAAACAAAUCAGAAAAGUUACCAUCUCUCUGCAAAAUCGAUCGCUACACUCGCAAUUUUAUUCGCUACUUUCAACUUAAUUCCAGUUUCCAAAUACAAUUUUUUUUGAUCAUAAAUAAUUACCUAGUCUUAUUCUAUAAAUAAUUAGUCAAUAUUGUGAUUUAAUAUAUUGAUAUUUAAAGUGCAUUUAUUUUGAAUAAAAUGACUCUCACAGACUAUAUAUGAUCUUUGAUACUCAAUAGCAUAGCGACAAUUUUCGCGACCAUGUGGUAUCACCAUUAAUCUAUUUUGUGGUAUCACUAUCUCCAUUUAAGAUUAAUUAGUAUAUAAACAGAUAAUGGGUUUAUAUUAUGUAAAGUUAAUUGAAUAACAUACAGAAUAUUAUUAUUUAUCACAAACUAUCACUAUAAUUAAAGUUAUACUCUCUUUGAUAAAACUGCGGAUCUAUAAUGUUCUGUUAGCCUCACAUAUUUCGUAUCAUUCCUGGUCUAUUCUUUUAUAUGUCUAUAAUACAUACCGUGAUUACAACUGAUUUUAGAAUACAGUUAGGAAAAACAUAGAUAACAAGUUAAUAUGUCUAUGAGGAAAAACAUAGAUUUCAAAAAUAACGGUUUACUAAUUCACAUACGUAAAAUAAAAGAACUGUAAGUCGAUAAGUAUCACGAGGACGUGAUAAUUAUCAGAUGAUCAUCUGUUAUCGUCAUUACCAUUACUUUAUAAAUAUUUAAAAGUUCAGCAUUAUUUAUAUAUUUGAAUUAUAGAAAAUUCAACGGGGGAAAAAUUAUAGUAUUGCACCUCGAAAUAAUUCAAGUGGAAGCAAGUGCAUCCCCGUGUACCCCCGAUAUUACGCCCAUGUUUUGUCUAUCAUUGUUAUUAUUAUUAUUAUAUAUAUUUAUAUUCUGUUUAAAAUAUUAUAAUAACAUAAUAUUCACGGGUUGGUUUCGAUGAAAUGUAUUUUUAUUUAACCGAUAUAUCGAUGCUAGUGAUUUCUAGAAGAAAAAAUAUGAGUACCUAUUUAUAAAUAUUUGAAAUGUGCUAAGUACCUUACUAUGUAUUUAUAUAUAGUGCAUACACUUUAAAAAUCAGUUAUGAUCAUUUUCGGCCGUCGUCUACUGCAGUGCUCAUUAAUUAUAACAAACAGUAUAAAAAUGUGAAGUAUGUGUUAUCGCUCGGGGCUAAACAAAAGUUAAUUUUUGAUCCUAGUCCUAUUGCUUAUCAAUGUUGUAAAUAAUUUUUCAUCAUAUGGACCUAAUAAAAAAAAAAAAAAAAACAUAUCGAAGAGGCAGGAAUUCCCUGAAACUCUCCCCUCCCCCGUAAAUACGCCAAAAGACAUAUAUAAUAACUAAUUGUCGUUUACGAAUUCGCAAGAUGCGCACGUAUAAAACGCGUAUCGUUUAUACAAGAAAUUUCGGAAUCGUUGUCGGUGAAUUAAUGAAGACACUCGUCGCGUCGACUAGUCGUGUGGGGUCGUUUAUUAUACGGGUCCGAGUCGAGCGCCGCGAACUAAUCGGCACGGAGCGGAAAUCGUGUUCACCGCCGCGGUAGCCAGAGGUAAACCGGGUGGCGUAGAGGAGCAGAGACGGCGGUGGCGAAGGAUUGUUUGUAAAAAGAAAAAAAUAUAUACACGGACCCGUGGCGUGGGCGAUCGGAGUGGCGGCGAGUUGACACAGACAAAUGGCGUAACUUUUUCGCCGGCGCCCGGCCGCUCCCGGGUCGAAACCGACGCCCGGCCACCCCGUCGCGAAUUCGGAGUAUCUACCUUGUUUUUAAGUACCGAACGGACCAGCGGAAAAGAAAGCCGGGAAUUUUCUGCUGGAUAUAUUAUUAUUAUAGAGCGCGGGCGGGAAGAGGCGGGAGCAUGUGGUGUGUCCGGUGGGAAAACAGCCUGUCAUCCGGUCGACAGUGGUCGUGAUGGAUGAACGAAGAUGGCAGCCGUAGUGGCGUCGGCGCGGUGGAGACGACCGGGUUUCGUGUUGCCCGAGGAUUUUCGCGGCGAUGAAUUAUAAUGAGGACGACGGUGACGGUGGCGGCAGAAACAGAGUCGUCUAGGCGGCAGGAUUAAAAUAAUUUCACUAUUUUAUCCCCCUCCCCCUCUGGGUUGGGUCCAUCGGAUAAAACAGUUUACAAACUACAAACUAUAAUGCGGUUUUUCGAUAUCAGUCGUCGGGUCUUCAGUUUUCUGUUUCACACACAUGUACAUAACUUACGCACUCGGAACCAGGGAAUUAAUUAGUUUUUCAAAUAACUACUGCGGUUUCAUAGCAACGUUCAAAAGUUCAGCCGCAACGCUUCGUGGUUUUAACUGAGAAAUAAUAAUUAUAAUUAAAUUAACAUGUCGUACGUAAUAUUUCCAUCGGCUUGUACGGUGUGACGCCUUAUUGUUGAUGUGCAGGACGAAUACAACAUAUUAUAUUGGAGUUCAAAAGCGAUCGAGUUUAACGCAGAAAAGAAUAUCAAUAUUCAUACCCAUGGAAAAUAAACUAAAAAAAAAAAAAAAAUGAAUACUGCUGAUGGAUGUUCCACAGUUUUUAAGGAAAAAGCUGAAAGCAAUGAUAUAUAGUAUAAUUUUGUUUUAAUAUGUAUCCAACCAUAAAUCAUACCUAACGAAAAACGAUUCUGAACAAAUUACUACUCAAAAAUCGACAAAAAUUAUACACACAUUGCCAGUUUUUCUGAUUACUAAAAAAUUCAAGAAAUUAUCUCAUAAAUGUCUAUAAAAAAAAUAAUGCAUACAUGAAAGUUCCUAUACAAUUUCUAAUUGGUGUAGGAUUUCUCGUAAAAAAGUUGUUAACAAACAAAAAAAGACAAACAUGCUUCGCAUGACUGGCCACUGCUGCAGGUGAGAAGUUGGGAAGAUAGGAUAUAGAGAAUUCAAUUUAUAUCUGUACGCAACGAUAAACUGUUGUAAUGAAAUUUGAUUCAGAGGGAAAUUAGGUUACACAUGUUUUGAAAGGCCUUAUUAUUUAAGAUUUUCGUCAAAAUUGAAUACUAAAAUUCUUAUAAAAAAAAAUACUACAUUCAUCUUAUUUUUUCUUCACUACUAAGUAAAAAAUAUAAGAAUCUCCUGUUUAAUUUUCAAGCAUUUCUCUUUAGUCUAAUAAUUGUAUCUUCAGAUCAAUAUCCACCUACCGAAUAAAAAUCGCAAAAAACCACGCAAAAUAAAAAUGUCCGUAAAUAGCUAAUCUAAUCUACCAAAAAUGGCUCAAAUGUCUUAAAAAUGUUACCACGUAUAGGAAUAGGAAUUAUAAGUUUUCUGUUUAAAUUUUAAGUUAUCUACGAAUUUUAUCAACUCAAUUCGAACAAAAAAUCAAAAUUGAAAAUAAUAAUAGCAUUAUUUUCCCAUUUUUUUUUCUACGUUUUUUACUUGGGUAUUUUCGCUAUUAUUAUGAAAACUGUUUGGAAAAUCAAAAGGUCCAAGGUCUAAUCAUAUUAUAAUAAUAUGCUACAUAUUAUCGUGUUGUGAACUUCAUUAGGCACUAAGACUUUGUUCGGGGAAUUGUUGCUAUACAAUGUUAAUAGCGUGUUUUUCAUUUUUCAGAAAAUAUCGUUAAUAAUAAGUUGAUAGGUAUUAAGAAGAAAAACACAUAUAUUGUUUCUCUGUCGAUUUCCUUUUGACCGGCACAUAAAAUAUUAUACAAUACAUUAUUAUUAUUGUAUAUCUUUAAAGAAAUUAUGUGCGUCAUUAAUCAUUACAUAUAUUUAUACUGGGCAUUGUAUGUAUGUUGAACGAAAAAACGCAAAAAAUAAAGACCCGUAUUUUAAAUUCGUCCAAACAAUACGACCUUUUUUAAAAAAAUAUUUUAUAGAAUGUUGGUAGAAAAUAAUAAGGAGGAAAAAACUAUUCGGGCCGAACAACGCGCGCUGAGUCACCGACAAUAGGAAAACCGUUGUGCUUUUCUUUCACGCGAAGAAUAAACGCUCGGCCCAGACACGACAACUCGACGGCUUCAAUGCAGUAACCGCCGACCUCUUCAUGAGGGCUGUUUUUAUAUUAAAUUUUUAUCAUUGUCUCUGUGGACCAGCGAAAUUUCUUGUAAAAUUCGUCACGUGCGCCGCAGCAAUUGACGACGAGUUGUUUGUUAAAGCCCCGUCCGGAAAAUCGACCUAGGUAAACGGAUGCGAUCGGACGAUAUCGCUUUUUUCGAUUCAAUUCGGGUACGUCAGCAUGUGCUCUGUUUAAACAUUACCCGAAUUCAAGUACACAAAAUAAAAAAUACUGUAUUUGGAUCAUAUAGCAACAUCCGUCUGAAUACAAAUAAUUCCCAAACAAAUCGAUGUCCCGCUACUCGAACGAAAGCGAACGAAUACAAUGCACCACGGGAACACGCAUGAACACUGGAAAAUAAUGCAUACGAUAGGUAAAAUAAUGAUAAUAGGUUUAUGAGUCAAGUGGCGUUGUAAAAAUUAAGUAUCCAUGUAGGUUUGGCCUAAAGCGUCUUCUAUGUUGGUAGAGUUGCUUAUAAAAUGCGUCUUUAAAUUUUGUAAAUAAAUAAUUUGAAUGUAAACAUAUUUUGAUUUUGAAAUUGUAUUUAAUUUUGAGUUUAUUUUAAAUAAUAUGUAUAAUACAAAACGUAUGUAAAACUUUUUAGUCUUAUGUCUCUGCAGUCGAAGACAAUAUACCUAGUAAAAUAAAAAAUAAAAUAAUGAUAAUUAUAAUUAUAAUUUAUUACUAAAAUAUGAUUUAUAGUCCGUAAAUUAGACGAUUUAUAAAAUAUACUAUUUCUCCUGGUACCGAUCUGACAUUGGUUUCUCGAUAAAAUGGUUUCUUUGUAAACACUUGAUUAUGUCAAGAUUACACGUACAUUUGUAAAUUUAAUAUUCAGAGAAUUUGAAUAUUUGUUUGGUUAAUAAAUUUAUAUUUUUUUAAAAACGUUGAUAAAAAUGUGUAUACUCAAUCCCUUAAAUACAACAGACAGGUGCAUUCUCUUAAGUAGCAAGAUGCUAUCAUAACAUUCGAUUUCUCUGUCUGUCUCGCGUGUAAUCUAUAGCAACAAAGCCGUUGUACACUUUCACAUUUGUGACCCUCCGGCUGAGAAUGUAGGGUAAAGAAACCCUGUGUUAUUUAUUUUAAAAAGAAUAGAAUUUACACUAUGCUUCGACCGAAUGAUUUCUUUUUUAUAUCUUCAUUUUUUAUCAUGAUACGUAUGUUUUAAUUUUUACUUCAUUUUGCUUCAUUUUAACCACGAAAAACUUAUUGAGAAAUAAAAAUGUAUAAAAGGAAUAAUUCGGUAAAGACAUAAUAAAAAAUAUAAAAUACACACAUCUUAAUAAAACGCAUCUCUUAAUAGGUCCCUUUGCAUUUUGCCAUACUCACUUUAUUCAUUUUACGUUAACAUAAUUUUCAACAAAUUUCACGAUUAAGUGCACGUAAUAAAUACUUGCAAAAAUGACACGAGACCAUUUUUAAACAUAUAGUUACAUUUUUUAAAAGAAUAUUUCAAUUAUUUUAAGUUUAUGAGUUGUCGUUUAAAUUCAUUUAAAAUCGUAUAACCUCUAAAAUAUUGGAAAAAUUGUAUAUUAUUAUGUAAGCUUUACAUAAAGUUAUAUACUUAUAUACAAAAUUGUCUACUGCCGAAAUAUUAUACACUUAGUGUAUACCUACUUCUAAUAUAUACUUAUCCGUGUAAUAAUGUAAUUAUUGUGAUUGAUAGAACGACGAGAGCCGUCGCCGGAGAAAAGUGAUCGACAUUAUCUUAAAUAAUUGUAACUUUUUCGGAACAAAAAGUUUUCAAGAAAUUAUUAAUAUUUAGUAUAUAUGUAGAAUUUUUCUUAACUAGAUUACUGUGCAACAAUCUAAUGAUGAUGUUGUCGUUAGUUAAAUAUUGUGCUACGCCGCCGCCGUAAAAGGAAAUAUUCUCUUUAAUUUAAACUAUAUAUAUUUAUUGAUUUAACAAAAACAAUGCAAAUUAAAUAAAUUCUCUCUGUACAAUAUUAAAUACGUUUAGACUUUAAAUUGUACAAGCGCUGUGAUAUAAUAAAACUUUAAUACAAUAUUACGCGCACAUCCUCAUCGCAAACCCCGUAAAAUUAUUUUAUCUUUAUCUUUAAAUUACUUAUCGAAAACUUUGUUAGGGUUCUAUAUAUUUUGUACCGAAAAUGUAAAUGUAUUAUUUAUAUUGUGAAUAUAGCUGUACCUAAUUUUCAUUGUAUAGAACUUCAACUACAGUGAAAUAUGAACGAAACAAGUAAAUUACGAUUAAAAUAUUUUGUUUAGUGAAAAUUACAUUUUUUGCUUUUCUUAUAAUAAAAUCAUCAUUAUUAUUGGGGUUUAUUCGGCUUUUACAAGACCAUCCCGUUGUCUCACAAAUGAUUCUUUGGCUAUCUCUCUCCAUCGCCAAAAAUCUUCAAAUUUGGUUCGCACAGCCUAAAGCUUCUACAUAUUCUUCUUUUUUUUUUUUUACUACAUCUUCCCAUUUUAUUCUCAAAAUUGUAGUAAAGGUAUUUUCCCUAUUACAGGUCUUUGUUCCAGCAUUGCCUGCAAGAGUAGGUUUUGGCUUCUCUGUGGUGCCUCAGAUUUUUUCUUUUUAGAUUAUCUCCAAAGUAUUAUUUUCUCCAAAUAUUAUACUUACACUAUGUACAUAACUUUCUGUUUUUUCUUCGUCUCUUUAACCGUUAAAAUUAUCUCCCGCAAUAUAUUUUUUUUUAAAUACCAACAAUUUAUUGCAAUACCAUCCAUAAAUCAUAAUUUAAUUAACUAGUUAUGUUAGAAAUUUAUCAGUCGUGCAGAUUUUAUGGCAGUCACUGGUUAAAAGGAUAAUAUUUCAAUUCGUUGAUAGUGAUAAUAAUAUUCAAUAUUCCAUCAAUUACAAUAACAAUUAUAAUUUACAAUUCAGAUAAUAUAUUAUAUACGAGUACUAGUACACACAGAAUUAUGCGUAUUAAGAUGGAUCACCUCCAAAACCAUUCAUUUCCUAAGAAAAUUUUUCAUAGUAGUUGGCGAUUAUUAAUGAUCGCCACCGGUCGAUCGAGUAAGGCCGAAAUGGAGUUCUGUUAUCUCUAAUUAACUAAUCAAGAAAACAGGUGUCACCAGCGCAAACUUAGAACAAAAUAUAAUAUUUAUAAUAAGUGGCUGACGUGCCUAGUUAGUUAUUUAUAUUAUAAUAUCAUCUAAUAUUAUUCCCCCCACCACCCCCCUCAACCGAUGUUUCUACUUAUAAAAUUUAUUUUUCUCGUUUUAGAAAUUAUAUUUCACCGAGUUUACUGGGAUAUUUCAUAUUGUACUUUUCGACAUCAUAUUCUCACAACGUACAGGUGAAAAUGUUUUAGAACUUUGUACAGUUUGUUAAUACAUUUUUUAUAGGUACCUACUCUUCUCUUUUGCAUUAAUUUGUUUGCAAAAAAUAUUAUAACAUCGCAAGAAUACUACCAUAACUAUCAAAGUGUUUAUAAAAAUAUUCAUAUUUAUUUUUUUAUUAUUAUUUUAGAGACUCAUCUUUAAAAAACAAAACAAAAAAUUACUUAAGAGUUUUCGUCGAAAAAGUGAAAAUAUAUUAAUAUAUACGUAUAAAUCUCGAUUUAAUUAUACAUUUUUGUUUCUCUUGCAUUUUUCUCUUUCUCCUUAAAACAUUUUACUCGGCCGUUUUAAUGUUUUAUUUAUAUACUUUUAAACAACUUUUGGCUAAAACUCACGUCUGUAUCUCAUAAAUUUUUCAGUACACUCAAAACCCUGCAGCGCCUACCCCUCUACCCUCUUAGGACACGCCUUAAAACAACAACGCGCAGAGCAAAUAGUUUUCAACAACUCGAGAAUUUAACGACAAUUAUUGUUUUAUUAAACUAAAAUAUAUAAUCGCAGCAUAUUGCAGUCCCAAUAUAGUUUCAUAACAGAUGAUAAUAAUGUAUAACUGUAUGGUAGGUAUGUAAAUCCAUUCGCUAAUUAAGAUUGACUCGAUAAAACUUUAGAAAAAACGAUUUUUAAAAAAUGGCUGGGUAUAUAGAAAUAUUUAUUAAUCCCGCAGAAUGUUAGAAAUGGAUCUGGUUAAAUUUAAAUUUGUUUCUAACCUAAUUCAGCCGUUUAAUCAAAUUAAAUAAUUGUUUAUUCAGUAUUCCUAAACUAUGAAUAAUAAACAAUAAUGUACAACUUAAUAUCAAUCAUACAAAAAAGGCUGCACUGCCAAUGAGUGCACCACUGUUGUAGGAGGAAUGUUAAAAAAUAUAGAGUUUAAUUUAAUUAAUAUCAACGGAAAUUCAUUGCUAAAGAAGAACGAUUCUAAGCAGAGUAUUAUAAGUCGCAUUAGAUUUGGAGCGUAACAAGAGAUCUAUUGGUUUUACUAUCUAUGUGGUUUUUUGUCUGUAAACAACUUUUCUGAAAAAAAAUCUUUCUCUGAUGUACGAAGUAUUGCACAGUGUAAUGAAUUACGCAAACACACAUAAACACACACACGCACAUCAGGUAAUAAUAAUAUAAUUGCCAAAGUGCCGUGGUGGUGUCGGAGUCCUGGAGUAAUGUAUAUUUUGUUCGUCUCCUCUUAUUAUAUCCACCGACUCCUGGUUUUUCUCCUCUACCUCCCGGUCGUUCAUCGUCGUCCGCUUAAGGCUUUUGUCGAGUAGAUUAGCGCGUCAGCCUCGCCGUGUCUCUACGGACCCACAACCGCACGCCGGUCCUUUUCUUCACGACGGCCGACGUAAUAAAUUAUUAAACCGCCCGAGACUUUUGUCUGGUCUACGGUUUAAUGCGGUGUUUAUAAUAAACCGGCGAGCGGCGUACAUAUAAAACCAAUUCUGUAUAGCUACUGUAUACCAACUAGUAGCACAACCUAGACGUGGGAUACAUCAAAUAUCAAUAAUAUUGAUAUUAUUGGACACAUCGGAAAAUUAAUAAUCAAUUAAUAUCAAUCUCGAUUAUCGCCUAAAAUUAUUUUUUUCUCCCGUAUUUAAAAUCGAAAAUUGUACUUUUUAUCUUCUAUCUUAAUAAACUAAUUAAAUUAAUAAUGAAUAAGAAUCGCACUUUAGAUAGUAGAAAAACAAUUCCAAGAACGCGAUUUAAAAUAUAUAUUUUAUUUGAUAAAACAAAAUUAUCACGUUUGUCGAUAAUGAUGAUAAUAUCAGAGAUAAAUUGGUAAUAUCGAAACUGAAGAUGUUUUAAAAAAACUUAUAACAUAAAGAAUACCUCUAUAAUAUAUCUAUAUAAUAUAAAAUUAUAAUUUUCUAAGCCCGAAGUCGAAUAGAUACCACAACAAUGAAAGAUACCGUUGCUAGAUACAAAGUACCAAGACGACCAUUAUCGUUUAUACUAUCCACUCACCAAAAUUCAUCUCCCGGCAUCUACACACAGUAAUUUUUCUGCGAAUUACCUAUAUUCAUUAAUUAAAAUACAUUUUAUUUUUGAAAUUUUUGAUUUCUGUCAUUCAGUCGACGAGAUAUUCCACUUUUAAGUCUAGGUCGAAGGACAGUAUAGUGGAGCAUCAUUUGUGUGACAGCACGGCGUGUGGCGUUCUUAUAAUGCACCACUACUCUAUCUCUUGACCCAAACUUAAAAGUUGAAUAUCUCGUAAACGGAUUGACGGAAAUCAAACAUUCCACCACCAACAUUUAUUUUAAGUAAUACUCCGUCUAUUUAUAGAAUUUUAAAUGUAGGUUACAAUUUGAAAAUAUGACUGGUGGUCUUAUCCCCCCCCAAAAUAAUAUAAAUGUAAAAUUAUAGAGCUGCUUAUUUACUAAACGUUCUAAAAAAACAAAUUCCGAAAAAAUUCCAUACUUUCCGAGAUAAUAAGUACACCCGCACUUAAAUGAAACACCCUGACGUGCAUUUGCAUAUUUUUUUAGUAUUUUAGUAUGUUGACAACUGACACAGUAACAAUAUAUAUAUAUAUAUAUAUAUAUAUAUAUAUGUAUAUACCGUUUUACUGACUAUCGUGGCAAUACUAUUCAGUGCUCAAUGAGAAUAAGAGAAAAUAAUACGGUCAUCACGCAUAGUUAAUUAUUAGGUAUUCGUGGUUUAAACAUUUUCCCCCUCCUAUAAUCAAAGAAAAAUGUAUUAAAACGUGCAUUAUUCGUAUACCAUUUGAAAAAAAAAAAAUGUUUUUUUUUUUUUUUUGUAACUAAUAUUGUAAUAUUUUAAUUCAAAUUUCAUUUCAAUUUUCGAUCAAUUGUAAGUCUAAAAAUAAACUCUUCAGUAAGAUUCACGUGGUCUGUAUACACCAACAGAAUUAUGCGCUCUCUAUAUUUCAACUCUCGCAAGAUUAGUUUAAACACAACUAUUCAAUUAUUGUCGAAUGUAUGAUUUUUAUCAAGUGAUUCGGUUAAUAAUAAAAAUGUUCAAAGAUUAUUUGUAUUUUUAUUUACUGUAUUAAUAUUCGUUCGCGAGUUUGAAAAGUAAAGUUUAUUUUAAAUUUAAAAUAAAAGCGCCUCUAUAAACUUUAGAUUAGAUUCCACCGAAAUCUUAAAAUCUAUAGAAAGUAUAGCAUAUAUAAUAAACAUACACGUAAUAAUAAUGCUGUUGAUCCUUUUUAAACUUUUUCGAAUUUACUUUUAAAUCGAUAACUCGUGCGCGUGGAUAACAACACAUCAUGCAUAUAGAAAUAAUUUAAUAAACAACCUUUUACAUUACUUUAUACUCAAACGUGGUAAAUAAUAAUAGUGCUCGGGCAUGUGUAGUGAAAAUUUUUAAACCGAUCGCGAUGUACCCGUACCUAUACAUGAAAAGGGGUAUUAUUUUUUAUGAUGAACGUGUAUAAUCAAAUAUGUAGGCAUCAUAUAUUGAGUAUGUAUGCUUCGAUAAUCUUUUUGAUCGUACAACUAUGUUGUACACAAAUAUAAAGUAUAUACAGAAUGAUCAACUUACCGCGAACCUACGAUUUUCUCGAAGGAUUUAAAAUUAAUCGUUACGUUCUACGUUUCAUUUAAAAUCCUUUGAGAAAAUCACCAGUUAAUGAAAAGUUAAUCACCAUAUAAAGAUUGUAACGAUCUUUUCGUGUAUUAAUAUUUUCCAAAAAAAUGAAAAAGCGUCUUUUUAUUUAAAUUAACUGUUGCAUACUACUAUAUUAUAUUAUUACACUUAUACUCACCUAUAGAAUAAUUAGGAGUAUUUCGGUUCAGGAUAAGUCAUUGAAAAAAAAAAAACCGAAAUUAAUUUGAUCGAAACAAUUGCACGUGAGUCCACAUUUCAAAUUUAAAAUGUAUAAUUUUUGUGUUUUAAAAAAAAAGCACCCCGAGAGAGAAGUAAAUUAAUUAUCACUCUAAAAACACUCGCUUUGUUCGUUUCCCUAAUUGAUUUAUUUACGUGGAUCAUUGUAUUCAUAUUAUAUGUGAUAUAUGUAUUACAUAAUAUAUUUAUACAUUAUAAUACGAGUUAAUAAUAAUUACGAACCGGGUUACAUUAUAUGUACGUAUAUUAUGCAAAAACGACAUUAGACUCGGUAAAACCGCAGAAUUUAAUGCACGCACAUCACGAUUUCAAAUGCGAAUUUGAGUGCGGUGUUUUUGACUAUCGGGGUGUGUGAUAUUUUAUAAAAUAUAAUUAAAUAAAAACUAUUGUACUACGAAUUUACCUAAACGUUUUUAUAACCUAGGAAAUCACUAUUAUUAAUAUAUAUAUAUAUAUACCUGGUGAAUUAAUUAAGUGGGUACACUUAUUAUCUCUGAAAGUAUUAACUUUUCCGACAUUUUUUUUCUAGACCAUUUAAGAAACAAGCUGCUCUACAAUUUUAUAUUAAUUUUAUUUUCUGUCACCCAUAUUUUUGAGGGUAAAACCACUAACUACUUUUGAUUUUCAAAUAUAACUAUAUUUAAAUAUCCAUAAAUAGAUGCAAUAUUAGUUAAAAUAAAUAUGAACGUUAACAUUUUUGAUUUCUGUCAAGUCGUUAACGAGAUAUUCCACUUUUAAAUUUAGGUAAGUAGUGGAGUAUCAUUUGUGUGGUGGUAUAGCGCGCGGCGUAUUAAUAAUACACCACUACUCUCUUCCAACUUAAACUUAAAAGUGCAAUAUCUCGUCAACGGCUUGACAGAAAUCAAAAAUGUUAAUAUUCAUAUUUAUUUUAACUAAUAUUCCAUAUAUUUAUGGAUAUUUUAUAAUGGUUGCUAUUUGAAAGUCAAAAGUAGGUAGUGGUUUUACCUCCAAAAAUAGGGAGGAAAAUAAUAUAAAUAUAAAAUUAUAGAGCUGCUUGUUUCUUAAAUGUUUUAGAAAAUAAAUCCCGAAAAAAGUUAGAACUUUCCGAGAUAAUAAGUGUACCCAAUUAAAUGGAUCACCUGGUAUAUUUACAUAUAUGUAUAGUUACCAGCGAGUGUCUGUAGGUAUAAUAAAUUAAUGUAUAGUGAAACGUGUAAAUCAGUAUAACCAAUAAACAAAAUAAAGGGCACGCUCCCCACCCCUUCCACCUUUACUCUGGCACUGGUGUGUACUGCUUAGAAGAGGUUAAAAUUCCUGUUCCCAAAAAGUCAGCAAUUUCGAGAUGUCACUGUAUAGAUUGGUAGCUUUAUUAUAAUAUUUUUAAAUUUACUUAUAUAGUCAUAAAAUCAACUUAUUAUUAAACUAGGUAGGUAGUCUGCGCGUGUGCUCUUCAAACAGUAGUUCGCGACCAAAUUUUGGGUCGUGUAAGAUUUAAGAUUGGAUUUUUGUGGCCAAUUAAAGUUUUUUGUGUUAUGGAUUCAAGCUCGAAGUUUGUUUGCUAGUUGUUUAUCUCUUUGAUUAAAAUAAAAGUGUUUGUAAUAUUCUAGAUAUCAAUAAAAAAAUUUGUUUUUAUAUUUUGUGAGACUAAUGGGUCUGCGAAUUGGAACUUUUUACAUUAUUACAAGAUACCGGUUAACGAGUCGACAUAACAAGUAAUCGACUAAUCAGGUGUCGGCGAGUCGGGUCUGAACCUUCUGUAUCAACCAGAAAACGGCAGACAAUAUGUAAUUACACUAAUUUGAUUUAUCGAUAGUAACAAAUUUGGAAUUGAUUUUGCUUUUUUCAUUAGUCGAUCAGUUCAAAAGCUGUUACAGUCGAUUAAUCAAAUUAUUGUAACCACAUGUUUGUCACUAGUUUUCGGUUGAUGUAGAAAGUAUGUUAUUAUAAAUAAAGUAUACAAUAACAUUGAUUUAAAAUAGUAAUUAUUAAUUAUAAUCAACUUAAUAUAAUUUAUUAUCUAUAAUCUUAUAUCUUAAUAACAGACAGUCAUCCACCGCGAUGAACAUCACAUUUGACGGCCAAUGAGUGUAACACAACCAUUCACCAAAAUAUCUUGGUAUUACUCUAGCCAAAUUCUUACAAGCGAUAUAAAACAAAAAUAUCAGCAUAAAAACAAAAUACGAGCUAUAACCUAUUAACACAAUUGAUGGGAACUAGCUUGGAAGCCAUGAUAAAAAACAUUGAAAAUAGCAGAACUUUUACUAGUUUACUCAGCUGCAGAAUAUUGUGCACCGGUAUGGACUAAAAAUUUACAAGUCAAGAAAAUAGACAAACAACUAUACGCAUAAUAAGGGACACACUGAAGCCCACACUGACUACCUGGCUACCUAUCAAAUCAAAUACUUCACCUCCAGCAUUAAACGCAAAGAAUCCCAAAAAAUUAAUGAAAUAAAUGCAAAACAAUCAAAAAUUACUAAUAAACUCUAUUCUAUGAAGCCCCCCAAGAACUUGCUUCAAAUCAAAAAUAUCAUUUUGGAAGGUUGCUCAGAAUUCACAGUUGGAAAAUAAAACUACCAUAGAGAAAUGGCAUUCUUCAUGGGAAAGGGAAACUGUAAUAAACACAAAUCUAAUACAGUUGCCGAAAACUCCGGUUCCUUGUUUCAAACUACCUCGGAGAGAAUGGGCAAUUUAAAAUAGAUUCCGCACAAACCGUGAAUAAUACGCUGCAGAUCUAAAAAAUACGGAAUAUCAAAAACUUAGAAAAAUGUAAAUAUUGUGCUUAAAAACAAGUGAUGAAUAUGACGCAUAUAGCCAAAUAAUGUGAUUAAUAUAAAUUUGAAGGUACACUAAAUGAUCUACAUGAUCUACACAAUCUCACCAAAGAUGCAGUGAAAUGGCUUAAAAAAAAACUUCCACUCCAAUUAUUUUAUCCAAUUAUUUGUUUGUUAAAUGUUGCGAAACCAUAUGAAUAUAUAUUAAUUAUACAAUUAUAAAUAUUGUUUAUAUUAAAAAAUUGAUACAGAAUAACGUAUUUCGAUGUUCAAAUGAUUUUCAAAAAUGUACCACGCUAAAAAUUAUUGAUUUUCCGGACAUUAUGACAAAUUUAAUGAAACCAAGAAAAAAUUAAUAACUAUCAGAUAGAAAGUGGCAUAGAUGCAGGAUAUACUUUAACUUUUAGUUUACAAAGUAACUUUUUCCGAUAAUUUAAACAUUUUUACGGUUGCUUGCUUUUUUUUUCAAUUAAAAAAUAUUCGAUCGAUAUUGAAUAUGAAAAAAAAUCGACCCUGCUCGCAUUUAGGCCGUUUUUGUAGAUGAAAAGGUCCGCAUUUUUUUAGGUAUGAUACGAAUAAUUUGUAGCCUUUUUACUAACCGAAAAAGAGAUUUCCGAGAAAAAAAGAAGCUAGGAUAUAAACUUUAAAAAAUGUCUAUAGAUAUUUCAAAUAAAGUAUCUACGGGCAUCUUCUGAGGUGAACAAAUUGAAACAUUUAACUAACUAAAAAAAGUGUUAACAUGAAAAAAACCCACACAAACACAUCAUAAUAAAACGAAAAGCUUCUUCACUCUACUCAAAAGCUUAAAUAUUAAAAAAAAAAAAAAAAACGAAGGAAUCUUUCAUGUUAUUAUUUCCUUAACAUCUUAAAAAAAUGAAAAAAUCAUAUUUUCGAUGAAAAAACUAGACACAAUUUCCUAACAGAAACUACCCUUGAAUUAGAUAAUUGGAGUAAGAUUUAUGUUUGAACGUAAUAGAAAAAUCUAACAAAAAUGUAACUUAAAUCCUGUAUGUUAUAUUUCAGAAAUAUAAAAUUGCACAAUAGUUCAGUGUCCAUUUGUAUGCGUAAUAUGAAAACGGAAUGCAAUUUAUAAUUAUUAAUAAUUAAUAUGGUAUGAGAGAUAUAUUUUAAAUGGAAGACGGGUUUUAGAUUAGUUAUAAUAUCCAUUGUAUUGGGUUAUCAAAUUUGCAAUAACUAUUAUUGUGAUUAUAAAAUAUAUUGUCGUUAUCAGAAAUUCGAGGGAUUGGAUAUAUGGAGAAGGCGGAGAGUGGGACGGAGAGAAAGUACAAUACAUUAUAUACUUAAAUAUAGACUGUGGAUUAUGGGUAUUUACCUACUAUAUAUACUUCCGUCGCUCGUGCAGUUUACGCUGUUAGAGAGUAUAGAAACUCACCUAAUCCUCUACAAUUCAUAUAAUAAUAUAUUUAUAUAUAUAUAUGUAUGGCGUGUGUGUGUGUGUGUGUGUGUGUGUCUGUAGUUUAUUAUGUUUUCCACUUACGAAGUAAUUGCCUUUUGUCGGUAAAAAAUAAUAAUAAAAUAAAAAAAUUCCAUACCGGGCGUUCGAUACUGAUCCAAGUAUAUUUAUAUAUCUAUACAUUUUAAAAUCAACGUCGUAUUGCGAUUGGUUGUUGUUCAAGGUGCUCAGACCAGAACGUAUUUUGGUCAUUGUAUAGUACGUCGUUAAUUUUUUUAUUUUUUUUUUUUUAGACAAUAUAAUAAUAAUAUAACACUAUUUUGUAUUAUUAUUUUAUAUUAUAUUUAUAUUUUAUUUAUAUUAUUAUUAUAUAGUCUUAUCUGAGAAAUGGAAAUAUCGGUUAGAAACCCAUUACCACGAACACUAUGGGACGUUACACAAAAAAUCCAGAUAUUUCUAGAUAUUGUGUGCAUUUUUUUGUCCGUAAACAAAUUUUCGAUCAGAAUGUUUGCUCAAAUCUUCAACUUAGGGCCGGUAGUUUCGAACAAAAAAAUUUGCCUGAUUAUUAAUGAUACAUUUUGUAGAUUAUUAUUAUUUUUUUUUAUUUUUGUAUUCUUUGAACUUUUAUAAAUUAUGAGGGAAAACAGGAACAUUGAUACGACAAUUUUAUUAUUCAGUAUUGCUCCAUUAUCAAGAAAAUUACAAAGAAAAUAAAAAAAUGAUAUUCUCUAUGCACAAAAUUAGACAAAAAUUUAAACCACACCUUAAGUCAAUGAUCGGAGCAAUAGGUAUCAUUAAGUUAUAGAUUUCUAAAAAAAAUUAAAGCAUACAUUAUAUAAAACCAAUACAUUUUUUCGCUACUCUCAGGAUCUAAAAAAAAAUUGAAUUUUUUAAUACGUUUCUCCGGGCCUUGUUUCAUUGAAAUUAGAAAAUCCAUUAGAACCAAAAGCUUCUAACGUCAUAUACGAAUACGAAAAAACCGCUGCAUCUCUAAAUCAUCCUUUUCUAUAUAAUGUUCUCCUGUUGCGCUUCAUAUACAGGAUGAUUGUGUUAAUUAGAUAUAUAUUUAAGUACUAUCAUUAUGAUUAAUGCAUGCUUAUUUCAUAUUCCUCUUGUUGAUCUGAAUUCUAUAAACGUUCAUAAUAUAAUAAAUUCAAUAUUAAUUAUGUCAUUGUACUAUUUUUGUAUAAAUUGUUAAAAAAAAAAACGAUUCUGAGUUUAGUUUGAUUAAAUAUAUAUCAAAAUAUCGUGACCUUUACUAUUUUCAUCACAGUUUGUGUUUAAAACAUUUAUAAAAAAGAUAAAAUGUUAUGCUCGAUUUUUUUUUACCACCAAGUAACACUGAUAAAUCACGUAUUGGAUUUCCAAAUAAUAUUGUUCACAUAACAUGGAAAAUAAAUUUUUAAAAAAAUAUGAAAUUUAAAAUGCCUAAUAGUUCGAAAAUUGCUGAAAUGUUUUUUUUUUUUUUUAGAACUCAUGAUUGGAUAGAAUUUACUGUACUUAAAGUGAGAUUUCUGGUAGAAAGUCGUUUAUGAAUAGACAAAAAAAAAAAAAAAUUAAAAUUCAAAAAAAGCAUACGUAUUAUACUAAAACCAAUAUGCCCUAACCGAACCUAACCUAACCAAUAUAUUUCGUUUUGCUCAGAAUCUCGAAAAAACAAACAAACAGAACUCAUAUGUAUACGUAAAAUCCUCGGAGGAAAUCGCCGCUGAAUCGUUAUGAUAAAAUGAUCUCUCUGUAUUCGCUCGGCCGGAGUUAUAAUAUAUGUAAUGUGUGUGUUUAUGAGAGUGUGUGUGCACGGGCCGUACGUAACGAGUGUGUUUAUAUGGUGUGUGUAUGUAUGUGUGUGUGUUUAUGUGUGUCUGUGCGCACACGCGUGCGCGUUGGCGAAAUAUAGCGAGACCUCUCGCGGUGCGUUCGGUGGGGUGUGGGCCAAAGAAAUUCGGCAUUAAUCUCUUUAAUGGAGGAGAGCGCCGCGUAAAAUGAUUAAUGCGCCACUGACGAGGGAUCGUCGGGCACGCGACAACGUUUUCUCGCCCAAAAACAUACGCGCAAAAUAAUAUACAAUGAUAAUACGGUUGUUAUCUCCUCAAGUUUAUACAGAAAAUAAUACCCGUGUGUUUAUACCCGCGCGGUUCUUUUGUCUAUCGCGCCGUUUGUAUUCAAACACGAUGUUUUAUUGUAUAAUAAUAUACACACACACGAGUAUAUUAUGCGAGCAAUCUUAUAUUUUUAUAUAACCCGCAGUACGGUUUGCCAAUCGAAAACACACGAAUGGUGUACGAAUAAUGUACGAGGGUUAUAAAUAAAGUAAUCGGACAGCAGGUUGCGUACCGUGCUCAUCUGAAAACGCUAGUGAUUUUCCAUUUCGUCGCGUGGUAGAUGUGAUCAUCUUAUACGAUUUAAUGAUGAAAAUAUCAACGAAAUUCGGGUUUUUGAAAAAACCACCUGAGCCCUCAAAAAAAUACGUUUACGAAAACAUUUUCUAAGGACUAAUACGUGACUCUAAGGAGAUCGAAUUAAUACUGAAAUAGAGGAGAGGUUAUAUAGGACGCGUUCCCGAUCCGUUCCGACUGUCCAACUAGUCAGAAGAUAAACAAAAAUGUGUAUGUGCCGUGUUUCACGAUCACCUGACACUUGAAAUAAAUUUGGCUCUAUUCAUUAUUUUUUUUUUUUUUUUUUUUUUUAAUAAUUAGUACGCCUCUGCGCUACAGUUAAUAUAUUAAUUUGGGUUUUUUAGGUGGCAGAACUUAAAUUAAAAAACUUAAUAUUUAACUAUAUUUUUUUUUUAAAAAAGCCAUUUUGUGAGUUAUUAGCAUGAGCUUACAAUUAUAAUUUUUAAACCAUUUAUUACAUUUUUAUCUAGGUACUUACUUAUAAUUUAUCACUAUUAAACUUUUGCUAAUUAAAAGGGUGGUGCAGGGGUAAGGUCACCCACUUGUUCACAUAACUUUAUAACUGGGCAGAUAUUUCUAGGAAACUAUUUUUAUCUUUUUUUUUAUGAAAUUUUUUUUUGAAAUGUUUGCAAAUUUAAAUAUUUUGGUUUAUAAGCUGUUAUAAUAUUUAAUCAGUAAUCAGAACAUAUCAAAUUACGUGAAUUUUCUUUUUCGUGGGUUAAUGUCACACAAAAAUACAAUUAUGGUCUGUAGAUUGUGAUUAUUACUCUUAAACCAUAAUAAUAUUCAUAUUUGCUUAAACUUCAGAUAAUUGUUGAAAAUAAAAGACGCACGGUUUUUUUUUUAAACAAAAAUUUCAACCACAAAAAAGAUUCAAAAAAUAUAUUUUCCCUCACAUAAAAUUUAAAAAAAAAUUUAUAUAUUAACUGUAGUGCAGAGGUAUAUCAAUUAUUUUAAAAACAAAUAAUUAACAGAACAAAAUUUCUUUCAAGAGUCAGAUCACUAUGGGACACUAUUAUUAUUGUUGUUAUUGGUAGUUGCUAUAUAUUUAUUUGCAGCAUCUGUUUCCAACAUACCGAAUAAUCGGGUACAUCGGACGAAAACAAAUAGGUUUGUUUUUUUUCCGACAAGUCAGACUCAAUUAGAUUAAAUUAUCAGGAUAUUAUCAGGAAAUUUAAUACAUAUUUUAAAAUAUUCCUCGUUUUUACAAUAUUUUAAUAAAUUAUGUUUUUAAUAAGACCUUGGAUUAUUGAAAUAUAAUAUAAUGUCCGGUAAAUCAUCUCAUUCGUCUUCUGAGCUGCUGUAACUUGAAAAAAUAUCGCAUAAAAACUAUAUAGUACAAAAUAUCACUAAUACACAUACGAACUCUAAGAGAUGGUAGGUACAUACUAAUAAAUAAUUUUCGCAGUAGACGAUGAUAUGAAUAGUCGGUAUGAAAUAGGUAAUGAUAUAGCCACACAUAUCAGAUGUAGGGUGUUGCUCGAGCCGGUCGUCUCGGAUCGGAUCAGAAGCGGGUCCUAGCUUACCUUCUGUCCAAACGGAAACCCACCAAUGAUGACAGAUUGCACGUUACACUACCGGUCUCAUUAAUUUAAUAAUACGUCUCAUAUAUUGUAUAAGUUUUAUGCGAGCAUUGACACGGCUACGGGAAUUCACAGGGUGCAGUUUAGUUGCGAGCCUGUGAGUCGUGUUUAGAUUCUUGAAUUGGAAACAUAAUAUGAUUACGGUUUUAUAAACAAAAACUGAAAAAGUUUAAUAAUACUGCUAUUGCUCUUCGUGCGUGAUAUUAUGUUACGUGUUAGCGCUAAUUUCAUUUGCCUCGUGAAUAGGUAUACUUUUGUGACCGUUAUAACGGUCAUAAAGCCGCUUUUGUAAACGGCCAUUUUUCAAAUUAAAUAAUGUGAAAAACAAAGUUAACAAUUAAUAUGACGCACUCAUGUAAUACUUGACUCGACACUUAUGAUAUUUGCGGAUCAACAUUUGGCCACACUGCAGAAGUUGACUAUAAUUUUUCAAAUGAAAUUAUUGAAGAAUUUAAAGUGUUAAAUCCAAAUAUUUAAUGACGUUUAGAGUUGUAAAGUAUGAAGCGUAAUUAAAUUACUUGAAAGCAAUCAGUUUUUUUUUUCUAAGAUUUCAGAGAGAUUUUAUCGGUGUAGGGUGUUUAUGAUAUUUUUGUUUGCUCUUCUGCAAAACAUACCUGGCCAUGCCUGUGAAUUUAGUAUUUUGAGUAAAUAAUAAUAAGUUUUAUUGAAACGAGUAUUUCUAUCUGUGAGUAAAGUAGGGAUACUUUAUUAAAUCCGAAUCGAUGAAAGUUAGACGUAAAAUACGAUAACACGAUUUCACAUGCAUAUUAUAUUAUAUUAUAAUUUGUCACCAUGUGAGUCAAAAUCAUGAAUUAAGUUGGAACAACACGAUUAUUUUCAUUGGAUACUAGGUUAAGUUAUAUUAUUAAAAAAAUAUUUAUUUUUUAACUCAUAAAGAGUAUUUAGAUUAAAUAUAAGUUCUUUAUUUUCAAAUCAAAUAUAUUCGAGUAUAAUACUGAAAACAACAUUUUAGUUUAUAUUAAGUAAAUAUAGUUGUAUCAAAAAUACAUUGUAGUUUAUACACGACUAACACUAUAUACUUUCAGUUUUAACUAUUAAAUUUCGUGAGUAGAUUUAAUUAGGUUGACUACAAUUAGACAGUCAACUAAAUAUGGUUAGUAGAUUUAGGUUUUCUUUCCUGAAUUCUUGUAGUUAGACAAUUUGAAAAAUAUAUAACAUAAAUUAAAUAUUACGAACUACGGUCAGAAAUAAUUUAAAAAACUACCAAUUUGAGUUUCACAAAUAUGUUUUUAAAAUAUGUAUUGCUAUAAAACGUUACUUUUUCUUACCUAUACAAAUUGUACGUAUCGAAUAAAUUAUUCUUUGUAACAAAUAAAAAACGUACGUAAAAAAAAAAUCAAUAAUUGCUAUAAAACAUAAUUAUAUAUUUAAAAUUGCAUUGAUUUAUCAUUUUGCGCUUAAAGAAUCUAUUUGUGGAGGAGGGGAAUGAUACGACCUGGUCCAACGCCCAAAAUCCAAUAAUGGAUUUUUUUUUUUUUUCCCGGAGCAUUCAGUAGAUAACAUGUUAUUUUAAAUCGACGAUGAUCUGAAAUAUUAUUGCAAUUCUCCACUGUGGCAGACGGAUCUACGAGAAUUAAAAACGUGGCAUUUCUUAUGUCCCGUGGGUUUAAUGGUUUUCACACCGUUUUCGUGACAAGAAACUGGGAAUUCGAUUUGUGUAAAACACCACACGCCAGCGUCCAUGUUAAAUUACCCGCAAUCUACAAAGUUGUUAGGUGGAAACUUUUUCGAGCAUUUUUACCAGAAGUUCAAUGAUGUGUUUUCCGAGACGCAGAAAAAAAAAACAAAAAAACACAUAAUUGUAAAACUAAUAGCUCCGUAGCUCGUAGUCCAUAAAACGGUUCGGAACAUAAAAUAAAAAUAAAUGAGUGAUUAUAUCGAUUGCCCGCGUUCCAGUAGGUUUCUUAUUUCUCGGGGCGUGACGGAGAUAACGGAGAGGUCAACGUGUAUACCCAAAAUGUUUACCUUAAAAAAAAAAAAUCUACAAUAAUUAAAUAUGUAAAAUCCGUUUUAUUUAUAUUGAAAAUUUUCUUAUAGUUUACAUUUUGUCACUGUACAAAGUAAAUUACUAAAUUGCUCUAGACUUUAUAUAUUUUGUUUUGUUUUUCUUUCAAUUCCCUACCUAUUCUUAAUACGACCUGCCGCGUUAGAAUUAGAAAAAAAAAAAUAAAAUAAAAAGGACUAAGAGACGUAAAAUAAAAAGGAAAUGAAAACGAUUGUCCCUUUUGCAAUGAUUAAACACGACCUGUAAAAUUAAUUAUAUUAAUUUGUAUAACUAUACAAAUUUACACAACAUUUUUUAUUCAAAUAAAAAAAAAAAAAAAACGACAGGAAUGUUUCAAAUAGAUAUAAUAACUCUAAAUGCCAGAGUAUUUUUGAAAUUGCACUAUAUAAAAUGGAUAGUGUUAAUAUCUAGAUAAGUAUUUCAGAUCUUUAAUAUUACUUUGCAGUGAAUUACAACAUAAUCACUAUAUCGAAAUUAACAUAAUCCGUUUAUUGUGUAAAUAUUCUCGUUCUUCUGACAGUGUUUUUGUCAUUAUUAGGUAAAAUAUAGAGAAAAUGAAAAAAAAUGAUCCCGGCAAUAUGCACUAAUAGACAGGAGAUGGUAAAAUCCUACAAAUUAGAUUAUCUCGUACAUGGGAAUAAUGUAAACUCCUGGAAGAUAGUUCAAUUUCCUACACUAGACAGUAUAAUAGAAUGCUUGGAAAAAAAAUGUUAAUCAUAUCAUUAUUGAUAUUUUUUUUAAAAAUAAUAUCAGUCUUAUUAGUAAUAAUACAUUAAUGCAUAGUAACUAAUAAUAAAUUAAAAAUAAAUUUCCUAUAAAAGUAUGAUAACUGUAUUUACCAUAUAUAGUAUAUAAAAAGCGAUUUGUAACAUAUAUUGAACAAUUUGAAACUUAAAAAGAUCCGAUUAGAUUAUUCGUGUAGGAGUUUACACGAAUACAAAUAGUCCAGAUACCAGAAACCAACCCCGAUGUUAAAGGUUGGUGCCUUUGAUUCAAAAAAAUAUUUACAGAGGCGAAAAUAUAAUUACGUUUAGUUUUCUACCGUAGCUUCCACUGCACAGUGCGUUAUAUUAAUAUAUUUUGCACUAAUGAUGUAUUUUAAAUGCAUUUAUUUUUCUUCACAAUACAUCUAUAUUGCCAUGUGUUAUUGGAUGCGAAUAAUAAUAAAUACCGAUAAUACUAUGAUAUAUGCAUGCACGUUAAUUAACGUCGAUAUUAUAAUUACCGCGUAGGUGAAUAAAUAUCACAUUUCCCCUAUACAGGGACGGGUGUGGUAAAUAUAUAAAAUAUAUAUGAUUUUAAAUACACGCUUAUAAAUUAUUCUCGAUUGUGUCGAGAGCCCGAAAAGUUAACGCAUAAAAAAAAAAAUACCUGUACUCAUACAGUAGAUUUAUAGAAACCGUUUUCUUCGACUUUCAAUCGAAUAAAAUGAUAUUUACACUAUUAUUAUGUACAAUAACUGAAAUAAAUUACUUUUUCGGCUACGCGAUAUGUAUAUACUUGAUUUAUUUCACGUCCAAAUUGAAAUGUGAUGAAUUUUUCGCGAUGACGUCGCGUAAAACGUUAAAAUUAUUAUUUGCCGGAUCAAAUUAUUAUGUACACUGCAGCUACUAUACUGGCUAUACAAAUCCGUUUCCGUCUUAAAUAUACGAGUCGGUGUAUUAUGAUUUUAUGAACGUAAAUUAUAGUGGCGAAAUGUGCAUAAUAAUAAGAAAGUAUAGUGUACACAUUUUUGCACGUUUCCGGAACAUGUCGAGAACGUAUUCAAGAAAUAUUUUUAUUAUCGCACAAAAGAAAAACUACGACUUUCUGCGAUUUAUACUAACGUGACGAGGAGACAGAUUCAAAAGUCAUUUUAUUCCAAAAAUAUUUUAAUAUUAUUUUUGUGCGGGAGCGUACUUCUACUAAAAAUUUCUAUUUUAUCAAUUUCCACUCAAUUAUUAAUGAAUUCAAUUUAACAAAAGAAAAACUUAAUGUAUUGUACCUCAGGGGUGAACUGUUGAGAAUGCCGAUAUAUUUUUCAAAUAAACUAUCAUCGAAAAAAUAUAUUGGAUCUUAUUUGGGGUGAUUCAUGAACAAAUUUAAGCAUUUACAAAUCAAAGUGUUAUAAUUCCGAAAUGAUUUCUAACCAAAUUAUCGUAAGGUGAAAAAUCUACAACUUUUAGAUAUCACUUGAACAAAUAGAAGAUUUUUUACAAACCGAAAAUAUUUUUUCUGAGAAAUACAAAUAACAGUAAGUUAACCUCUCAGAAUUAUAAAAUUAACUGAAAAUCCUAUAAUCAAAUAGAAGUAAAUAUUCAGCUCUCGAUGAAAUAAUAUAGAAGAUCAAAUAAGUCUACAGAUUAAUAGAUUAAAUAUUAGUUCAAACGACAGUGAAGAGAUUAAUGUUCUUGUGUCUAGGAAAUCUUGCAGUUUUAAACAUGACGUAUAACGAUUUGUAGUAAAAUAUUCUCGGGUAACAAUUACUUAAGGUUAUGAGUAGAUAUUAAAUUGGUUUAUUUCAUUAUGUUUUAUAUAACUGUAAUACCGACUAAAAUAAAUUGUAGUAUUGUAUUCAAUUUAAUUUCCAAACGUCUUAUUUUAUUUUCAAAUUGUAAUUGUACUGUAGUAAACGAAUAUUUACAAUGUCAAGGUAAAUAAUAUAUUUUAACUGUAUACAAUGUUUUCAAUUUGUUGUUAACUUUUUUUUUUUAAUCAUACAAAAUGGGCCGUUUAAAGCCUUAAAUAGAUGUUUGCCGUAGUAAUAGUAGUUUUAAAUUCUAAAAUAUUAUAAAUUAUUCCAUCAAAUUUUUUAUUUUCAUAAAAUUUAAAUAUUACAUGCGAUUUUCACGAAAUGUUUUAUGAAAUAUUUUUAAAAAUACAAUUUUAUACUCCUAUAAUUUCAUAAUGUGCUAAUAGAGAAAAAUGGUUUGGAUUUUCGUUUUGUUUCUCUUAGGAAAAAAACCUAGGGCCUACGAGCAUAUAUUUAAAAUCGUAUUUCCUUGCCUGCAAACGAAUUCAUCGAUUGGAAAAAGUAAUGAAGUCAUCAUUACGCGUUCACAGGUGUCGGAUAUUGUUUUAUUUCAAAAUAUCUUGCGAUUGUUGUUAUCGUGAUCGAUUUUCUCGAAACAAUGGAGAGAAGGUAAACAUUAAUAAUUUUUGUCGCGACACAGGUGUACUAAUACUACCUUUACAGUAAUUGAGUCGGUCAUUUCAAAAUACGACAUCAUAAGUCACUGUUUUUAAUUUUAUUUUUUAUAAAAAUAACAUUUUGUCACAUUUGAUCCUUAUCGUAUUAUAUACUUACUUAUAGUCACGUAAAAGCGCAUAAUAUUUUGUCAAAAACGUAUAUUAGAAUUUUAUUAAAAAACGGUAUAUCGAAAAUAAGACCUACAUCACUAAAGUAACUGCAAAACCAUCAUCGAUGUAAUUCAAUUAUUUUUUGAAGCUAUUUAAAAAUUGAAAUAUAAUAUUAAAUGUUGGUUUUUAAAAUUAUCGAUUAUACCUAUACCUUGGUUGGUAUAGUUUAAACCUGUAGAUAGAAGAAAUAAAAGUAAAUAUUUCUCCGACCAAUAGAAUGCAUGUGUUACGCAAGAAUAUUUAUUCUGAUUACUUUUAAAAAUAAAUUUUCCGAAUUUUAAUAUCAGUAGUUUAGACAGUAAUACAAUAAUGAAGAAUAAUAAACAUAAUCCUCUCAAAUCUAAAAAAAUUAAAAAAAUUAAAAUCCCACAAAAAUUCGACCCUUUUUUGUUUUUUUUUUUUUAACUCUCGCCUUUUCACGACCAGAUGUACACUUUUCACCCUCGACGUUGACGUAUCGCUUAUGAAUUUUACUGUAUUUUUUUUUUUUGAAAUAUUCUGUUUUAAAAGCAUUCAAAAUAUAAUGCGUUUUUUAAAAUUAAAUUUUUAUAUAUAUUUCAUCAACUCGUUCAAAGAAAAACGCUUUUUAAUAUAUUAACAUAAUAUUUAAUAUAGUAAUGUUUAUGACUAAAAUAUUACAAUUUAUGCCCAAUACUACAAAAUGAAAACUAAAGGUCUGUUAAGACAAGUUUCACUGUAUACUGAUAUUACUUAAUAAUCGAAUGAACAUACAUUUCUCUAUAGGCGUUUCAUAAUUAUUUUAUUAACAUUCGAACGGAUCAUUUACCUAGCAUCGCUGUAAAUUUAAUGUUAAUCUUAUUAGCCUCAGGAAGAAGUGCUUAAAUCAUUAUUUAGUGGUUUUUAUUUAUGUAUAUAAUAAUAUGCAUACAUAGUUUUGUCUAACGCUAUAUUUUCGCCCUUUAUUCUUCGGUCUGAACUGUAUACAAGUGUGUAUUUUCAAAAAUAACGUGUUCGGUACUUACUUUGUUUAUUAUUAUUUACAAGUGUACACCAGGGUCGCGGAGAGAAAAUUGGGCCCCGGGGAUAGUGACAUACAGACCCUCCUUUUUGUCCCAUACUCUACAAGUAUGUUCGAUGUUUCCAAUUAAAAAUUAAAACAUAACAUUAUUUAAAACUAUAUUUUUAUUUAUCUAAGAGUCACGACAAAAUAAAAGACAAACAAAAUAUAAAAUAUAUCAGAAUGUACAGUACCGUUCUCUGACGUUAUUGUUUUUUUAUCAACCCGAUAUUAUUUUGCUUUUUCGGUUCACAUACCGUCCCCCAUGAAAAUCCUGGACCCGGGGUGAUUCACCCUCAACAAUCGUUUCUCGUCGGUUCCGGUGUAUAUAUGUUCAACAUUUAAUUUGCUCGUGUUGAAAACUAUACGAAAUUGACUUAAGCCUUUCAUUCGUUGGAUCAAAGAUGCGCUCGAGUUAGGCGUGAUAAAAAACCGUGCGAAAUUUAAAUUAUUUCUACAAAAAUAGUUACUUUUUUAUAUUUCAUACACGUAUGGCAUGGCUCUCUCUCUCUCUCUCUAUAUAUAUAUAUAUAUAUGUAAAGAUAGUUUUAGUAAGAAUUUCUUGGUUUCUCUUUUAUUUAUAAAAGCCGUAUAAAAAAUAAUAUAAUAUAUUGUUUUUCCCGGGGGUAUAAAUACUAAAUAAUAUUAUAAUCCUCAAUUAUAUACGGUUAUGAAUAAACAUCUUAAGUUUCUAUAUUUUCAGCCCGUGAAUAAUGUGAUAUUUUUACUGUGUAUUUCACUCGAAUUUAUACUAACUAUAUACAAAUAUUAUCAUUGUUUAUUAUGUAUAUAUUUUUUUUUUAUACGAUUUAAUAUCUAUUAUAUAUUAUAAUGUAAUCAUAAUACAGAAAUAUAUUUGAUCGGUAUACAAUACAAUAAAUAAGAAGUUCCAACAAUUUAUUGCCACGAAUAAAUAAUGACAACCACCACCCUGCUGAUAUUCAAUUCUGAUUAACUAACUAAAGGAGUAUAAAUUAAAAUUAUAUAAAAAAAAAAAACCCCAAUAUAAAUAUAUUAAACGUUCAAAAAAACAUUAUUAAGAAGAUAUAUAUACUUAAAGAAUAACGUAUCGAGUAUUCGGCAUAAUAGUAAUAUGCAUAAUGAUUUUUUAAGCACGUUAACCCCAUUUCUAUAGUUAAUUUAUACAUACAUUCAAAUUCUGUUUUAUUUAAAACUAAUAUGUUUAAUGAAAGGCGAAUUUUGAAUAUUUAGAUUUUUCACAAUAUUUAAGGAGUAGCAACUUUGUUUUUUUUUAAAUGAGAACCUAUAUGUUUUAAUUCAAAUAGUCAAUCAGAUCGAUUUCUGAAAAUAUUAACGUAUUUCAAUCAGUAUUUGCUUGAUUUAAAACUAGAAUUGCCUAUACACGACUAUAAUAAAAUGUUCGGUAUCCAAUCCCCUUAAAAGCCUAUUACUUUUAAUAUUAAAAAGCGCAAUAUCUCAGAAACAUGUUGUCAAAAUUUCGAUUGAAAUAGGUCAACAUUUUCAAAGAAUUAUCUGAUUGAAAAUUUUAAUUAAUACGUGUUUGGGUUCUCAUUAGAAAAAUGAACUUUAGUAUGGCCACAAGCUGUUCAUUGUUGUUAAAAUGUUAAAAAUGUUAAAAACGUUGUUAAAAUCUAAGUAGGUAUGUAAAAUUAUCGUAUUUCACUAAAAUUCAAAAUUCCAAUAAAUCAGUAUUUGAAGUUAUGCCUAAUAAUUUAAUCAUACAAAUCGAAGUUGCGUGAUUGAAAACAUCUUCUUGUACGUUAACAGUUUCCAAAGUAUACGUAUACAUAAUUUUUACUACAUAUUUUGGUUUUAAAAUCGACAUCACUGUAUUAUAAUAUGUAGACGCAGAGCAGUUAUGGAAUGUAAACCAGUAAAGAAAAUACUUCGAUGUCGACCGAGGAAUAUAUAACUAGACGUAGUAGAAGAGGAUUUUAAAGUUUUGGGAGUGUAAGUACGGACGACAAAUUGUCCAAGAUCGGAAGCAAUGGGAGGAUGCGGUAGUAAUGGUGUAUGUUAUGGUGAUGAUGUACAAAAGAGUCUGCAGAGCCUGACAUUUUUCAAACGGACGAAUGAUAACAGUAUUAAUAGUUAUAAAUUGAGUAUAGAAAAUUUCACAUCUUGUUUGAUGUUAAUUGUUAAUCGAAUUUAAUUAAAAUGAAAUAUUAUUGCAAUUUAAAUAAAAAAAUGUCCAAUGCUAUUAAUAUUCGCCGUUAUUGAAUAUUGACGUAACAAUGAAAAAUGGAAAACGGUCGUAUAGGCCCCCGGGAAAAUCGACGGAAAUCGCGGGUCUCCCGUGCGUAUAUACAGGGCCCGCUAUUGUUGGCGGUCCGGAGCGCAUGUAACGUCCGCCCGUCAUAAUGAUAAUAACGUCGGCGGCGGUGCGCGGUAAUAAUAAUAAAAUGACGAUAACGCGAUUUCGGCGAAUCGUCGGUCGUGUUUUUCGGACCGAUAAAAACCCGGGACCGCGAUCGAAAACCAGGGUUUACAUUUAGUAUAUUGUAUAAUGUCGGCCGGCAUAUCGGGGUGUUUUUAUCGGAAUCAACGUGGCCGUGGUACUAUUAAAUCCGUAUAUUAUACCGGAAUCAUAAUCGGUGUGGAAUUUAACGGGAAUUUUCGUACACAACGAUAUUAUUAUAUUAACGUGUCGUUAGCGAUUUUCGAAAAUCCCGCGCUCAUACCGUGGGGUCACGGCGUCCCGCGGAGAUCCGACAAACGCGGGAACGAAGAAUGCGUAGGUUUUUUUUUUUUUUUUUUUUUUUUUGGUCUGUAUACAAAUAUUCUACCAGAAAUUCAAAUCGAAUAAUACCGGGAGGAUUCUUUUCGUUGAAUUUCACAUUCAAUCGGUGAGCAAGAGAAUCAUUUUUGUUUUUUCUAUUCUCAACAAUUUAGAAAAACCGAGAAAAAGCUUAAUUUUCGGUUUUUAUUUUGUAGGUUGGACCAUUUAACACUCGGUUCAUUACAAAUUGUACUUAGUGAUAAAUGAAAAAACCAAAAAAAUAACCACAAUGUAGCAUUUUAACAAGCGUUUUAGUAUAAAACUUUGAAGAAAACCGUAAAUAUUACUGCAUUUAAAAACAUGUAAGUAUAAUCGAACUUCGCUCAGAAUUGUACGUCGUUUGACCGUUCAUUACGGUUUAUCGUUACAAAAAGAUAUAAAUUAAAAUAUAUUCUUAGCUACAUCUAAAACAUUAUAUAUCCUGCUUUCACAACUUCGCACCUAAAAGAAAGGCACAUCCAUCAGCACUAUCAGCUUUUUUUUUAAAUAAAUAUUUUUUUUUCCGUAAUAAUAACCAGAGCUAUAUCAUGCUUCUUAUAAAAUAUAAUUUUUGUCUUGUACAAAGUCAAGUAAUAUUAAAGUAGUUAUUUUAUACAUUUGCAUUUGAAACUCCAAUGUUGGUGUUAAGAUAAAAUUUAUAUCAAAUUAAUAUGACUUAUGUUUUCUAUAAUAAAUAUUGCUCUAAUAGAAAAAAGACAAGAGAUCUUUUUUGUUUAAUUCUUAAUUUAAUUAAUUUAGUGAUCAAGAAAAUCAUUUUUUUUUUUUUUUUUUUUAAUAAUUUAGUAAAACCGAAAAAUACGUGGAAAAUUCUGGAAAAUUUACGAAAAUAAUUCUUUAAUUGUUUUAAAUUUUGUUUAUUCAAUGUAAGUUAUUUAAUAAUAUUCUUAGAGAUUUGAUAUUUUUAAAGAAAACCUAUAUUUGUUUUUUCUAGAUUGGAUAAAAUGUUAAAAAUAUUUUAGCCAUUUUUGAGCUAUUUAUAGAAAUUAUAAUUUUACUAGAUUCUUAUUUGAUAGAUACUCCGUGGAUAAAAGUGGUAGACUCAACGGGGAUACUUCAAAAUUUGACAUGUUCAUUAUUUUCAUUAAUUUGAUUGGGAAGGUACAGAAUACAGACGAGAAUUCAAUGUAUAUCUGUAAGCAACGAUAAACGAUUGCUAACGAAAAAAGAUUCUAAGCGAAGUUCAAUUGAUAGUGAUAGUGAUAGUGAUAGUAUUGUUAACAAUAUAUAUGUUAUAUUAUAGUAAAAUAAUUAAAUAGGCUUUGUUUUCUUUAAUAAUAUUUGUUUAAUGUUUUACCGAUAUCCCCGGUUACCCCGUGUUUUUUCCCAGUUUUUCACAUUUUCUGAGAAUAUUCCAAAAAAAAUCGAAAAAUGAUAUUUUUAAAGUACCUCCCCAGUGAAAUUUCCUUUUAGAAAAAUUGUUAUCAUUAAAAGUUGGGGAGCAAAAUUUCUGGUAUAAAAGUUAUCCACAGAAAACUAAAUAAACAUUUUUGUAAAACUAUAAACUUCUUUGCUCCACUCAGAAUCUAAAAUUGUAUCUAAUUUAGUAAUUUUUUUUUUUUUUAAAGAGAGUUUUAAUAUCAAAGCCUUUUAAACGUGUAUCGCCAAACUUUGCUAUGGAUAGUUUUUCGUUAGGGAUUGCAUAUCGUUUGUUACAGGUAUAAAUUAAAUAACUAUGUUAUGUAUCUCACUUUCCUAAGGUUAGGUUAGAUUAGCCCACCUGCGACAGUAGCCGCUCCAUUCCGUAGUAUCAGCUCUUUUUUUUUUUUACACUUAUUUCAAGUGCACCUCUCAAAUUUUGAUUUUCAUAAAGCAAUAUUCUUUCUUUUCAAUUCGAAUCCAAAGAGAGAAUAUUUAUACAAAAAAUCUAUAUGCAUAAAGCAUUUAAGUUACAACUACACAAGAAGUACGAGUAAAAAUGUUUAAACCCGAGUGUUAAAAAUAAAAUUUAAACAAUUCUGAAAGUAUGUAAAAAACUAAAACAUAAAUCGUAUUUCUUUUGAAAAAAGUACAAAAUCUUCAGAAAUAAAUAAAAACCGCUGUGUGCAUAUAGAAUUUUUUUUCUUAUUUACCCAUUUUCCACGAAAUCUGUGACAUUUUGACAUCGAUACGUCAAGAGAUACGCCGGAUCUGAUGUAAUAAUUUUCGGUCCGGACGUAUGGGUGCAAUCAUCGACGAUCGUUAUCCCCGUUUCAUCCGCGUUAUGUUUAUUGCCAGCGGCGCACCGUUCCACUGGAAGAUAAAUCGACGUAAUAAAAUAAUAGGUAAACUAAUUUGUUGUUGGUCGGUUCGUUGCCGGAACGGUGAAAUAAUGUUAAUUUACGGAUAACGAAUGGUUUUCUUUUUUCGUCCUGUGAAACAUGGCCACCCUCAUUAUAUCGAGUUGUCUGUGAUCGGAUCAAGACGUUCGUUCGUAGGCCUUAUGCACAGUUUAUGUCGUACUUUGACUGUGUCAUAAUUUACCAUACUGGUACAUUUUACUAUUUAUUCAUUAAUUUAUUUCUAAUGAGAACACUAAUAUACAAUCACAAUAAUAAUACAUUUCUCAGCGCAGUUUAGCUAAAAUUCAAUAAUAAAUUGUUUCUAUAAAAAUAAGUACACUAUUUUUUGCCAAUUUUUUUGUUCACCGUCUAGUUCUAAUAGGCACUAGGCACAGUGCCUAAUGGUUCUGGAGGUGUCGUCUGAUUCUACGACGAAACACUGAUUUCUGUUGCGACAGGCGAUAUUAAUAAUAUUAAUAUGAUACAUAUGGAGAUACCUCUCAAUUUCGGUAUUUUUGAUUUUGGUAUAAUGUCUGCCGCCAUCUAGCGAACGAAAUCUAGCAGUUAAAAUGUUUACUGUUAAACGCCACUAGAUGUCGCGGAUAAUAUCAAAGAAAAAAUAACUAUUAGUAUUUUGUUUGUUUCAGUUUUGUUUAGACGUCAAAUUAAUUAUUUGUUUUAUACUUUACCGGCAUGUUGAUAAUUAUUAUUGCACUGGUAUUACAAUAAAAAUAAAUUCAAUUUGUCAUGAGCUUUAGGCGAAUGAUGAUGGCUGACGUACAUUUUUUAUCCACUCAUCCGUUUUCAUGUUGGUUUUUGUGGUGUGGUCCUUUUUGUGUUUCGACACUGUACCUAUAUCAAAUAAUAUGAUAAUAAUUAAAAAAAAAUUUUUUUACUUAUUUUCCAUUUAAAAAAAAAAAAAAAAUAAAGCAUACAAAGUAUAAAUAAUGCAUCCCUAAUUGAAAAAUAGUAGAAUUUAAUUUAUUUUGUUCGCAAUAACGUUGUUUACUGAAAAAAGUUAUUAAAAACAUUAUACCUACUACGAUUAAUUUUUUUUCAAGAGAAAAUCAAAAUAUCGCAGUUUCCGUAUUUUUUUUUUUUAUGAAAAUUGUAUUUUAUAACUUUGAAUAUUGUAAAUUAUUAAAGUAUUUAAGUUCUUGGUUUCCCAUUCGAUCGAAUGGGUUUAAAUAAAACCCAAUCAAUCAUGCGUUGUAGUGGCUAUCUGUUUUUUAUGAUGAAUACUUGCGUGAAAACCCAUUAUUUAUUAUUAUUUGGUUUGUCAAUGAUUUUACGACGCCAGUAGAUGACGUAUGACAGAUUCAUUCAAUCGGCCAAAUGUUAAAAUAUUAUUGAUACAUUUACAGAAUAUAACAUGCCAUAAUAUCCGUUAAGGUUCUCCGGCUCAGUGGGGUACCCUGAGGGACCCAAUCUCCAACAUUUUUUCUCCCAUUCCUUAUUGGCAGUUUUACAAUGCAAAAAACAUAUCUGUAUUAAUAAAAGAAAGAAAUGUUUAUUUGUAGUUUGUCUGUGUACGAUACACAGCCGAAUCAAUCGUACCACAAAACAAGAUUUCCGAAAUUCGAUUUCAGUGAAAAAUUCAGGCUAUUUGGUACUAGACACGUUGAGAUGUAAAAAAAAAUAAUACUGUGUACGCCACUGCUCCGACUUCUCGAUGGCUUACAGAUUACCGUAAAAUAUAUAAUAAUAUUAAAAAUAAAAAUAGCAGACUUAUACACCGUCGUAGAAGUAUCUCGGAAAGACACUUAGAUAAAAAUCGUAAAAGCUAUGGAUAAUGUUUAUUAUAAGGAGUAAAUGGUAUCUUGAAUACGUAUUUAAGAUGCAAUUGUAUUAUGUGUUUUCUAUUGUGAUACAAAACUGUGAAGUAUCGAGCGUAGACGUAUUGCACUACUAAAAUCAUUAAUCACUAAAACUACUCUAACCUAAAACCUACCACAUGCCUGAAAAAUGUAAUUAUUCGUAUUUUUAUUUUUAAUCUUUCGAGUGCAUACUUUUUCAAUGCAUAAAAUAUAAGUAUUCGGUUUCUUGUUUUAAAGUACAUUUUAUAUAAUAAUCUAGUAUCUUGUAAACGGAUACGAAAAAUCAAUGCAUCAAGCAUGUCGAGUAUAGAGAUAUUAAACUUGAAGUAUCUUGCCCAUCUCCGCGUGUACAUUAUAAUAUGGUAUCUUGGUGAUGGUGAACGUAGCACUUGGUAUAAUUAGUAUGAUCAUAAUAUAUUAAUAUAAUAUGUACCUGUACUUAAACAAUAUUGUCAAAUCGUACAUAUUUUCGAAAGCUGAUAUUUUUUUUCAUUUCUUUUUUCAUCGUCAUCCUUUUUAUAUUAUUUCGUUUGUAAUGUUUUUCAUUAUUAUCAUUAUUAUUUUUUGUUUUAAUCAUACCCAUAGCAAAAAAAAAAAAACCGAAAAUUAGCAAAAAGCACGAUGUGUGUGUGUUACAGUUGUGAUGGUGAGAUAAAUCUGUAGAGUAGGACGCUGCCACAGUCACAUAUCGCCACUAGAAAAUGAAUUAUGGCGUAUCCGAGGCUUCGUCAUUACAGGUCCCGAUCAUCAUUCACCAUUUUUCUCCAUUUUUUUUUUUUUUUGUGAUUGUAUAUUAUUAUUUUAUUUAUUUGUUUAUUUAUUUAUAUUUUCAUCUCUAUAUUUAUAUAUAUUUAUAUAGACAUUAACAUUUUCAGAAGGAAAAUGACACUAUUUUUGAUUUUUUGAUUUUCACUGUUAAUCAAUUUAUUUUUUACCAAUUAAAAGGACGUACGUGGUAACCGAUUAGCUGUGACGUGCACCCGCGACCACUGUGAUUUAGUAUUCAUAUGAAAAUAUAUUUGGUGCUAAAUUGGUUAUUUCCAUAUUAAGCGGCCGUUACAAUAGGACUUUCUGUCUAUGCCUUUUUAACGGACUUUAAUAUAGUAAAAACGUGUUCACAUAAAACAAACUAAAUGCCCCUUAAAUUUAGAGGGUUUUGAGGGUUUAGAGGUGAAAUUUCUACGAUGAAAUUUUUGGAUGAAUACAUUUAAAAAAAAAAACCAUGACGUUGUUUAUCGAAAUAUUAACUAUUUAAAAAGUUAAAAUUUUGUAUCUUGUAUAACGAUAGUUUAAUAUUUAAAUAAUCGUUACACGUUGAUUAGUUUAUCUUUAAAACUUUUUUCAUCUACAAGUUGUAUAUUAGGUGUUUUAUCUUUACAACCGAUUUUAAAGAUCCUUUCGUCUGCCUGACGUAUACAUAUUUUUGCUAUAUCACUCUUGACGCCCCCUAACUGCUAUAUUAUUAUUGGUAUCUAGAAAAAUAAUAAUCAAAUAUGAUAAUUCUGUAUGCCCGUACAUACUCUUUACAAAAUAAAUAUACCAGGAAAUAUAUUUCCGAUAUUUCGACUUAUCCACGUUAUUUUUCAUCUAAUCUGGCCAUCUCAUAUGCAGAUGUCCCGAAAAUUUCAUUUUUCUUAGAAUACUAAAUUUUGCAAAGCAUGUUUACUAGAGCUCUUUUUUCCUUAACACGAGGGAUUCGAGGUAUUUAAAAAUUUACAUAGCAGAAUGUUUUUAAUAAUUUUCAUUUUUGGUAACAUUUUCAAUCAAAUCAGUUACUGUGGUUAGGGCUCUUCAUAUACAUAUCCAAGGAGGAAAAUAAAUUAUACGUUUAGCCUUUGGUAAAAUCGAAAUUAUCUUAUAUGAUAACUUUAUCGUGACUUCAUGAUUAUAUGACCAUUCCCGAUGCAUCAUUUUUAUCAUUAUACAGGUCGUGUGAUAACUUUGGUAAAAUCUAUUAAAAAAAAAAAAAAAGUUCUACGUUGCUACCUGCUCUGAUCUUCUCCGAAUUAAUUUUUACUAAACGUGGACGCACACCGUUAUUAUUUUAAAAGCUGACAACUCUUGUGAAUUUUCGCCCACGUGCGAAAUACAAAGCAUGCUAUUUAAAAUACCCCAUUAAAACCACGCUUUCGUAUUAAUAACCCGUCACCAAGUUUUCAAAAAAAAAAAAAAAAAUACAUCCCGAAAGCUAAAAAUAAUUCGUCCACUUCACGAUAACAAAACCGUAAUCGUCAAAUGAGAGUAACAUAUUUGUAUAAUAUAAUAACAUAUUAAACGAUCAAUACGAUCGUUUUGAAUUUCUUAUGUUUUCCGACGAAUAAAAAUGUAAACGAAUGGGCCCAUACGGUUCAAAUCGCAUUGAUAUUUUCGCAACUCACAUAGGUAUUGAAAACGCGGUUAUAAAUAAUUAAUGCAAAUUACGAUACUUGCAGGAGAGUUCAGACAAUAGUAUGUAAAAUGCCGCGGAAACAGAACCCAGUAAAAAAAGACAUUUACCGGAAUAAGGUCGAUGAUCAUAUGGGAGGUGGUGGUAAAAAAAAAGUAAAAAAUGCGUAGAAGCUUCAGGAACUGUGGACAAAUAAUUCGGAUGAUAUUUGGCGAUUGAUAUAGAGCUGGGGGACUAGUUAAAAGACGGUCCUAAAGGCGGAAUAUGCCCAAAUAAUACAGUUACGGUACGGCAUUUCAAUAGUAUAAUAUUAUAUUAUUAUGGCUUUCGCAAUUUUCCGAUCGAAUAACUAAGAAUUCACGCCCUACUAGACCCUUCCUACAUAACAUAAUAUACUUGCCAGCAUACAGAUGCUGAUGCGAACAUCCGAAUAUGGUAAAAUAUAAUUUAGACAACGACGACGUGGUAACUUUGCGGGACGCACACGUCUUCGAGAUCAAAGGCGCGUUUUAAUCGCAUUGUCUCGGGAAUAAUUAACCGGCUCGCGCGGAAGGCAACGUGCAAUUCGAAGAGAUAUUGUUAUGCAAUAUAAUAAUAAUAUUAUCAGCUAGGCAUACCAUAACAUUUGAGUACGAACUACAAUAUUAUAAAUUCUCUCUGGUUGGCCCGAACGAUGACAAUAAUAAUAUAAUAGUCAAGGGUGUGAGUAGAUUAUUAUUUUAACAGGAGAAGAUUUUAAGUGAAUUCGAUUUUGGUCUGUUUUUAUACUUUCUAUUACCUACAAAAGGUCGUUUAAUGAUGUAUUUUUUGCAAAAUGUUUUCAUCAUUUCUUUCUUUUUCCGUUUUUAUCACAAACAUAUUAUUUAUUAGGUAUACAUUAUUAAAUUCGGCAAAUUUGAAAUGCUCUUAAAAAAAAAAAUUUUGAUUUGCGUUAAUGCCACGCAAAUCAAAAAUUCUUUUUUUUUUUUUAUAUAAGCCACUUGAAGUUAUCGGCAACUAGUAUCAUCCCGUCACACAUAUCCAAUUCUCCGAUUCCCCUGUCAGUUGGUCUUAAUUUCCAGUCCAACCCUUAUUUUAUUCUACGAUUUCAUCACGUCUCUCCUCACCAUUUAUUUCCAUCUCAAACUAGUACUUUAUAGUACUUGAUCCGGAACAAUCUGAACGUUGUAUGACUGUACGGAUUAAUCAGCAUAUGGCAAUUCGGAUAACAAAGACUAACCCGUAUUAUAGUUUUUGAAAAAUAUUGUUACGAAAUUUAAUUUAAAACUAAACGAUUAUAAAAGUCGUUCAGAAAUUCUAUUUUUUAACACACAUAAAUUUAUUUUAAAUUAUUUUCAUUAAAAUAGUCCUGUAUAGCUGUUAAACAUUUAUUUGGAUUUUAAUUAUUUCAUCUGAUCAUCUCCUUCUACUUCCAAAAUACCAAUUUAAAUUAUAACUGAAUUUCAAAUUCAGAUUUCAGAUACAAUCUGCCAAAUGUGAUAAAAUUAAUUUUCCUGUGUUUAUUCAACAUUUUUUUUAAAAUUCUUAAUGCAGAUUGACCAAAUUUCUGCAAUAUCUCAAUCGAAAUACCCUGGAAGGGUAUCUUUCUUUCUGGGUUCUCUUAAAUUACCUUGCAUAACAACACAGAUCUGACUCCGUCGGGUUGUUCAGUUCACCGUUAUUUUCUACUCUUGUGAUAUACCAUCGAUGGGAAGGAGGAGAUGGUAGAGGUAAAUUCCAUAGAAUACAUUUUUAGGAUUAAAAUAAUGAAUAAAAAUAAAAUUUAUUAAGCAGAAAAAUUAAAUAACGCUCGUUAAGAUAUUAAUCUUACACCCAUCAAAGAAUUCGUUUGGUAAUGUAAAUUACCGAAAAUCCUGAAAAUUCAUUGGGGUUGUGUUUGUACCUUAACGGAACAGGCGAUCCGGAAAACCGACUAUUUUUAAGUCCCAAUUAAUGUGCGCCUCGGGGCAUUCUGUCAGGUUGUAUUUCAAUCGAUCGAGAAAUUUCUAUUUCAGUUCUUAUACCCUUUAAUGCUCUCUCCCAACUCAGAUAUUCAGAAUCCUACAGACCGCCGUAGACCCUCCUGAGACCGUUCCAGGAUUUUGAAUAGGAACGUCCUAUUGAAAUCAUAGAUUCCGAGAAGACCUAAUAGCAUUUAAUUCCUGGGGUGUUUUAUGUGGUGUGGUGUAAAAUAAAAAAAUGUUACCUACAUCGGGUGCAGAUUUCCACAUCCCUGAGCGGGUACACGUCCGAUUGGUUUUCAAUUUCCGCGUUUGCAUGCCAAUUUUAUAAUAUACGUCUCUUAUUCCAUAUAGAGCAGAAUAUUUACUUAAAUUAUAAUUAUAAAACCUGCACAUAGUUGCAUCACAUUUUAUAAAGAUUAUACACAUUUUAUUGUAAAAAUCAUUAUUUUUUGUUUUCAUGCACGGGUCAUACUCGACAGAUCCUAUAAAUAUAUAUUUUAUGUUGUUAUUUACAAAUAUGUAUAUCGAGUAUCAUUUUUUACAUUUUUUAUUAUUAUUUUUUUUUUAAUGAAUUUGUCAUUGCACCGAUAACAUAAAAUUAUAAUCUAAUGUUCACAUAUGCCAAAAACAAAGCUAUUGGAAGUAUUUUGUGGAUAUUAUUUCUUUUGUGUUUGAUAUGUCAUGAAUACAUGGAAGUGUUUUGUGUUUUGAUAUUGAAAAGCGUUUUUCUCAUUAAUAUUUUAUUAUGAGCAAGUUAAGAAAAUUAUAGAUUAUUUUUGAUAAAAAUGGUGUUUACAUUAAUAAAUUAUUUUUAAUUUUUGUUCGAUUUCGUACUAUUAAAAAAAAAAUUACAUUUUUAUCCCUCUUCACUGAUAAUAACGGUUUCCAAUAACAAAAUUCAAGGUAACUCGUAUUUGUUUGUAAUUUGCAUGCAGCACCAAUUAUUAUUAUUAUUUUUCAUUUCACAAUAUUUUCUAGGAGUGAAUUUAUUUUUUAACUUUUGCGUGCAUGACCAGCUUUGCCGUAUAUUGUUAACGUUUAUUACUACGUAAAUCUUCGUUUCAUAUUAAACCUAUUUAAACAAUUGUAAAGAUUUUUAUUCGACGUGCUUAGUUAUAAUGUUUUAUUAUUUUCAGACGUCCAGCGUAAGUAUAUUUUAGAUUUGUACGGUCUUUGGGAACAUUCGUUGUGGUGUUUGGCGCGCUUUGUCCGGCGGCGGUCACAUGCCGGAGACAAACCGCGGAGCCAUAGAAAUAACGCAGAGCACCGACGACGGUGACGGUCUUAUGGUGAACAUCAGGACCGCGUGUGAAAAUCAGGGAAUCAAUUUCAUUUCAUUUCUUCAUGGCACUGGAUUUCGUAUGACAAAAAUAUCUAUAAUCCUAAUGCCAUAUCCAAAUACGAUGUUAUUGUUGGCUGGUUUAAAUUUCGCAUUAUGAUUUUAUGAUCUCUGUUUGGCCUAUGUAAAAUAUCGCGUUAUUCAAAUAUCGUGUCAUCAUGAGAGUUGUAGUUAAAUUGCUUUGUCUCAGGGACUUCUAUCACAUCAAAUCAUCCGUUUCUCGAACCCAUGUAUGCAUUUUAGUCGAAAAUCAAACAGUGAUUUAUUAUUCAAAACCAUACCGGGAAGGUUUGGUAAGAAACGAGGAAGAAAACAUAAACAUUUAUUUCACAAUUGUUGGGUGUGAACUAAACACUUAAACUUUAUUUAAAUUUUUUUAAAAAUCUGUUCGACUUCGUAAACACCGCAUUAAUCCAUUAAGUCACUAAUUACUACGUUGUUGUUGUAAUAAUUAGAUAACAGUUUAAAAUAUUGCUAUUGAUAACAGCGUAUUCGGACACGGUGCUGAAUUUAGAGGUUUUGAAAUACGACACCGGUUUCGGUUUAAAACAAAAUUUUAUGUACUAACGUUCCAUCGGGUUUUGGACGUAGAUUAAAAAUCAAAUGCUAGGGUUUAAUCUAACCCAAACAAUAUAAUUAAGUAUAAUUACAACCUAUAACUAGAAAUUUCAUUUGUAUAUAUACAUUUUAAGACAGUACAAAGAAAAUGUCUUUAUGCUGUAUAAUUUCGUCAAAAUAUUUUUUUAUUUUAUGAUAUUUCAAUUGUUCCAUACAAAUUUAUAAUAAUAUAAAAACAAAAUAAAAUAAAAAAUAAUUAAUGAAAAUGUAUUUUUACAGUAAAUCAAUAUAAACUGGACAUGAUUUUUGUCAGGCUUCAGUUUACAGGUAUAAAUCGUAUUGGGGGUCCUGGUUUCGAGUUUAACUAGGUUGCAUAUAAACAUACAGCACUGUGAUUCAUUUCUAGUCACUUGUUAUACUUCACCCGAUAUACAUAUCAAUAUUGUAAUUCUCCUUACGAUUGGUUGGAUAUUCUAUCUAAUAUUCUUGCGAAGAGGAUAGUUUUUUUAAGUAUAAGCCUAAACCUCAUAUUUAUUUCUUGAGCAUUAUGUUAUCGAUAAAAUAGCGCGUUAUCAAUUGUUUUAUAUUCGGAACUCCAGCAAGCUCCGUUCACAUUACAGCCUAUGUCGGAAUUUUAAUCGAAAAUAAGCCCCGAAUUGUGAGGUGAAAUCACACUACGCCUGGUACGCCAGGGGAAAAAAUAAAGGAAAUGUUAACCUCAAUUGUCUGAAUUAAAUCCAGUAUUGUUGAAUAAACACUCAAUAAACAGAUGCAUCACAUGCUACUCAAUUAGAAACACGGUAUAGUAUCAUAAUAUGCAACCUAGUUGGUUUCGAGAAUGAGUCGGAUUUCGGGUUCAACCCAGUAGCAGUUUUUUGUUAUUGUGGCAUUCAAAACCGGUUUGAUUCCCUGACAAAACAACUUGAAACUUGUAUCGCUAUGGUUGUGGACUGGGACAUGGCUGCAGUCACCGCCACCACCGGACGAAGCGCGGGCCGUGCACGGACGGAGUGGGGGCCGUGGGGGAAAUUGUUAAGAAAUCGGCCCUUUUGGCCAAUUGUAGCGUAGUUAGCUGAUUGGCCCCGAAAUGUUUUUGUACUAGCAGGACGAUGACGGCCAUAUGUUUCGUGUGCAACUUGCCGAUCCUGAGCCACCAAGUGGGUCUUGUGUGGCAGGGUGGCAAUGGCUGGGACGAUAUACUCCGCGAACAGAUGGAAGAGACGACACUCAAGCAGCGGCUGGGAGGCCGCCGCGACUCAGCCGCACAGAUCACCACCGAGUCACCGCCCACGGAGACGGCCGAAACAUCACCACCCGUCAGUCGGCGGCGGCGACGCAGUUCACUAGCUCAUCUCACUGACCUGCUGCGUGAGUGGGGCGGUGGUAGUGCUGGAGCCGGAGGUAGUGGUGCAGGUGGCAAGGCAAGUGGCCGGCCAAAGGGCAUCACUAGGCGUGAGACGCUGGCCGACAUCGCCAAGACGCUGCCAUUCGGCCGGUCCAACACAAUCAUUGGAAAGAGGCGCGAGUCGUCUGUCGAUUCGGGCUUUAAGUCGACGUCCGGCCGGGCAUUUGGUGGCGGAAGUGGUAGUGGCCGUCGGGACUCCAAGACCGACUUCCGAUCCGAUAUCGCCAAACUGCUCAACACCCGGCGGGACUCGAUUAUCACGCCCAGCAUCUCGCAACCAUCGAGGCGCAGGGGAUCUGCUGAGUAAUAUAUUUGAAUUUAUUUUUGAAAAAAAGACAAGCUACACUGU
rnacentral:lncRNA from 1 species